rnacentral:lncRNA from 1 species
UCAACGUCGAGGAAAGUUAACCAUGGCCUCAUUCACUGGUUGAUUAGUCACCAUUCAUAGUACCAAACAGAAACAGCAGGCAUCAGCACAUCGUUUUUGGGCACACGGUAGAAAGUGAUGAGCGCCAAGUUGCAUCCUCUAUCACCCUGUCACUUUCAAUCAUUUCCAUAGACAGCGCUGCACACAUAUGGAGUGAGAGUUAGAUGGCGUGUCGCGUCAGAGUAUCACAAUGUAUGCUUAUUUGUACAGGCAGGGAUUCAGGAUGGAAACUUUCAACCGCCAUCAGUUCGGCACCAGUGCGAGUGUAACACACACUAAACUUGUCGAUUAUUAGGUCUUAUUACCGUACUUGUGUGCGUACGUACGAGAAUCAGCCGGAAGAGAUCCAUGCAUGAACUUAUUAUCAGAAGGAGGGAUGUGGGAGAAAGGGAUCACCUUCGAGGACUUUACUCUCGACAUGGACCUCCGGAGCAGCACGCCGGCUGCCUCCACCUGCGCCGGCGUAUUGGGCGCGGACGCAUGCGCCGCCACCGAGUCCUGCGAGAAGGCGUUCGCUGGCGCAGUCGUCCCGGUCAGCGGCGAUGGCGAGGAGGUGCGCGCAUAUGCCAUUGCCUAUUGCCCUAUUGGCCUUCCUCCACAUCUCCUCCAUGAGCGCCGGCACGGCAGAUUCGCCCCUGGGACCUCACAGAAGAUUGGGAUCGGGAGCAACGUGGGUGGGGGCUGGGACGUGGGUGCGUGGAUCGUUGGUCAUUUUUUCCGGCUGGUUUUUCAAGCCGAGAUAAGAGUGUUGGGGAACGUCGCAUGGGAAACAAAAUUUUCCUACGCGCACGAAGACCUAUCAUGGUGAUGUCCAUCUACGAGAGGGGAUGAGUGAUCUACGUACCCUUGUAGACCAUACAGCAGAAGCGUUAGAGAACGCGGUUGAUGUAGUGGAACGUCCUCACGUCCCUCGAUCCGCCCCGCGAACAAUCCCGCGAUCAGUCCCACGAUCUAGUACCGAACAGACGGCACCUCCGCGUUCAGCACACGUACAGCUCGACGAUGAUCUCGGCCUUCUUGAUCCAGCAAGAGAGACGGAGAGGUAGAAGAGUUCUCCGGCAGCGUGACGGCGUUCCGGAGGUUGGUGAUGAUCUCGUCUCAGCAGGGCUCCGCCCGAGCUCCGCAGAAACACGAUCUAGAGGAAAAACUAUGGAGGUAUGUGGUCGGGCAGCCGUGAGAAAGUCGUCUCAAAUCAGCCCUAAAACCUCUGUAUAUAUAGGUGGGAGGGAGGGGAGGAGGCAGCCUCAAAACCUAAAGGUUUGGCCGAAAUUGGAGGUGGAGGAGUCCUACUCCAAUCCUACUUGGAGUAGGAUUCCACCUUCCCACUUGGAAACUCUUUCCACCUUGUGUUUUUUCCUUCUCAAACCUUAUGGGCCUUAGUGGGAACUUAUUCCAGCCCACUAGGGGCUGGUUUAUCUCUUCCCAUAGCCCAUGAGACCCCUUGGGGCGUGACACCCCUCCCGAUGGUCCCCGGCACCCCUCCCGGCACUCCCGGUACACUACCGAUGAGCCCGAAACUUUUCCGGUAAUGCACGAAAACCUUCCGGUAACCAAAUGAGGUCAUCCUAUAUAUCAAUCUUCGUUUCCGGACCAUUCCGGAAACCCUCGUGACGUUCGUGAUCUCAUCCGGGACUCCGAACAACAUUCGGUAACCAACCAUAUAACUCAAAUACGCAUAAAACAACGUCGAACCUUAAGUGUGCAGACCCUGCGGGUUCGAGAACUAUGUAGACAUGACCCGAGAGACUCCUCGGCCAAUAUCCAAUAGCGGGACCUGGAUGCCCAUAUUGGAUCCUACACAUUCUACGAAGAUCUUAUCGUUUGAACCUCAGUGUCAAGGAUUCGUGUAAUCCCGUAUGUCAUUCCCUUUGUCCUUCGGUAUGUUACUUGCCCGAGAUUUGAUCGUCAGUAUCCGCAUACCUAUUUCAAUCUCGUUCACCGGCAAGUCUCUUUACUCGUUCCGUAAUACAAGAUCCCGCAACUUACACUAAGUUACAUUGCUUGCAAGGCUUGUGUGUGAUGUUGUAUUACCGAGUGGGCCCCGAGAUACCUCCCCGUCAUACGGAGUGACAAAUCCCAGUCUUGAUCCAUACUAACUCAACGAACACCUUCGGAGAUACCUGUAGAGCAUCUUUAUAGUCACCCAGUUACGUUGUGACGUUUGAUACACACAAAGCAUUCCUUCGGUGUUCGUGAGUUAUAUGAUCUCAUGGUCAUAGGAACAAAUACUUGACACGCAGAAAACAGUAGCAACAAAAUGACACGAUCAACAUGCUACGUCUAUUAGUUUGGGUCUAGUCCAUCACAUGAUUCUCCUAAUGAUGUGAUCCCGUUAUCAAGUGACAACACUUGCCUAUGGCCAGGAAACCUUGACCAUCUUUGAUCAACGAGCUAGUCAACUAGAGGCUUACUAGGGACAGUGUUUUGUCUAUGUAUCCACACAAGUAUUGUGUUUCCAAUCAAUACAAUUAUAGCAUGGAUAAUAAACGAUUAUCAUGAACUAAGAAAUAUAAUAAUAACUAAUUUAUUAUUGCCUCUAGGGCAUAUUUCCAACAAAGAGGACCCGAGAGGGGUUUUUAUUGAACUAAUCGGUUGGUUUAUCGCCUGGUUUAUGGAGGGAUUGAAAAAAUCGGUGAAAGGGUGGAAAGGCUAGCGGUAGGAGGUCGAACCAUCGUACGAGGUUGAACCAUCACGAUGGCAGAUCCCCUUUAAUAGUAGAGAUUGCUACGCAACACGGAAAAAGAAAUAAAAGAAAGGGGGCGCCGAUGGGAUUAAAACCCAUGACCACGGGGUCGAGGCACAUUGCUGGAACCGUUGGGCUAGGAGGGGUGAUCUGAACAAAAAUGGGGUCUUGCUCUUUUGAGCAGGCCCCUCUGCGCUACACUGCUGCUCCGGCGACCGAAACAGAGGCGAUCGCCGGUGAGCACACGGGCCACCAACGGUGGGGAUGAUCACCGACUUGGGUUGCGGGUCCAAGGGGGUUCCAUUCCCAAGGCUAGCGCGGGGAAAUAUGCGCGCUUGGCACUGCUGCUGCUGCCACUGCUAGCUCGUGCUCCUACCGGCGCAACUCCGGAAGGGCAUCUGCCUCGACUAGCUACGACGCAGCUAAUAGAGAGGGGGAGCGGAGGAGAGCGGCGUUGCGGCUCAUCUAGGGGCAGAGGUGACAAUCCGACGCAGGAGAGGAGGGAGGACGACGAGUCGAAGUAGAAGAAGCUUGCCGGAGGGAGAGGAAGAAGCUGUCGUCGUGGACGUCCUGGAUGGAGCUCUCGACGUACGAACUAUGCGGGAACGGGUCGGCCUUGAUGUCCGUGUCCUCCGGGUGCUGCUGGGGAAGAAGGGGACGCCACCUACGCCGGCAUCGAGCUGCUGUAGGAAGCUGGCAUGGCGAGACGGUGGGGCUCGGGGGCUCACCCAGACGACGCGAGGUAAGAAGGAGGGGGGGGGGAGAAUGUGCGCUAGGGCACGGAGGAGAGAUGGGGCAUGGCUAAAUAGCCUCGGACGACGCGCGUGCAGCCGUUGAUCGAUGGAAAAAGUUCCAUCAGCGGCUGCCAUGGCGUCGUACGCCGCUGACGUCGCGAGGUGGGAGACGUGUCACGCUACCGGGCUUGGGCCACAACUAGCAGAGUUGGGCCGCUCUCUCUCUCUCGAGGAAAAGAAAAGGCUUCACGAAAAUAAAAAUAAAGUUGGUUUUGAAAUAAUGCCAGAGGCAAAAUAAAAGGAAUUAAACAAAAAAAAUACUUUUGUGCUCCUAAAAUCAUGUCCCAAUUUAUAAAAAUAAAUUGGGCAUUUAUAAGAGUAAAUAUUAAAUGCCUUUUAAAAUCAAAAGACCCUGUUUUCGAAAUAAAACAAAAGGAGAAUAAUUUCAGAUAAGUGAGUGUUGCCACCCACAAAUAUUUAAAAGGAUUUUCAAAGAAGAUGAACAUUUUUAAUGGGCCAAAACAAGAACUUUAAAAUAGGCGCAAUAAAUUGAAAAGAGACGGAAGAGUUUUAUGGUCAUGGUGCAACAAGGGUUUUGAAGGUUUCUUGUUGCACGCACACAACUCAUAGAUCACACAUGAGCACAUGCACUCACAUACAUGACCAAUGUGGCAAGACACAGAAAAAAGACAAGACAAAGGAUGAUGCCAUGCAUGAUGUCCAAUGCACAUGGAAUGAAGACACAAAGAUCGGCUCACACCACAAAUAAUACCAUAUCAAGGUUGCCAAACAAGGAAAGAAUAACAAAAGGGGGAAAAUUGUAAUGGGGCUGUCACAACUCUCCUACACUACAAGAGGAUCUCGACCCGAGAUCUAAGAAUGAAAGGGGAAGAGGCAGAGAGAAGGAAGAGGUAAAACAUGGUUGCUUCUUUGACAAACGAGUGAAACCAACAAUCCUUGAAGGUUGCAAAGAGAUGAAGAAUGAUAUGAGAAACAAGCAAGAAUUCACAGAAAAUUUCGGCAGCACUUCGGUAGGAAGAGAGGACAAAAUUUGAUGAGAUAGAAAGAACUAGAAAAGAUUCACAACAACCAACUAAAUUGAUAAGCACGGAAAGAACGUGGUUUUGAUAGAACAAGAUGAUAGAUUGAAGAGAGCAACAUCACAACAACUCCGGAACUAGAGAUUAGAAACUAGAUCUUUGAGAAGAAUAGAAUGAAAAAGAAAAUGACAAUCACUAUCACAAUUGGAUUGAAGAGCCUCCGGACAAGAAGAAUUAAACGUAGUUGUUGGAAAAACAACAACCAAAAGACAAGCUUGUUGUGGGCUUAUGGAAACCAUUUCAAAAUAAUGAGGUGACAACCAGCCACUAACAGAAACAAUGAUUGAUUGGAUGGAACAAGAAAGUCAAAACUUCUUACCCCAAGAGGAAACAUCAAGAACUUGGAUCAACGAUAAUCACCAUAUAGCAACAACCCUUAGGAAAAGCUUUAGGUGAAACCCGAUCCAAGGUAACUCAAUGAAGAAACCAUGGUCAAAAUAUCUCAUGAUCAAAGGGUUUGGUGGGUUUACAUAAUUAAUUCUUGAAACAACUUCUCUUCGAGACUCCUCAAGAACUUUAUAACACCACCUCAAAGGAUAAAUGAAAGAAAAGAUGGAGGAGUUGGAAAAAAAGAAUUGAUAUCAUGAGCCACUCCAGAAGAAGAAUUGAAAUGUCACAAUGAAAUAAAAAUAAGAAUUAUGUUACGCUUAUCCUUCAUCAAGUUAAAUUAACUACAAGCAAUGAAUUUAGCAUACCACUUAUUCUUCUUGAAAAGAUUGAGGAGAGAUAUGAGCACAAACUUGAAGAAGUCUUGAAGGAGACACCGGUAAGAAUUGGAAUGAAUGGGGAUAACAAGAAUGAAUGGAGAUACAUGAGAAUGAAUAUAUCAUGAGCCAUAGGAGAGAAAAACUUGAAUAAGGCAACGGAAUAAUUGAGAUACGAACAAAGAGACACAAUUGAGAAGAAUUAGAGAACGAAAGCUGAAAGUUGAGAAGGAAGAAAUCUUCUGAAAUGAUGGCCUUCGGAGGAUCGAGAAAGAACACAACACUGAAAUGUACCGGAUAGAUAUGGAAGAAAAACUUAAGAUUGGAAAUAACUAAGAAUAUAACACUAAGCUGAGAUGACAAUCUUGAAAGAAUGGACAAGAGUUGAGAGAAACACUCCUUCGGUCUUCCAAGAUGAGAAUGAGGCAAGAACCAUCACCAAGAAUAACUGAGACACUCUAAAAUAAUGGAGAAUGAAAGGUUGAGCAAAAGAUGAAAAUAAUAAAUUUGAAAUGACCUUGGAGAAGGAAUAUGACUAAUGAAAUUCAUACUUACGUCAUAAUUGAAAAGAAUUAGAGAUCUCCGAAAAAGAUUACAAGAGCCACGUAAGAUCCUGGGAAAACCUGUGGGUUAUGGGCCCACUAAAGGAAACCACCGUUGAAACAAUUGAUUAGGAAGAAAGACAUUGCGCCGGUAUAACUGAAAACUUGAUGAGUUUGGAACCUCGAAAUAAUUGAAAGGAUUAAAAUCAAUAACUUUUGAGAUACCUUCAGCACUCUGGAUAGAAAAGAGAUUGAUGAAUGACAAGAGAGGCUUGAAGAGAAUUUCCCAACACUGAAGGCAUUGAACAAAUGGAAAGGAUAUGAUGACACCAAUAUCUUGAAUUGACUCAACCGGAGAGAAAACAAAAUGAAGAAAUGAUGAACUCGAACUCCUGAGAAUCUUCACCAUGAAACACCGGAUACCAUACAAAAAAGAAGAAGGUAUAAGCAACACUGAAAAGAAGGCACUAGGAUGAUAAUUGAAUCACUGAAGAAAAGGGCGGGAGGGCGGGGAAAACAAAGAGAUGAACUCCGGAAGAAAUGAGAGAUUGACCUUCCAAAUAUUCAAAAGGAUAGAAUUGACUUCAAGAGAAGCACCCUGGUUGAGAAAGAAUUGAUAUGAUGGCCCCGGUUGAAAAGAAUUGAAAACCCAACUUGAUUGAGCAAAAGAAUUGCAUUCCCAAAAUAUGAGAACACCACUUAGGAAAGUUAUGAAUUCACCACUUGACAUCGAAGCAACUCGAAUUACCAUAUUCCAACAAAACAAAGGAGGAGGCUUAUUAAACAAGCCAGACAAAUUUAUGAGAGAUUUCAUUCGAUAUUUUUGUGGAUGAGGCUCGCACGGGCUCUAUCCUAUAGUAGACAUCAUGUACAAGGUAGUGCACACGACAUACGAAGCGUUCCCGAGUCAUAGCAAGCUACAAGGACUCUUUAAGACAGAACGAGAACCGCUGUAAGAUGACCGUGAACAAACAAAUCCACUAGAUGUCGAACCCCAACCUCACAUCAUGCAUCUGUUGGAAGAUUGUCCUAUAAGUGACUACUUGAAUUCCCACCUAAGAACUCACGAAAUUUCUGGUCAUGCAAUCUGGUCCACGGAUACAAGGAGUAAUAUAUCACUCAGCUCCUAUACUAACCCGUCCAGUGUAUCACAUCCGUCAACACAUAACCAGAAUCUCGAAACUUCAUCUAUCUCAGACCCUCGUAAUCACAACGAUACUAAGUGUGGCAAUACAUCCGGACCUAUCUGCACCAGUACUGGGAAAGUCGGACUCCUCUCCCCACUACCAGUAUUGAAGCAAUUUCAAACAUCCUCCGUCCUAAGAUACUAAGAAAUCUGAAUGAUAACGAUGUGCUCAAGAAUCCCCUGGAGCUCAACUCCCCGGAAGAAAUCAAGUCAGUCAGGAGGCACCAAGACAGAACUCUGUCACAUCGACAUCAAUAGAUUCCCAAAAUAUCUGCGUGAUCCUAAAAAAAUUGAGUAAGAAGAGGAGUAGAAUUAAAUUAUUACGUCAAGAUUCCUAACCAGAGCAUAGAAGAGGAGAAAAAAGAAUCCUACUCUCCGAUAUAUAACUAGACUUAAAGCAGUUUUUUACUAGACUCGACUUGGCCAAGUUCGAUCAAUCAAGGGGCUACUAGGUCGGUACUGUUCUGAUACCAACUUGUAGCGCCCAAGAUGCAAUCCUAUCGUUAUUUCGGCGCGAGGGCCUCGACAGGGAUAGAAACGCAUCUCGUCGUUUCACAAGAAUGGAUAUUGUUACAAGUACGUGUACUGAAAAGAUGAGUAUAUGAAAUUGGCUUACACUCGCCACAAGCUACAUCAGAGUCACAUUAGUACAUUUCAUAUAAUCACCAUGAAGAAGAGCAGGCUCCGCCUGUGGACGAAAACAAACGAUAAAAGAAUGACGUCCAUCGUUGCUAUCCCAGGCUGCCAGCCUGGAACCCAUCCUAGAUCGAUGAAGAAGAAGAAGAAACUCCAAAUGAACAAUCAUCGCGCUCACGUCUUAAUACCACUUUACCUAUACCUGCAACUAGUGUUGUAGUAAUUUGUCAGCCACAGGGGACUCAGCAAUCUCAUUUCCAAAGGUAUCAAGACUAGCAAAGCUUAAUGGGUGAGGUAUGGUUAAGUGGUGAGGCUGCGGCUAGCGACUAAGCAUUUUUUUUGCGGUGGCUAAAUUACGAGUACAAGAAUAAGAGGGGAAAGAUCUACGCAUAGCAGACACGAACUACUGAUGAUCAAAUGAAUGAUCCUGAACACCUACUUACGUCAAACAUAACCCAACCAUGUUCUCGGUCGGAGAAGGAGCUAACGAAAGAGACAGUCACGGUUACGCACUUAGUUGGCAUAUUUUAAAUAAGCUUACUUCAAGUUAUCUAGAACCGGAUGUGAAACAAAGUUUCCACGUUGCCACAUAACCGCGGGCACGGCUUUCCGAAAGAUUUAACCCUACAGGGGUGCUCCAACUAGUCCAUCACAAAUUACCACAAGCCGCAUAGAAAUCCUCGAUCACGAAACUCGCGAUCUCGUCAGACUCCUUAGUGGAAAACCUCAACUCUGAGAUAACCCAAAGCAUCACCGGAAUCCUGAUGCACAAAAUAUUUUGUCAAAGGUAAAAGUAAUCCAGCAAGGCCACCCGACGUGUCGACGAUCCCGAUAGGAGCCGUGUAUCUCGUUCUCACGACACGAUGGAUAAGCUACGCGUACGGUGGCGUGAUAGAAAUCACUCAAGUUGCCCUGCAUUGGCCCCGCAUAGUGCUCUGGGUUGGACCAACACUCAUGAGGAGCACUGGCCCAGGGGUUUAUUAAGUUUCCUCGGGUUAAUUACUCCCUAUGUGGUUCAUUAGCUAUUAGGCAAAUGUAGUACCAAAGUUGGGCCUUGCCAGACCAGUCUUAAUCUAAAACGAAUUAUCAAGGGGGUCCCCAUAACAACCCCGAUCAUGUUAGGAGCGCUCAAUUAUGGAAUGUAACACCAGUAGCCUAAACUAGGGGGGGGGGGGGCAAAGGUGGAACAAAACACGAGGCUAGAAAGCCGAGCCUUCCACCUUUUACCAAGUAUAUAGGUGCAUUAAAUUAAAUAUCAUUUAAUAGGUUGAUAUAACAAGGAACCCAUGUUAUCACAUGGAAGCAACUGCACCUGCAACUAGCAACGCUAACACCUGGUUAAGCAAGCGGUAACAUAGCCAAUCAGUGGUUUGCUAUGUUGUAGACAGGUUGUAGGUUUUCAUGGCAAUGUUGGGAGGCUGAUAUUUAACAGGUGGUAGGCAGCGAGAUAUAACGAUAGAAACGAUACAACUAGCAUGGAAAUGAUAGUAAUGGUAUCUAGGGAAAUGAUCAUCUUGCCUGAGAACACACUUGGAAGAAGAAUGAUACCGUGAAGCAGACGAACCGACGUAGUCGAAUGGAUCCUCACAUUCCGACAUACUUGCAGAACACUAUCGAGACGAAGCAAACCGGAAACAAGAAUCACACACGAUAUACAUCGCAUCACAUGCACAACAUGGUGGACUAACUAAUAUGAUGCAUGGAUGCUCAACCCCUAAAUUAUGCACUUAAACCAGCACUACAGGAAUCACUUUCUUUGUCGUCUGCCAUCACAGAUGGCAAAGACAAAAUCCCGGACGGCAAUGACAAAACAACAGACGGCAAACAAUCUCACGGCCGGCAAAAUUUCUGUGUCAGCCUACGACGGCAUAGGACCUUCUUUGCCGUCUGUCCCCCCAAAGCGGACAGCAAAGCUCUUUGCCGUCAGCUUUCCUUAGGAGCAGUCGGCAAAGUGCUCGAGACGGCAGCCGACAAGCGUUGCCUCCGUUAGGGGUUAACGGAGGCUUUGCCGUCUGCCUGCCCCUUAAUCUUUGCCGUCUGCCUUCCCCUUUAUCUUUGCCGUCUGCCUUCUCCGGGGGGCCCCCCUUUAUCUUUGCCGUCUGCCUCCUCCUCCUCCCCCCUCCACUCUUUGUCGUCUGCCUCCUCCUCCCCCCUCCUCUGUGCCCUCUUCUUUGCCGUCUGCCCACCCUGGAGGCAGACGGCAAAGAGCCUAUAUGGACACCCCAGGAUGCACAGCUGGGUGCCAUGUGGCACCUUUGCCAUCUGCCAGCUGAUGGCACAGGUCUUUGCCAUCAGCUGGCAGACGGCAAAGAGCCCAUAUAGUACCUGUUUUUUUUGUUUUAUAUUAUUUCACAACNAUUGCCAACACAUAUAUAUAAUUCACCACACAUAUAUGAUAUACAUAUAAAUCAAUGUACAUCCCCAUAUAUCGAAAGAACCAACAUACAUAGUAUUGCACUGUUUAUCCAUAUAUACAUAUAGUUCGACAUUGUUCAUCAACUCAAAUGAAAACUAGAUGAUAUACAUAUAAAGUUCAUCCAUUGACAUUGUUCAACUCCAUGAAUGCGAGCUUCCAUGCAUGUAGUAUAUCCAAUCUGCAAAAAUGUGAAUAAGAAAGUCAGAAGAAGAACAAAGUAUGAUGUUUUUCAGCUAAUUAUGUGAUUUUUAGCGGAAAACAAGCUAAGAAUAUAAUAUUCAUGAGCUAACAAAUGUUCUUAUGCCAUUUUUAGCUUAUUAUGGCAUUUUGGAGCUAAAUGGGUUAAUUAAAGCAAGGAUAAUAUGAAAGAGGAGAAGAAAGAGGNNNNNNNNNNNNNNNNNNNNNNNNNNNNNNNNNNNNNNNNNNNNNNNNNNNNNNNNNNNNNNNNNNNNNNNNNNNNNNNNNNNNNNNNNNNNNNNNNNNNNNNNNNNNNNNNNNNNNNNNNNNNNNUUCUUCUUCUUUCUUUUCAUUUUGCCUAUUUCUUCUCCUCUUCCCCUCUUGUUGGAGCUAAAUUACCUAAUUAUGUCUUUUUGGAGCUAAAUGGGCUAUUUAUCCCAUUUUAGAGGAAAACAAGCUAAGUAUAUAAUAUUCAUGAGCUAACGAAGGUUCUUAUGCCAUUUUGAGCUUAUUAUGGUAUUUUGGAGCUAAAUGGGCUAAUUAUGUCAUUGUUGGGGCAAUUAAAGCAAGGAUAAUAUGAAAGAGGAGAAGAAAGAAGAGGAGGAGGAGAAGAANNNNNNNNNNNNNNNNNNNNNNNNNNNNNNNNNNNNNNNNNNNNNNNNNNNNNNNNNNNNNNNNNNNNNNNNNNNNNNNNNNNNNNNNNNNNNNNNNNNNNNNNNNNNNNNNNNNNNNNNNNNNNNNNNNNNNNNNNNNNNNNNNNNNNNNNNNNNNNNNNNNNNNNNNNNNNNNNNNNNNNNNNNNNNNNNNNNNNNNNNNNNNNNNNNNNNNNNNNNNNNNNNNNNNNNNNNNNNNNNNNNNNNNNNNNNNNNNNNNNNNNNNNNNNNNNNNNNNNNNNNNNNNNNNNNNNNNNNNNNNNNNNNNNNNNNNNNNNNNNNNNNNNNNNNNNNNNNNNNNNNNNNNNNNNNNNNNNNNNNNNNNNNNNNNNNNNNNNNNNNNNNNNNNNNNNNNNNNNNNNNNNNNNNNNNNNNNNNNNNNNNNNNNNNNNNNNNNNNNNNNNNNNNNNNNNNNNNNNNNNNNNNNNNNNNNNNNNNNNNNNNNNNNNNNNNNNNNNNNNNNNNNNNNNNNNNNNNNNNNNNNNNNNNNNNNNNNNNNNNNNNNNNNNNNNNNNNNNNNNNNNNNNNNNNNNNNNNNNNNNNNNNNNNNNNNNNNNNNNNNNNNNNNNNNNNNNNNNNNNNNNNNNNNNNNNNNNNNNNNNNNNNNNNNNNNNNNNNNNNNNNNNNNNNNNNNNNNNNNNNNNNNNNNNNNNNNNNNNNNNNNNNNNNNNNNNNNNNNNNNNNNNNNNNNNNNNNNNNNNNNNNNNNNNNNNNNNNNNNNNNNNNNNNNNNNNNNNNNNNNNNNNNNNNNNNNNNNNNNNNNNNNNNNNNNNNNNNNNNNNNNNNNNNNNNNNNNNNNNNNNNNNNNNNNNNNNNNNNNNNNNNNNNNNNNNNNNNNNNNNNNNNNNNNNNNNNNNNNNNNNNNNNNNNNNNNNNNNNNNNNNNNNNNNNNNNNNNNNNNNNNNNNNNNNNNNNNNNNNNNNNNNNNNNNNNNNNNNNNNNNNNNNNNNNNNNNNNNNNNNNNNNNNNNNNNNNNNNNNNNNNNNNNNNNNNNNNNNNNNNNNNNNNNNNNNNNNNNNNNNNNNNNNNNNNNNNNNNNNNNNNNNNNNNNNNNNNNNNNNNNNNNNNNNNNNNNNNNNNNNNNNNNNNNNNNNNNNNNNNNNNNNNNNNNNNNNNNNNNNNNNNNNNNNNNNNNNNNNNNNNNNNNNNNNNNNNNNNNNNNNNNNNNNNNNNNNNNNNNNNNNNNNNNNNNNNNNNNNNNNNNNNNNNNNNNNNNNNNNNNNNNNNNNNNNNNNNNNNNNNNNNNNNNNNNNNNNNNNNNNNNNNNNNNNNNNNNNNNNNNNNNNNNNNNNNNNNNNNNNNNNNNNNNNNNNNNNNNNNNNNNNNNNNNNNNNNNNNNNNNNNNNNNNNNNNNNNNNNNNNNNNNNNNNNNNNNNNNNNNNNNNNNNNNNNNNNNNNNNNNNNNNNNNNNNNNNNNNNNNNNNNNNNNNNNNNNNNNNNNNNNNNNNNNNNNNNNNNNNNNNNNNNNNNNNNNNNNNNNNNNNNNNNNNNNNNNNNNNNNNNNNNNNNNNNNNNNNNNNNNNNNNNNNNNNNNNNNNNNNNNNNNNNNNNNNNNNNNNNNNNNNNNNNNNNNNNNNNNNNNNNNNNNNNNNNNNNNNNNNNNNNNNNNNNNNNNNNNNNNNNNNNNNNNNNNNNNNNNNNNNNNNNNNNNNNNNNNNNNNNNNNNNNNNNNNNNNNNNNNNNNNNNNNNNNNNNNNNNNNNNNNNNNNNNNNNNNNNNNNNNNNNNNNNNNNNNNNNNNNNNNNNNNNNNNNNNNNNNNNNNNNNNNNNNNNNNNNNNNNNNNNNNNNNNNNNNNNNNNNNNNNNNNNNNNNNNNNNNNNNNNNNNNNNNNNNNNNNNNNNNNNNNNNNNNNNNNNNNNNNNNNNNNNNNNNNNNNUCUUCUUCUUCUUUCUUUUCAUUUUUCCUAUUUGUUCUCCUCAUCUUGGAGCUAAAUUACCUAAUUAUGUCUUUUUGGAGCUAAAUGUGCUAAUUAUCUCAUUUUAGAGGAAAACAAGCUAAGUAUAUAAUAUUCAUGAGCUAACCAAGGUUCUUCCAUUUUGAGGUUAUUAUGGCAUUUUGGAUCUAAAUGGGCUAAUUCUGUAUUUUUUGGGAAAUUAAAGCAAGGAUAAUAUGAAAGAGGAGAAGAGAAACUUACCGUGGUGGUUAUCAAGGAGGAGAAACACCACGGUUGCUCGCGGCGGCUUCGUUUGGAGACGGUUGCCCUUGUGAAGGGUCGUGCGAUGCCGCUCGGGAGUUAUUUUGCAGAAAAGAUAUUUUGCAAUGUCUCAGUUAGCAUGAUGACACUCAAUUAUUAAUACUAGUUUAUAAUGAAACUCACCGUGCCAAUCGAAGAGAAGACGGGCAUCGGCGGAGGGACUUGACCGCUCUUCUCGCACAUACCCUGAAGAGUGGGUCGUAUUAGUUAGUAAUGAAACAGACAUUACACACAUGAUUUGGCUAAUGUGAAAAAAAAACAUACCACAAAAAGCUCGUACAGGGCCCGUUGACCCGCCUCAUUCCGGGCCCUCUCCUCCUCAAUCAAUCGUGUCGUGGUCUGGUCCCUCUCAUCAAGAGCAGCCUGGCUUGCCAACUAUCUUUCUCAAGAGCAUCCUGGUUUGCCGCUCUCUCUUUCUGAAGAGCAGCCUGAAACACCAUUCCUCGUUACCACAGUAAUGAUCUAUGGUGACACACAUAAUGAAAUGGAUGAAAGUGUUCUUAGUCCGUACAACUAACCUCGAUGGCAAGUUCGACUGGCCGUGGACGAUGCGUUAUCUCAGGACAACUACUCGACUGGCGCGCCUUGAUCUCCGGAAGAGUGAGUGGACAACGUAUUAUCCCAUCUCCAAUGGCUAUCCAGCCAUGGGGCCACCCGCCACCAGAUAUCAUCACCAGCUCUGGAUCCAAAGGUUCCUGGCUAGGGUUAAAGUCAUCCCCUUUCGUAGCCUUCCCCGCGUCCCUGUAUGCCACGAGCUUCUGGUGGGAUGAUAUGUUGGUGAAGUUAUUGGGAUCAUCCAGGCCAGACUCAGAGAAUGCCUUCGCCUUCUUGUACGAGGCAGUAUGGGCCAUGCCAUAAAGGUCGUACAAGUGUGGCAUCUCCGUCUUAUUGUGAUGCGCCUAAAAGAGAGGAACAAAAUAUUAGCAUCAAGAAUGAAUUGCAUGAAUCAUGAAGCAAAUCACAUACCCAGUUGGGUCCAAACUAAAGUAAGUUGGCGCUGCCUUGAUGAUGUGGCACACCAACCAUUUGGCUACGCCGAUCCUUCACAUUCUCGUGGACGGCUCACCAGCUGCCUGUGCACCACUCAUCAACCAACGCCUCCCAACAAUCCAUCUUAUCCGCACACCAUCUCGGGGGCACCUAUAAGUUGUUAGAAAGAAUUUUCAGCGCUACGCCUAUGAAUGAAAUCAAGAAAACUACGUAGAAGGACUUAAGAAUAGGUAAUUACCUUCAUGUAUUGCUCCUUCUUCAGGAACUUUCUGCGGCAAUCCUUCUUCUGCUUCUUAAUACCACGCGUGGCGUAGUAAUCUCGAAUAGCCUGCGGCCGAGCCUCGUGGCGCAAGUUCUGUAGUAACCGCCUACACCCGGCCUCGAGAACCCUGGCCACCUCCUCCUCAUAUCCAUCCUCACACCUAUAGAAGGUCUGCAAUCAAACGUGAAAACACCGAUUAGUACAAUAAUUAGCUAUAUUGUUAAUUUUAGAUUCUGUAAAAGGAUAAUUUACCCAAAACCUCUUGAUCACCAUCUCGGCCCUCGUGUGGCACAAGACACCAUCUAUAAUCUCCUCCGGCGGGGCCUGCGCAGCCUGGUAGUGCUCCCAGUAAAAUCCUAGUGUAGGAACCUGACCCUCACCAGGCAACGUGACAAACCUCGGGAAAUUUGUUCGACAAAGCACACCAAGGACGGAGUUUGGCCCGCGGACUCCAAGAGGGUGUACCCAUCCCCUAUUGUAUGAUAAGGUCAACGCAUUAGAUAUUUUGAACAAACUUGAAGGCAAAAGCUAAAAAAAGAGUAAAUGUACUUACCUAUCUCCUUUAGGUUUAAUCACCGGCCUCUGCUCGCGGGUAGCCGGCGCGACCGGGAGACGUGUACUACCACGCUUGUACAUGGUGGCCCUGUCCACCUGCACAUUGCCCUCACUAUCCGUAAGCUCAUCCCCGCCAUCCCCGCCCCUUGAGCCACCCGGACCCUCGGUCCAAUCCGGCAACUCGGUACGAUCCGGCCAGGUCUCCCAUCCGGGCCUCUCCACGUCGGGUGAAGCCUCCGGAACCGUAGUCUCCUCCGGCUGCUCCUGGGCCGAAUGCACCUCGACCCGAGGCUUCUCCUGGACCGGAGUAUCAUGGGACGAAUGCCCGUCAACAACAGGCUCCUCGAACGGAGUCCCCGUAGCCUCCUCCGCAAACGGGUCGACCAUACUAGUCCUAUGCUCGGGUGAAUGAGCUGGUGGUGGUGGCGAGGACGGCUCAACAGUCCUCCUGGAUCUUCCGCGGCCACCACCUCUCCCUGUACCCUUCCCCUUCUUCCCUACCCGACCAGCACCUCUCCCAAUGGGCAAUGUCGCUGACGAAGAAGAACCCACGGGUGGUGUCGACAGACUGUCUGCCAAGGCUCUACGGAGAGAUAGGGGUGGAAGGGAAGUACCACCCCUCGUGCGGGGCGCCUGGGAAGAACCCGUCGAGCGAUCUGGACCAGCGCCCACCAUCUUUCCACACCUGGUGACCUGCCAUGAUAAAGAUUAAAAGAAAUUAGUACAAAAUAAAAAAAAUUGAAUAACUGACAUGAAUAAUAAUAUGUACAUGAAUAAUAAAGAUUAAAAUAUAUAUAAUUUAAGUUGUGAAUCUUACAAACUAAUAAUCAUCAUCAAUAAAUGCAUGAUCAUCAUCACUAUGACGCAUGUCUUCAUGAAUGACGUGCUCGUCGGGUUCAACGACGUGAAGUUGUGAAAGGCCUUCCUUUAAUCAUUGAAGCAUUGAUAGGUUAUCCGCAUCAGUAACCUCUACGAGUUCCAGGUCUUCUGGUUCCGGCUCAGGGCUGGAGUCGGAUUCAUUGUCGCUGUCUACUUCCAUGUUCUUGGGUGAAGCACAGCGGUUCUUGAAACGUUUCUUGGAAAGACGUGAUUCUUGGAAGAAUUCUCCAUCAUAUGUGUCUGGGUUAAUGUGAGGUUCAUAAUCCUGUUCAUUUGGGAGAGGUAGUCUGACAUGUGGCGACACUUCAUAAACAACAUACCAACCUUCCAGAUUCUUAUCCGUUUGGCAUGCCCACGGUAGAUAGAAAACUUGGGUCGCCUGUUGAGCCGUAAUAUAGACAUCGGGAACAUCUAAAUGGGUGUUUGGAUUGAUUCGACUAGUCCUAUAUGUUCAUGAGUCCUUCUAGUCUUUUUCGGCUGGAACCAAUAACAUUUGAAGACUACGACGUUCGGUGGGUUUUCACCAUAGAAUUGAAGUUCAUAAAUUGCUUCAACUCUUCCAUAAUACUCGAUAACACCUUCGCCGAUAGCAGAGACACCACAAUUUGUAGAUUUCCGGUCGGGCAUAGAUAGCUCUUUGCCAAAGGUACGAAAGAGAUACCCGUUGAUGUUGUAUUUCUCAAAUGAACGGACCUUAUAGUCAAAACCAUUAGCGACUUGUCUCAAUUCGGCGUCCAUAGACUCUGAAUUAGCCUACAAGUUUAAUACGAAACGGUUGUUGCAUUAGCCGCAAGUUAGACCAAGAAUGAAAUGGUCCAUUAUUGAUAAUUACCGUUUGUUUGAACCAAGAGAUGAAACCGGGAUAGCCGCCUCUUGUCUUUGACAGAAGCUCAUACUCUUCGACGGAAUCAUUUUCGAUCACCGCUCCAUCCGCGAAUUUGACGACGUAACGGCUGUUUGAAAUAUCCGGGAAUAAGAGCAGUUCAAAUGAAUUAGAAGUUACGGGAAAAUGUGCCGAGAACUCACUCGAUGUACGGCCGCACUUCUAUUAGGUUGUUGAAGAUAUACAACGAAAUGUUCCGCCAUUCUUCGACAUCCAACGUUAUUGGUUUCGAAGCACCGGCUGGUGCGAGCUUCCCUUUGAAUAGGCUGAGGUUGGACCCACCCUUUUUAGGGUCUGCAUCAUUGUGCCGAGGCUUUGGAUUAUGCAAAUGAUAAUUUUUGGCUUCGUAGUGUGUUGUCACAAAGUUUGCCACCUCCUCACUAAUGCACGCCUCAGCCAUCGAUGCUUCAAUUCUAUGCUUAUUUUUACAUUUAGCUCGAAGGGUCUUCUGCAUCCUCUCAGUUGCAUAGCACCAACGAUCUUGCACGGGCCCACCCAAUCUUGCCUCGGUCGGUAGAUGUAAAAUCAAAUGCUGCAUUGGAUUAAAGAAGCCCGGUGGAAAGAUCUUCUCUAACUUGCACAACAACUCCGGUGCAAACUCCUCCAUGUCUUCUACCACGCCAGGCGACAAUUCUUUCGCACAAAGAACACGGCAGAAAUAGCUCAGCUCCGCCAGUACUAGCCAUUCAUCCUCACGAAUAAAGCCACGUGACAUCACCGACAUUACCCGCUCUAGCCAUAUGUGCCAAUCAUGACUCUUGAGACCAAAGAUUUUUAAUUUUUCAAGACUCGCUCCCCUCUUUAGAUUCGCUGCAUACCCAUCGGGGAACAUCAAGUGCAUUUUGACCCACAAGAUAAUUUCCCUCAUAGCUGGCCUUCCAAGAUUGAACCAGGCCUUUGGCUUCGACCACUUCUGCUUUCCUUUGCCUUCUCGCAUGUUUUGUAACGGUCUAUGACAUAGUGUCUCUUGAUCGACUCUAGCCUUAAUAUUAUCCUUUGUCUUCCCAUCUAUGUCGAACAAUGUACCAAAAAUAGCCUCUCUGAUAUUCUUUUCAGUGUGCAUCAUGCCAAUAUUGUGUGGAACAAGGAGGUCUUUGAAGUAAGGCAGAUCCCAGAAGCAUGGCUUGUGAGUCCAGGCGUGUUUUGAAUUAUACCCCUUGAAAUACCCUGGAUGCUCUGGAUCAGGCUCGAGGGCGUUUAACUGAUCCAGGAUCUGUUGGCCUGUGAAUGCAGGUGGUGCCAAGUUUUUGACAACUUUACCUUUCGUAAAUUUCUUCUUAUCUUUUCUGAACUGAUGGUCCGGAUCCAGGAACUGUCUAUGCAAGUCAAAGCAAGAAUACUUCCGACCCUCCUGCAACCAAUGAAACUGAAGAGCUGCCUUGCAUUGGGGGCACGGGAACCUUCCAUGCACACACCAUCCAGAGAAUAGCGCAUACGCUGGCAAGUCAUGCAUAGAGUACAUGUACCACACAUGCAUUUUGAAGUUUUCUUUUCUAGCGGCAUCGUAUCCCAAGCUUCUUCCAAUUCAUCCUUAAGCGGUUGCAGGUACACAUUCAUAUUCUUCCCCGGAUAAUUGGGCCCUGGAAUUAUCAACGUCAGAAAUAAGUUCUUUCUUUGCAUAAUCUGCCCGGGGGGAGAUUGAGUGGAAUGACAAAUACAGGCCAACAACUGUAUUGGGUUGCCGUCAUGCCGAAGGCAUUAAAACCAUCUGUGGCGGCGCAGACUCGAGGAUUCCUUGGAUCUGCCGCUUUAUCCUGAUGCAAUCCAUCGAAAUGUUUCCACGCUUCCCCAUCCGAUGUGUGUACCAUCAUCUUAUUCCCAUCCGCAUCUAGUUCGGUUCUUUUGCCCAAUUUGUGCCAUGUCAUCUGUAUGGCUGUCUCUUCGACCAUGAAAAGAUGUUGAAGUCUUGGUACGAUUGGCAUAUACAAAAGAACACUAACUGCGAUUUUGGUCUGCCUCUUCUCACCCAUACCGUUGUCUACCACAAGAUACCUGCAAGACUCGCAAUUGGGACAAUAGUCCAAGUGUGCAUACUCCUUCCUAAAUAAGACACAUCCUUUCUCACAUGCAUCUAUCUUCUCAUAGGGCAUCUUAAGUACACGAAGUAUUUUGUCCGACUGGUACAGGUUUGCAGGCAUGACAUGGCCUUUGGGUAGGAAACGUCCAAAUAGUGUCAUCAUCGCGUCGUAGCAUUCUCUUCCCAAGUCGAACUGAGCCUUCAGAGCCAUUACUUGUGCAAUUGCAUCCAGCUGACAGAGCUCAGUGUGCUCAUGGAGAGGACGUUUUGAAGACUCCAACAUUUCAUAAAAGGCCUUUGCAGAUUCCUCCAUCUCAUCUUCCGAAUCCCGAGCAUCAUCAAAGUCUUGCACCAUGUCUUCGAUCCUGGUACCAUGCUCGUCCGUGCGAUGACGGACCACCUCAGCUCUUGUGCGUUGUAUAGACUCACCAUGAAAUGUCCACACCGUAUAAUUAGGCUUAAAACCCCUCCUCUGCAGGUGUUUAAUCAUUACAGCCUCUGUCGUCUUUUUAUAGUUGUCGCAUCCAGGACAGGGGCAAUAGUUUCUUUCCUGGCCAUUUGCGAAUGCGGCUUUCACAAAUUCCUUUGUUUUUACAAACCAUUCUUUCGUCAUCUCUUUCUGACUAGGGUGACCGGUAUACAUCCACGCACGAUCACUCAUCUUGCAUAGCUACUAAAGACAGAAGAAGUAUAUUUAUAUAUAAUUUAGCAUUUAUACUCAUCGGUUAAUCAGGUUCGCCAUUUUUAUUACGUCCAGGCAACCUACACGCUAAUAGGUAAAGAUAGGUCCUAAUCCCACCCAAGUAUGUGUAGAUUGGGUUCGUUUUCCCAUGCUCUGCUCUGGAUCCAACGCAAAAUUUUGGCAGCAUCUCCCCGCUGUUCUCCUGAUACACGUCUCCGCAAUAAACAGAGAGGAUGUGCAUCCGGAGAACAACAUGGAGGCACUGACGAAAUUCCGCAUCGGAUCCAGAGCACAGCAUACGGGAAAACGAACCCAAUCUACACAUACUCGGGCUGUCCAUGGAUAAUGUUGGACAAUUCGAAAGGAUGGCGGUUAUAAAUAUGCAAAGACAUGCAUAUUUAUAGAUGUCACCCUUUCGAACGGGAGACGCAUACUGGUCACGCAUACUCAUGAUUGAAGAAACCUAUAUAUAGAUAGCAAGUUUCAUCGGCACGAAGACCGGGACAGAGCAAAUUAAGGGGGUAGGAGGAGAAGUCAUUUGUGCUCACCAACAAACAUAGGGGCGGAGCUCGUCCAACGCACGUGGAGGUCGUCGAACAACUGCACAUUGAAAUUCACCCGAUCAACACAAAUAUGAUGUUUUAUAAGAUAAUCAAAAAAUAUGUGACCUAACUCUUAUUNNNNNNNNNNNNNNNNNNNNNNNNNNNNNNNNNNNNNNNNNNNNNNNNNNNNNNNNNNNNNNNNNNNNNNNNNNNNNNNNNNNNNNNNNNNNNNNNNNNNNNNNNNNNNNNNNNNNNNNNNNNNNNNNNNNNNNNNNNNNNNNNNNNNNNNNNNNNNNNNNNNNNNNNNNNNNNNNNNNNNNNNNNNNNNNNNNNNNNNNNNNNNNNNNNNNNNNNNNNNNNNNNNNNNNNNNNNNNNNNNNNNNNNNNNNNNNNNNNNNNNNNNNNNNNNNNNNNNNNNNNNNNNNNNNNNNNNNNNNNNNNNNNNNNNNNNNNNNNNNNNNNNNNNNNNNNNNNNNNNNNNNNNNNNNNNNNNNNNNNNNNNNNNNNNNNNNNNNNNNNNNNNNNNNNNNNNNNNNNNNNNNNNNNNNNNNNNNNNNNNNNNNNNNNNNNNNNNNNNNNNNNNNNNNNNNNNNNNNNNNNNNNNNNNNNNNNNNNNNNNNNNNNNNNNNNNNNNNNNNNNNNNNNNNNNNNNNNNNNNNNNNNNNNNNNNNNNNNNNNNNNNNNNNNNNNNNNNNNNNNNNNNNNNNNNNNNNNNNNNNNNNNNNNNNNNNNNNNNNNNNNNNNNNNNNNNNNNNNNNNNNNNNNNNNNNNNNNNNNNNNNNNNNNNNNNNNNNNNNNNNNNNNNNNNNNNNNNNNNNNNNNNNNNNNNNNNNNNNNNNNNNNNNNNNNNNNNNNNNNNNNNNNNNNNNNNNNNNNNNNNNNNNNNNNNNNNNNNNNNNNNNNNNNNNNNNNNNNNNNNNNNNNNNNNNNNNNNNNNNNNNNNNNNNNNNNNNNNNNNNNNNNNNNNNNNNNNNNNNNNNNNNNNNNNNNNNNNNNNNNNNNNNNNNNNNNNNNNNNNNNNNNNNNNNNNNNNNNNNNNNNNNNNNNNNNNNNNNNNNNNNNNNNNNNNNNNNNNNNNNNNNNNNNNNNNNNNNNNNNNNNNNNNNNNNNNNNNNNNNNNNNNNNNNNNNNNNNNNNNNNNNNNNNNNNNNNNNNNNNNNNNNNNNNNNNNNNNNNNNNNNNNNNNNNNNNNNNNNNNNNNNNNNNNNNNNNNNNNNNNNNNNNNNNNNNNNNNNNNNNNNNNNNNNNNNNNNNNNNNNNNNNNNNNNNNNNNNNNNNNNNNNNNNNNNNNNNNNNNNNNNNNNNNNNNNNNNNNNNNNNNNNNNNNNNNNNNNNNNNNNNNNNNNNNNNNNNNNNNNNNNNNNNNNNNNNNNNNNNNNNNNNNNNNNNNNNNNNNNNNNNNNNNNNNNNNNNNNNNNNNNNNNNNNNNNNNNNNNNNNNNNNNNNNNNNNNNNNNNNNNNNNNNNNNNNNNNNNNNNNNNNNNNNNNNNNNNNNNNNNNNNNNNNNNNNNNNNNNNNNNNNNNNNNNNNNNNNNNNNNNNNNNNNNNNNNNNNNNNNNNNNNNNNNNNNNNNNNNNNNNNNNNNNNNNNNNNNNNNNNNNNNNNNNNNNNNNNNNNNNNNNNNNNNNNNNNNNNNNNNNNNNNNNNNNNNNNNNNNNNNNNNNNNNNNNNNNNNNNNNNNNNNNNNNNNNNNNNNNNNNNNNNNNNNNNNNNNNNNNNNNNNNNNNNNNNNNNNNNNNNNNNNNNNNNNNNNNNNNNNNNNNNNNNNNNNNNNNNNNNNNNNNNNNNNNNNNNNNNNNNNNNNNNNNNNNNNNNNNNNNNNNNNNNNNNNNNNNNNNNNNNNNNNNNNNNNNNNNNNNNNNNNNNNNNNNNNNNNNNNNNNNNNNNNNNNNNNNNNNNNNNNNNNNNNNNNNNNNNNNNNNNNNNNNNNNNNNNNNNNNNNNNNNNNNNNNNNNNNNNNNNNNNNNNNNNNNNNNNNNNNNNNNNNNNNNNNNNNNNNNNNNNNNNNNNNNNNNNNNNNNNNGGGGGGGGGGAGGAUCCGUUAACGGUGUUAGAGCAUUGCCGUCUGCCUCCGGACUCUUUGCCGUCCGCUAGCAGACGGCAAAGGUCCGACUCCAGUUUGACCUAGCCACCCCGCGGUCAGGUGGGCCUAUCUAUAUCUUUGCCGUCUACCUCUGGACUCUUUGUCGUCCGCUAGCAGACGACAAAGAUGUGACAAAUGGCAAAAAGGCUUUAUGCCAUCAGCAUGUGCUUUGCUGUCUGUUUUGCUGAAGCUGACGACAAAGACACUCUUUGCCAUCAGCUAGCAGAUGGAAAAGACUAGGUAGAUGGCAAAAAACUGUUUUCCAGUAGUGCAGCCUACGUAGGUAAACAAGUGCCACCUCAUCACAAAGUUACACUUCUACAGAACUGCUCAAAACUAGAAUCCAGUGCCACCAUUGGAUUCCUUGGGUUCUCCUACCCCAAAUCCAUAUAUCACACCGCUAUAUAUGCAUGCAGAAAAACACCACAAACAACAAAAGAAAUACUACACAAGAUUAAAACUAACUCUGCCAAGAACAAGAGUUGUUCUUCCCCUGUCAUAUCUGGUAUAAACCAGAUUAGGCAAUUCAACUUCUGGAAUUAAUCCACAAAAGAUAAUAUCAUAGCCAAAAAUAAGAAGAGAAAUAAAUAUGGAUCCAAAACAUCUGAUAAGUGAGUGUUGCCACCCACAAAAGACCCUAUUUUAUAAGAGUAAAUAUUAAAUGCCUUUUAAAAUCAAAAGACCCAGUUUAAAAUCAAAAGACCUAGUUUUCAAAAUAAAAAAAGGAUAAUAAUUCCAGAUAAGUGAGUGUUGCCACCCACACAUAUUUAAAAGGAUUUUCAAAGAAGAUGAACAUUUUUAAUGGGCCAAAACAGGAACUUUAAAACAGGCACAAUUAAUUGAAAAGAGACGAAAGGGUUUUAUUGUCAUGGUGCAACAAGGGUUUUGAAGGUUUCUUGUUGCACCCACACAACUCACAGAUCACACAUGAGCACAUGCACUUACAUACAUUACCAAGGUGGUAACACACAACAACAAGACAAGACAAAGGAUGAUGUCGUGCAUGAUGUCCAAUGCACAUGGAAUGAAGACACAAAGAUCGGCUCACACCAAAAAUAAUACCAUAUCAAGGUUGCCAAACAAGGAAAGAAUAAAAGAACGGGGGAGAAUUGCAAUGGGGUUGUCACAUAAGCGCAGCUACACCACCCUUAUCUAUAAGAGAUGAACCAGCAUGUGAUGAACCGUGAACUCCAAGGCGGUGCCUUCAGGAAGGAAACGACACUAGAGCUCUGCCAUCGCCCGAUUCGAGGAUAUGAGUUUCCCCUAGAGCAACACUACGAGCAAUGAGAGACAUGGUGACAAGUUUAAGAAGGGAACGAGCUUCAUCGUGGCUGGUCCAUCCAAACAUACAUAAGUUUUUCAUCCAGACGAACGCUCACCAUCACUGAACACCACACCCUGGAUACCAUGCCAAGCAUACGACCAUUGCCACCGGGCAACACUGAGCCAUGGGCUUUUUCCAUGAGCACCAUGCUACCACCUCCAGGACCACCAACCUGGCAAACAAGACCUUGACACCACCUCACCCGAGCCCUGUCGCUACCUGAUACGUCUCCAACGUAUCUAUAAUUUUUCCUUGUUUUAUGUUGUUAUAUUAUCAUUCUUGGAUGUUUUACAAACAUUUUACUACAACUUUAUAUUAUUUUUUAGGAGUAACCUAUUAAUGGUUGAAAAAUUUCACAAGUUCUUGUUUCACACUUUGAGUUGUAGGAAUUAAUUAGAAAUUGUCGAAAAAAUGCAAAAGGAGCCUUAUUGAAGGAGGACUGUGACUCUCGUGAAAUCUAUCCACGAACAGUUUUUAGCAAUCGUCAGUUUAACCCCCGAAGAAGGUGUCAAAUGGAAAAAGAUAAAACUAGGAAAGUAUGUGGAAUUUUACGGAAAUAAUUCUCGACUACAAAUUCGUCCAAAACGGAGUUCUUAUGCAAUCUGCAGACCCUUUUUAAUGAAGGAAAAAGAAAUCUUAUUAUGGGAUCACAAGAAUUAUUGACGUGAUUGAAUCCAACUCUUAACAUAUCUAAUAUAUUCGGCCAAGCCACGGUUUUGGAGACUCGUGAGGGCUGUGAUGAGCCCAUAGGAAGGUUCUAGAGGUGCCCGAGAGCCAUUGGAUCAAGGGUCCAUCCAUCGGAGGGCCAUAGAGCACCACAAAGGCACAAAUAAGGAGAUAAAACCCUAAUUUUGGUAGAGCCACCAGGAGCCACGAAUUUGCCUCCAUUGCAGCCGCCAAGAAGGGGAGAGGCUCCUUCAUUGCAGCACCAAGACCAAGGAAGACGAAGGGGGAAGGGGCCGCCGCCCAUCGCCGUUGCCGUGGCCGCAAUUGCCUCCAUCUCUUCGGGGCUGCACCUCUCCAUAAAAAAUCUCACUUUCUCACCAUGAUAAUGUGUGAGUAAUCCUCCUCGGGGCUGAGGGUAUGUACUAGUACCAAUGUGUUCAAUCUCUCUCUCGUGUUCUUGAGAUGGAACGAUCUUGAUGUAUCGCGAGCUUUAUUAAUAUAGAUGAAUCAUAUGGAGUUUUCCCCUCUCUAUCUUCUUGUGAUGAAUUAUGUUUUCCCUUUGAAGUUUUCUUAUCAGAUUGAGUAUUUAAGGAUUUGAGAACACUUGAUGUAUGUCUUGCGAUGGGAUAUCUGUGGUGGCAAUGGAAUGUUCUAUUGUUCCACUUGAUGUAUGUUUUGGGGAUCAACUUGCAGGUUCCAUGACCUUGGGAAUCUAUGCAUACGGGUUGUCACAUGUUUUUGUCUUGACUUUCCGAUAGAAACUUUGGGGCACUCUUUGAAGUUCUUUGUAUUGGAUUGAACAUGAUGAAUCUGAAAUCAUAUAAUCAUGCCCAUGGGUACUUGUGGUGACAUUGGAGUAUCUAGGUGACAUUAGGGUUUUCGUUGAUGUGUAUCUUAAGGUGUUAUUUUAGUACGAACUCUAGGACUGUUCGUGAAACUUAUAGGGAUAGCUCAUAAGAUUGAUCAUAAAAUAUAACUUUGAGGGGGUUUCGUACCCUACAAUAAUUUCUUCGUUUGUUCUCCGCUAUUUGUGACUUUGGAGUGAACUCUUUGUCGCACGUGAGGGAUUUAUAUAUGAUUCAACUAUGUUAGUAUUGUUGAGAGAACUUGCACUAGUGAAAGUACAAACCCUAGACCUUGUUUCCAAACAUUUGUACAAUGUUUUGCUCGCUGUUCACUAUUUGUUACCUUGCUGUUUUAUAUUUUCAGAUUACAAAAACCUAUAUCUACCACCCAUAUUACACUUGUAUCACCAUAGCUUCGCCGAACUAGUGCGCUUAUACAAUUUACCAUUGUAUUGGGUGUGUUGGGGACACAAGAGACUCUUUGUUAUUUGAUUGCAGGGUUGUUUGAGAGAGACUAUCUUCAUCCUACGCCUUUCACAGAAACUUGCUAUUAUCCUACAGAACUCUACCCUUGGAGGCCCAACACGAAUCUACAAGAAGAAGGUUGUGUAGUAGACAUCAAGCUCUUUUCUGGCGCAGUUGCCGGGGAGGUUAGAUAAGCGACACUUACAUCCCGUCAAUGACUUUUGUGGCGCCAUUGCGGGGGAGGUGAGUGAUUGAAGGUAUAUCUUUAGAUCUUACAAUUAAAUCUUUUAGUUUCUUGUUUUUCACUAGUUUGGUUUUAUAAAAUAAAACUAUAAAAAAUGGAAUUGAGGUUGCCUGAUAUGAUUCAUCUUUUCAAUGUCUUUUGUGAAAAUGAUGGAUAGGAAAAUUGUGCUCAAGUGUUAGAAGAAGAAGUUAUUGAAAUGUUUGGUACUAAAUCUUUGUAUGAUGAGCAUGAUUGCAAUGGUGUUAGUAUGAAUUCCUUGGAUAUUCAUGAUGCUAAAGAUAUGCAAAGCCACAAGCUUGGGGAUGCUAUGUUUGAUGAAGAUGAUAUGUUUAGUCCCCCAAGUUUUGAUGAGAAAAUUUAUUAUGAUCAAAGCAUGCCUUCUAUUUAUGAUGAUUAUUGUGAUGACAUGUAUGCUAUAAAGAAUAAUGAUAACCAUGAAACUUGUCAUCAUUUUAAUUUUCAAUUGUAUUAUGCUUCACAUGAUAGUUAUUUUGUUGAGUUUGCUCCCACUACUAUUGACGUGAGUAAAUUUUCUUAUGUGGUGAGUAGUAAAAUAUCUAUGCUUGUAGAUCAUGAAAAGAAUGCUUUAUGUGUUGGUUAUAUUAUGGAAUUCCUUCAUGAUGCUACUGAAAAUUAAUAUGAGGGGGAACAUAUGCUUGUAGGAAUUGCAAUAAUAUCAAGUUUCCUCUCUAUGUGUUCGAAGUUUUGAAGUUAUGCUUGUUUUGCCUUCCUAUGCUAGUUGAUUAUUUCUCCCAUAAAUUGUUUGUUCACAAAAUCCCUAUGCAUAGGAGCUGAGUUAGACUUAAAUGUGCUUGUCAUUAGAUUUAUGAUGCUCUUUUGCAUGUUAUAAUUAUUAUUCCUAUGUGAGCAUCAUUGAAAUUAUCAUACCUAGCUAAAAGGCUUUAAAGAAAAGCGCUUGUUGGGAGAUGAUACGUCCCAAACGUGUCUAUAAUUUCUGUUUGUCCCAUGCUCUUUUGGGUGACAUUGUUAUAUGUUUUGCUACACUUUUAUGCCUUUUACACAUAUUUGGACUAACCUACUAACUCAGUGCACCCAGUGCCAGUUUCUAUCUGCUGAUGUCUUUUAAUUGCACGGACUUUACCCCAAUUUUCAGAGUCCCAAAAAUGCCGAGAAAAUAUAUAAAAAUUAGUGGGACGGAAGCUUCACGAAAAACCGAGGUGGGCCAGAGGGGAUCCAGGCCUCACCCAGGCGGCCACCUCGUGUGGCCCCCCUCCAGGCCGCGCCACCAGGUCGCCUGGGCGGCUGGUCCACCCCUUGGCGCCCUCCUUUGGCCUAUAUUUACCCCUCAGACGAAAAACCCUGAAGAUAUAUCCAGAAUCGCGAAUUUCUCUAUCGUUCCGCCGCCGUAGCGCUUCCGAGAUCGGGAGCGCCAGAAGACCUCUUCCCGGCACCCUGUCGGAGGGAGGAUUGACCUCCGGGAGCUUUUCCACCACCAUGGACGCUUCCCGGACAUGCCGUGAGUAGUCCUCCUUGGACCAUGAGUCCACGACCAGUAGCUAUGUGAUAUAUUCUCUCCAAUCUUGUGCUUCAAUUCUUAGCCCUUGUGAUCUGCCCUACAUGAUCAAGGCAUCUAUGUAAUUUACCAGUUGUUGCUAUGCUGAGUUUGCUGGGAUCCGAUGGAUUAUGAGAUUAUGUUUAGAUUGUGAUGAGUUAUAUAUUUGGUUCUCCUUUUAUAUUAUGUUCUUGAGUAAUUCAUGCAUGUUCUCCGUUGCUUUUUAUUGCUUUGGCCAAGUAGUAGAUUGUGACUCCAAGAGGGAGCGUUAUACAUGAUUGUGGGUUCAUGCCCCCCGAUGUCUAGCUUGAGUGACAGAAACAUGAGACUAGGGGAUGUGCUGUUGCCACCAGGGAAAAAACAACGAUGCUUGUGACCAUGGUUGCAAGGAUUGUUUACCUUACACAAAGUUCGUUAAUGCAGUUGUCCGUUUCUUGGAGUUUACACUUUGGGUGGGGCUUGGAACUUAACACCAGCGAGAUGAUCUGGAUACAUAUCCCAAGGUGGAUGAUUAGAGAGUAGAUGCUGAUGGAUAAAUGGUCUACAUGUCUUGGCGUACUUCCCAUUACUUUUGAGCCUCUAACUUUCUUAUAGCGUGGUUAGCAUCGCAGUGCGUUUAUAAUUCUGUCAGUUGCCCAACUGUAAUUUGUUUACCCAGCAUAGUUGCUUAUCAUCUUUUGGGAGAGAGACAUCACUAGUGAACAUCAUGGGACUGUGGUCCAUAUUUCCACCAUUGUUUACACCUCCAUCAUUUAUCGCUUUUAUUUACUUUUCUGUUGCAAUCACUAUCACUAUUCCCGCUUGUGUUUUGAUCCUUUGCAAACUACAAGGCCGGAGAGAUUAACAACCUCUCUGAACUCGUUGGGAGCAAAGUUAUUUGUUGUGUGUGCAGGUCCACGUCUUCUGCUAGCGCCAGAGCAGCGUACGCCUACUUCUUUAUCCUUGGAGUCCUCCUGGUUCGAUAAACCUUACAGUCCCCGUGUAAGGGAAAUCUGUUGCUGACUACAUCUCAACCUUCCACUUGGGGUAACAAACAAGGGGCAAGAAGUAUAUCCAUCAACUCGUUAUCAAGCAAAUUUCUGGCGCCGUUGCCGGGGACUCCCAUCAUCAAGAUAGGGGAGUUGCACACUAUCUUUUAUCUUUGCUUUUUAGUCUUGUUAGUUUGCUUUGUAGUUUUUGCUUUAGAGUCUUAUACCAAAAACUACAAAAAAAGAGUAGUUAUUUUGCUUUGUUUAGUCUGUAUGUCUAAGUCCUUUUCCUUUGGUGUUGCACCCGAAGGAUAGAUUCUUACCAUCAAAUAAAGGGUUGGAGAAAGUUUGAAAGAUGCUUGGUAUAGAAUUAAAGAUCCUCAAGAUAGAGCCACCAAGAAGCAAUCCACCACUAUUUUGCUUAGAAAUUUUUAUGUUGGUAUUACUUCUUGGAAUAGGUUUGUUCUAGACACAACAAUAGGUGGGAAUUUCUUGGAAGCUCCCGUUUGGCAGGCUCUUAACGUUAUGGAAAAUCUUGUCGGAAUCCCACCUAUUGUUGACAUAAAGGAUGGUAUCACUUUAGCUCACGUUAUGAGUAAACUUGAGAAUAUAGAUCUAGAGAUGCCAAGCAUGGGUAACAUAAAUGAAGUAGAUUGUAAGAUUCAAGGGAACUUAAAUAGACUUGAUAGCUCCAUGCACAAAAUUUACAAAACUUGGGAGACCCUUAAAUCCCAUGAUGUGGAUCCUUCUAGGAUUGAUAAGAUCGAGGAUAUUUUUGGAACUUUAGGAACUACUCUAUCCUCCAUCAAUACUAAAAAGGUAGAAACCCCCGCAAGGAAGGGACCUAAGUUCGUUCACGUACCCAAGGUUCCUCAACCCAAAACAAGUAUACCUAUUGCUAAGGGUGUUGAAACUGUGAAGACCUUGGAAGAGAUACCUCUCUUAAAUAGAAUUAGAAAUGGAAUUCCAAUUGAUCUUACUACCUUUGCUUUUGUUCCUAGAAGUGUUGCCACUAGGCCUCUCUUUGAGAGUCCUCUUAAGAUUAGUUGUAAUAUUGAAGAGCUUUUUGAUGAUCUUUGUGAUGGUUCAAUUGAUACAACUUGAUCUUUGUGCAUCAUGCCUAACUCAAAGGCAUAAAAGAAACCGCUUGUUGGGAGGCAACCCAAUUUAUUUUUACUUUCAGUUUUAGUGGUCUUGAUGCUUAUUACUACUGUAGCAACAUCAUUGUAUCUUUAUUUUCAAGCUUUGUGCCAAGUUUUAGCCUUCGGUUGCAAGAAAGCUCAAAAGUUGUGACAUGGUGUCGAGAAACAGAUUAUGUCUGCUUGUCGGAAAAAUCCGCCAAACAUCACCAGAUAAUAUUUUUGAUCUGAAUUGUUUUGACAGUAUGCUCUAUAUAGUUGUAUUUCUGGCAUAUUUUCUAAGUUUUUUAUUUGAGUUGCAAAAGCGCCCCGAAAAAAUCAUUUACUACCUGUUGUUCUGUUUUUCCCAGAUUCUGCCAUGUUUUGCGUUUUCAUUGUCUUCCAAAUCUUAAGCUUGCUUUUUCUUUGCAAAAACCUUUUGGCAACCUUUAGAAACAGUAUCUCUUCCUGAAAAUCUUUAUUUCCAGUAGAGAAAAAUAUAUUUUAUUAUGGGCACUAACCACCCUAAUCAGCUUAUGAUGAGUUUUCUAUGAAGGGAGUUGUCAAGUAUGCGAUGGAAGAUGAUGAAAGAAGAUUUAGCAGUGUCAAGCGCUCAAGCUUGGGGAUUCCCCUAUGCACCCCCAAGAAAUAUUCAAGGAGACUCGAGCGUCUAAGCUUGGGGAUGCCCCCGUGCAUCCCCAUCUCCAUUGAUACGUCUCCAACAUAUCUAUAAUUUUUGAUGGUUUCAUGCUAUUAUCUUGUCAAACUUUGGAUGUUUUAUAUGCCUUUUACAUCUUUUUUGGGACUAACUUAUUAACUCAGUGCCAAGUGCCAGUUCCUGUUUUUUCCGUGUUUUGACCCUUUUCAGAGGAAGAUUUGAAACAAAGUCCAAACGGAAUAAAAUCCCCGAAAAGAUUUUUUUUGAAACAGAAGAAGAUCGGGAAAAUUGAGAACCAAGCCAGGGGGUCCCCAGGGACCCCAGAAGCGCCCUAGCCCCGGCCAGGGGGGAGGCCGGGCCUCCCUGGCUUGUGGGCCCCCUGGAGCUCCUCUGCCCUAGGUUUUUUGCCUAUAUAUUUGAUGUCAACUGUUCUUCCCCUUUGCAACGAUACCAGAAGAAUUCUACUAGCACUCUCCGGCAAUCUAAACUAGAAGAAUGUUGUUGACGGCCCACCAGCGCAUGGGAUCGUAGCAGCUUUCGAGGGUAGAGUAUUCGACCCAAAUUUUUUGAUCGCCAAACAGGAGGUGAGAGAAUACUCUCGAGUAUUAGCAGCUGAAUGCGUCAGAUUCAACCACACCUAAAAGAUUAGUAUCUGCAAGCAAAGUAGUAACAACAAAGUAAUAUGAUAACAACGGUGUCAGAAACGAUCUGUUGACGGCAGACUAUUCCUAACUGUCGUAUCAAUGGCGCCAAGUUGCCUCAUUGACGGAAAUUGUCAGUUCCCAUCAAUGAUCAGCGAUCAAGAUUGUAGCAGGUAGCAGCAGUGUAACGAGCAAUAGCAACGGCAAGGAAAAGCAGUAGUGACAGCAGUAGCAAGUAGCAACAGUAGGAAGCGAUGGCAGUAGCAACAGUAGCAGCAGAGCAAGACAAGUAACAACAGUAGCAACAGUAGUAACAACAGCAGAGCAAGACAAGUAACAACAGCAGUAGGACAAACUCGUAGGCAAUGGGUCGGUGAUUUGUUUGGAUGAUAUUCAUCAUGCAACAGUUAUAACACGGAGAGAUAUGUGGCUAGCUCCCGUUCGUCAAUGUGAUGUAGGCAUGCAUUCCGUGUGUCGUCAUACGUGCUUAGGGAAAAGAACUUGCAUGACAUCGAUUGUCCAUCCCUCCCGUGGCAGCGGGGUCCAAAAGGAAACUACGGGAUAUUAAGGUUCUCCUUUUAAUAAAGAACCGGACCAACGCAUUAGCACUUGGUGAACACAUGAACUCCUCAAACUAUGGUCAUCACCGGGAGUGGUUCUGGUUAUUGUCACUCCGGGGUUGCCGGAUCAUAACACAUAGUAGGUAACUACAACUUGCAAGAUCGGAUCUAAAACACACAUAUAUUGGUGACAACAUAAUAAUUUUAGAUCUGAAAUCAUGGCACUUGGGCCCAAGUGACAAGCAUUAGCAUGGCAAAGUAGUAGCAACAUCAAUCUCAGAACAUAGUGGAUACUAGGGAUCAAUCCCCAUCAAAACUAACUCGAUUACAUGAUAGAUCUCAUCCUACUCAUCACCGCCCAGCGAGCCUACGAAUAGAUUACUCACGAACGACGAAGAGCUCCAUGGAAUUGGAGAGGGAAGAAGGUUGAUGAUGACGAUGGCGACGAUUUCCCCUCUCCAGAGCCCAAGACGGACUCGAGAUCUGCCCUCCAGAUGAAGAACAGGUAGUGGCAGCGGCUCCGUAUCACAAACGCCAUGAAAACUUCUCUAUUUAUUUUUUCUGGGACGAAAGUGAACUUAUAGACCUGAGGUUGGGGGCGCCACAGCCGUGUGGGCCCCACAAGCCUGCCCACCGCCACCAGGGGGGUGGCGGAGCCAGGGCUUGUGGCCCACUGGCCCACCCCCUCAGGUGGCACUUGGCACAGAUAUUUUUCAUAUUUUCCAAAACUUCUCCCCGUAGAUUUUCAGGACGUUUGGAGAACUUUGAUUUCUGCACAAAAAUAACACCAACGCAAUUUUGCUGAAAACAGCGUUAGUCCAGGUUAGUUCCAUUCAAAUCAUGCAAAUUAGAGUCCAAAACAAGGGAAAAAGAGUUUGGAAAAGUAGAUACGAUGGAGACGUAUAAAUAUUCCCUAAAAUCCCAGAAAAAAUCAAGAGAUCAUCGAAAGUACUUUUCCACCGCCGCAAGCUUUUGUCUCCGCAAGAUCCCAUUCGGGGCACGUACCGGUGCCUUGCCGGAGGGGAGAUUCGGAUACGGAGGGCAUCUUCAUCAACACCAUGACCUAUCCGAUGAUGCUUGAGUAGUUCACCAUAGACCUACGGGUCCAUAGCUAGUAGCUAGAUGGCUUCUUCUCUCUCUUGGAUCUUUAAUACAAAGUUCUCCAUGAUCUUCAUGGAGAUCUAUCCAAUGUAAUCUUCUUUUGGGGUGAGUUUGUCGAGAUCCGUUGAAUUCUGGAUUUCUGAUCAGAUUAUCUAUGAAUCUUAUUUGAGUUUCUUCUGAUCUCUUUUAUGCAUGAUUUCAUAUCCUUGUAAUUCUCUUCGAGUUGUGGGUUUUGUUUGGCCAACUAGAUCUAUGAUUCUUGCAAUGGGAGAAUUGCUUGGUUUUGAGUUCAUACCGUGCGGUGACCUCACCUAGUGACAGAAUGGGUAACGAGGCACGCAUCAUGUUGUUGCUAUCAAGGGUAAAAAGAUGGGGUUUUCAUCAUUGGUUUGAGAUUAUCCCUCUACAUCAUGUCAUCUUGCUUAAGGCGUUACUCUGUUCGUCAUGAACUCAAUACACUAGAUGCAUGCUGGAUAGCGGUCAAUGUGUGGAGUAAUAGUAGUAGAUGCAGAAAGUAUCGGUCUACUUGUCUCGGACGUGAUGCCUAUAUGUAUGAUCAUUGCCUUAGAUAUCGUCAUGACUUUGUGCGGUUCUAUCAAUUGCUCGACAGUAAUUUGUUCACCCACCGUAAUAUUUGCUAUUUUGAGAGAAGCCUCUAGUGAGCACUAUGUCCCCCAGGUCUACUCCACACUAUAUUUUCAGCCUUACUCCUUUUCUUCGUUGCACUUUCCGCCUUCAGAUCUCACUUUGUAAUCAAUCUUGAAGGGAUUGACAACCCCUUUAUAGCAUUGGGUGCAAGCUCGUUUGUGUUUGCGCAGGUACUCUGGAGUUGACGAGAUUCUCCUACUGGAUUGAUACCUUGGUUCUCAAACUGAGGGAAAUACUUACUGCUCCUGUGCUGCAUCACCCUUUCCUCUUCAAUGUAAAAACCAACGCAAGCAAGUCUCUGUCAACGUGUCAAUUUCUGGCGCUGUUGUUUGAGAAGUAGCAUCCAUCAACAAUCAUCAGUUCGCCCUUCUCCAUGCUAUAUUUUUGUCACUUCAUAUGUUAUGUGCUAUGCUUGGAGCGUCCCGCUCUUUAAUUUUUAGUUUGUUUUAUUUUUUCUUGCUGUUCAUAACAAGUUGGAACCUAGCCUUCUUGGUUUGGGAGAGAAACACGCUCCACUCCACCCUAGAACACAACAUAGGUUUUCAUGCUUAUCUUUUUUGUGUGUUCUUUAUCUUUUCAUAGCUGUUGUCAUGCUUAGCUCUUAGUUUUCAUGCUUUAUAUUUUUAAGAGCUUUUAUUUAGGUUGCUUUUGGAACUCUCUUGAGUUAUCAUGCUUAUCUUGUUUAGAGAGUUGGCUUAUUGCACUGAGUUGUGUGUCUUGCAUGAGUAAACUGAGGUUGCUAUUUAAGUGUAGUAGUAACUUGCAAUAGUUUUGAGUAAUGUUUGGAGUUUUGGUGUCAUGAGCUUGAGCCUAUUAGUGAUAGGUGUCGUAUUUUCGGAAAUCCAUGUGUGUUUUCAAAAACUAAAAAAAAUAGCUGAGAACUCUAGCUACUAGAUGGAUCGCUAACCUCUGGAGGGGUUGGAAUAUAUAGAGUACCCUCACGUUAUCAUGGGUCGAUGAUGCGCAAGGACUCCUCCUCGGGGUGCUUGUCUAUUUGCGAAUCUCCUGACUAGAUAGAGAGUUACCUAUAAUAAGUGCAUGAGUUCUUCGGACUAAUGUGAGUAUUCGAUUGUUGGCACUUCCACCAUCCAUAUUUUGCUAGCCUCUUUCGUACCGUGCAUUGCCUUUUCUCAUCUUGAUAGUUGGUGGAAAUUUCGCCGGUGCAUCCAAACCCUUGGCAUGAUACGCUCUGUCAUCAUAAGCCUCAUUGUAUCCUUCCUCAAAACAGCCACCAUACCUACCUAUUAAGGCAUUUUCAUACCCUUUCCGAGAUACAUUGACAUGCAACAUCCACCAUCUCAUGACUUGAUCUUCAUUUCGUACAUGCUUUUGCUUGAUCGAGGAGCCGCAUGAUAGUUGGGCCUUGCCCUUAUUAUUGCUACAUGACGCGCUAGAUUCAUUGCAUAUCCUGCUACACUGGCAGAGGCAUACAUUUGCAUACAUCAUGAUAGUUUUCAUUUGUCUUUAUGUUGAGUACUUCUUAUAAAGUGUGAAGAUCUUCUUUUUAUUCUUGUAGAAUAUAGAGUGUUGCCCUUAAGUGAGGAAGAGAUCCCAAAGAGGACAAUUUAAAAGAUCCCAGAAGAGGACACAUGAAAAGAUCCCAAAGAGGACAAAUGUGAGAUAAAUAGAAAGAGCCAAAGAGGCCACAAAAAAAAGAGAGAGAAGGGGUCAACACUACUAUUCCUUUUGAAAGAUCCACACUCGUACUCCAUUGUUAUAUUUGUACUCCAUAGAGAUUAUCAUUCAUGCAUAACUAUGUGGGAACCCUUACACUAUACAACUUGGCUUGUAUAUUCCAAUGAUGAGCCUCCUCAAAUGAGCUCUAGGUCUUCAUGAGCAAGCAAGUUGGAUGCACCCCCACUAGUUACAUUGGAGAGCUUACCUUAGCUCAUAUGUGCAUCCGUUGCAUGGCAAUCCCUACUCCUCACAUCAUAUCUAUCAUUUGGCUUUCUCUCGCCUAUGGUUGUCCUCAUUGAUGUGAGCCUUUCACAGCUUUUUUGUCUUCCUUCCCCAUCAUUAUUCUCUUUGCUAUCAUAAGUGCCAACAUAUGUUGCUUGCACUCAUCCAUUGCAUGAGUGCUCAAAGUCGAAAGGGAGAGGGUCAUUUUGACUUGUGCCUGACUGGUGGUCUGGGGAUGAGUCAAAAUAAGAUUCCGAAGGAGAUCAAGUGUGAAGUUUUUGUAGAUUGAGUUCUCAAUUAAAUUAUAAUAUUUUUAUGCUCUAAACACAUCUCCCACUUCGUGCACGCAAACACCACUUGGAGACAUUCAACUCACGGACAGCGAGAGCUCUUGCACCUUUAUGUUCUUACUUUGCUAUUUUCAAUACUAAAUAUAGACACUUGCUUGUUAUUGUCUUGACUUGAAUUGCAUAUCUUACUUGCUUUACUUUGAAGUUCUUAUAUGUGUGUUAGCAUGUCACCACAGAAAUUAUUUGUGUUAUCAUAUAGCUACUCGAGGACGAGCAGGAAUUAAGCUUGGGGAUGUUGAUACGUCCCAAACGUAUCUAUAGCUUAUGUUUGUUCCAUGCUCUUUUGGGUGACAUUGUUAUACGUUUUGCUACACUUUCAUACCUUUUUACACAUAUUUGGACUAACCUACUAACUCAGUGCACCCAGUGCCAGUUUCUGUCUGCUGAUGUCUUUUUAUUGCAGGGACUUUACCCCAAUUUUCAAAGCCCCAAAAAUCUCAAGAAAAAUAUAUAAAAUUCAGCAUGACGGAAGCUUCACGAAGCACCAAGGUGGUCCAGAGGGGAGCCAGGCCUGACCCAGGCGGCCACCUGGCGAGGGCCCCCUCCUGGCCGCGCCACCAGGUCGCCUGGGUGGCUGGUCCACCCCCUAACGCCCUCCUUUGGCCUAUAUUUACCCCUCGACCGGAAAACCCUAAAGAUAUAUCCAGAAUCGCGAAUUUCACCACCGUUCUGCCGCCGUAGCGCUUCCGAGAUCGGGAGCACUAGAAGACCUCUUCCCGGCACCCUGUCGGAGGGAGGAUUGACCUCCGGGAGCUUCUCCACCACCAUGGACGCUUCCCGGAUGUGCCGUGAGUAGUCCUCCUUGGACCAUGAGUCCAUGACUAGUAGCUAUGUGAUGUCUUCUCUCCAAUCUUGUGCUUCAAUUCUUAGCCCUUGUGAGCUGCCCUUCAUGAUCAAGGCAUCUUUGUAAUUUACCUACUGUUGCUAUGCUGAGUUUGCUAGGAUCUAAUGGAUUAUGAGAUUAUGUUCACAUUGUGAUGAGUUAUAUAUUUGGUUUUCCUUUUAUAUUAUGUUCUUGAGUAAUUCAUGCAUGUUCUCCGUUUCUUUUUAUUGCUUUGGCCAAGUAGUAGAUUGUGACUCCAAGAGGGAGCGUUAUGCAUGAUUGUGGGUUCAUGCCCCCUGAUAUCUAGCUUGAGUGACAAAAACAUGAUACUAGGGGAUGUGUUGUUGCUACAAGGGAGAAAACAACGGUGCUUGUGACCACGGUUGAAAGGAUUGUUUACCUUACGUAAAGUUCGUUAAUGCAGUUGUCUGUUGCUUUGAGUUUACACUUUGGGUGGGGCUCGCAACUUAAUACCUACGAGAUGAUUUGGAUAGAUAUCUCAAGGUGGAUGAUUAGAGAGUAGAUGCUGAUGGAUAAACGGUCUACUUGUCUUGGCGUACUGCCCAUUACUUUUGAGCCUCUAACUUUCUUCUAGCAUGAUUAGCAUUGCGGUGCGUUUAUAAUUCUGUCAAUUGCCCAGAUGUAAUUUGUUUACCCAACAUAGUUGUUUAUCGUCUUUUGGGAGAGAGACAUCACUAGUGAACAUCAUGGGACUUUGGUCCAUAUUUCCACCAUUGUUUACACCUCCAUCAUUUACUACUUUUAUUUAGUUUUCCGUUGCAAUCACUAUCACUAUUGCUGCUUGUGUUUUGAUCCUUUGCAAACUACAAGGCCGAAGAUAUUGACAACCUCUCUGAACUCGUUGGGAGCAAAGUUAUUUGUUGUGUAUGAAGGUCCACGUCUUCUGCUAGCGCCAGAACAGUGGACACCUACUUGUUGAUUCUCAGAGUCCUCCUGGUUCCAUAAACCUUACAGUACCCAUGUAAGGGAAAUCUGCUGCUGACUACAUUUGAACCUUCCACUUGGGGUAACCAACGAGGGGCGAGAAGUAUAUCCAUCAACUCGCCAUCAGGAGACAACCCAACACUUUUACUUUCUGUUUUGAUGUGUUCACAAGAUUAAUCUACUGUAGUAAUCAAGUUUUAUAGCUUUUGUUUCAAUAAAGUGCCAAGUAAAGCCUUUGGCAUAGUGUGGAUGAUAGUUGAGUUGACUAUGUGCAAAAACAGAAACUUUUGCUCUAGGUCCAGGAAUUUUGUAAAUUCACUGGAAUGUCCUUUUGAUCUAAAUUUUUUACACAUGAUUGAUAUACAAAUUGCCUGGAUUGUCCUAUUUUUUCAUAAUUUGUAGAGACAGGGAAGUAUGGUUACACUACAGAUCUUCACAGACUAUUUUGUUUUUGAUAGAUUCUGUUUUGCAUGCAUAGUUUCCUUGUUUUUGUGUUCCCAUAGCUUAUAUUCAGUGAUAUAAAUUAGUGCGUUGGGUGAUUCUGCUGACACGCGGGUGCAGCCCCGCAUUUCGUUGUGGGGUAGUGCAUGGGAGGCUAUCGCAGAUGCACCUUACACUGCCCUAUGAUGGUUUCUUCGGGCACACCCCAUGGUCCAAUCAUCAUGGACCACCCAACGAGGUCCCCGGGCCUACGCCGUUCGAGCAGGUUGGACGGUGCGGUGACGUCCCGAGUGGCCCUCCUGCCACACCAUUACUAGAUGGACGACUGGGAGUGUAUGAGUUGUUGGAUUUCCCGAAAGGAAGCACAUAAAGUAUUUUCCUUAGUUAAGAACCAAGGUUUAUCAAAUCACUAGGAGUCACCAAGCUAAGAUCGUUAGUAGUACAUGCACACCAACAAAUAAAUUGCUUGCACCCACAAAUCAAGGAGGUCGCCAAUCCCCUUGUUGUUGCUAGUUAUAAUAUUAAAUCAAAUAGUGAUAGGAAAAGCGAGAAAAUAGAAAAAGAAAGUAAAGAGCAAUUGUAGGAGUUUUUAUAUUCAUAGAAAAUAGACCCGAGGGCAUAGGUUCACAAGCCACACCUCUCUCAAAAGCAGGUAAUGGCAUGGUAACAAAUUGUUGUUGGACAACUGAAAAAAUACCUUAAAUUAUAACUUUGGUCAUUGAUGGUAUAAUCUCACAUAGGCAUUGCAUGUGGGAUAAGUAGACUCUUAAUCCAACAACAUCUACUAUUUUAUGGCAUAUUUCUACCCUAGUGGUUUUGGUAAUUGAUGACAAUGCAAUAGCGCACUAAUCGUGUGCACUAAGCCUUUCAGGUAUUUCAACGUAUGGCACAAGAUGAUUCAUUCCCCUUGGUGUACUAAUGUGAGGACGGUUUUCUUCCUUAUGUUUCACUGUCGGUGGAAUUGAGUCAUAGGAAAAGCCGUACUAUUAAUAGGCGGCACGCAUUGGAAAGGUUUGGGUGGAAUCAUCAUGUACACAUUUUAUCACACCCUUGUUCCUUUCCCGCGACGAUGGAGCCUCUAACCUUGGCAUUGUUCUGCCUGAAGAUACCCAAGCGGUAGUACCGCUCCCAGGAGAGGUACUACCUGUUAUCUUGGGUGGUAGUGUCAUGGCUUGUGCCGCUUCCUCGGUGUCUCGCCACUUUUCGUGUCCGUCUGAGCAGUUUCUGGAGUGGUAGCUCUCGGUGGUAGUACCUCUUAGUACUAUCAUGUCAGUUUCGCUCACGUUUUCUUAGGUUGGGCUCUCACUAGAUCUUGAGCGGAUGUAGGUGGCGGUACUACCCCUUAUUGGCAGGAGUACCGCCCCUGGUAGCGGUAGUACAACCCUGGUAGUACGACCUCCCUCCGCCUCCCUCCUAAUUUGCUACUCCGUAGCCACAUUGGUAGUACCGCUCCCUCAGGAGCGGUACAACCUCUCAUGGGCGGUAGUAUCGUACAUGUGUGGGCUUUGUGACUGGAUAACGGUUGGAAUUGUCCCCCCCCCAGUAUAUAAAGGAGGUCUUCUAUCCCAAGAAGUUUACCUUUUCUCAAACCUAAGCUCCAUUGUUGCUCCAAGCUCCAUUUUCACCUGAUCUCUCUCCCUAGCCAACAAAACUUGUUGAUACUCUAGGGUUUUCUUGAGAGGGCCUUGAUCUACACUUCCACCAAGAGAAAUUUGAUUCCCCCCACUAAACCGUCGUGGAUCUUGUUACUCUUGGAUGUUUGAGCACCCUAUACGGUUGAGGUCAGCUCGAAGCCAAAUUCCAUUGUGCUAAAGCUUCGUGAUUUCGUUGGGAGCCUCCUAUUAAGUUGUAGAGAUUUCCCCAACCUCGUUUGUAAAGGUUCGGUCAUCGCCUUCAAGGGAACCAGUAGUGGAAUAACAACAUCUCACAUUGUGUAAGGGCGUGAGAAGAAUACGGUGGCCUUAGUGGCAUAUUGGGGAGCAUUGUGCCUCCACACCGCUCCAACGGAGACGUACUUCCCCUCAAAGGGAAGGAACUUCGGUAACACAUCAUCGCCUUCAUCGGUUCCACUUGUGGUUACUUCUUACCUUCACUUUGUAUUUGUUACUUGCUUCUUGUUGUUUUUGUUAGCAUCAUAUAUGUUUCUCACCUAGUUGCAUAUCUAGAUAACCUAUUUGUUGCUAAACUUAGUUUGUUGAAGAAAAGCUAAAAAAUGGUAGUUGCCUAUUCACCGUCCCCCUCUCUAGUCAACCAUAUCGAUCCUUCAAUUGAUAUGAGAGAAACGUCUCUUUGUUAAGGGUUUCACCACCCAAAGAGUAUGGUUAACAAUGGGAUCAGGUUGUGGAUUUACCCGAGGCCAUGGGUGUGAGCACGUUCUCCCGAGAGGAUUUAAAUGAGGCAAUUUUGUCACUUAAAUCCUCUAUGGCGACCGACAAAAAAUCCAUGUUAACAAUUUCCUUGACUGGCUCAAACUCUCUGCCGAUCCAUUGCGAGUCGUUAACCCCACUACUUUGGACUAGGAUGCCAACUCUGAUAAGGAGAUGGCUAUUAUUGAUAAAAACAAGUUUCCUUAAGGAACAGACGACGGAUAACUAUGCCUCGAUUCCUCUUCCCGUGGUCUAGGAGGGCGGGUUCACUCAUCGCAUAAUAUUAAACUUCGCCCUCCUCCUAAACUUGUUAAGAAUGAUUUUGCUAAUUGGUUUUUUCGUAUCAAGUCUCAUUUUAAUCACAGCUCAACACAACUUUGGAGAAUCGUUGAGAAAGGGUACUAUCCUUAUGAUUCAAGCAACCUCACUUCAAGAGAAUAGGUCGACAAUCAACUCAAUCACUCCGCCUUGUUCAUCCUUUAAGAGGCUAUCCCCGUUGAAGAUCUUGCUCACUUGCGGUAUUUCACUUGUGCUAAGGAUUGUUGGGAACCGAUUGUUUCCAUGUACAAGGGAAGCUCGAGUACUCAACACUCCAAUUUUGAGGCGGUUCUUGAUGAGGCCGAUGAUUUUGUGAUGCUUCAUGAUGAGGACCCUCCUGAGCUCUAUCGGAGAGUGACAACUUUUGUCGUUGCUCUUCAAGAUCAUGGAAGCAAGGAUGUGGAUGACAAUUGGAUCAGGCAGAAGUUUCCCAAGGCCGUCAUGCCAUUCAACAAGGACUUGUCAUCCAUCAUCCGUCAAAGGCCGGAGUUUCACUCUUUGCCCUCAAGUGAUGUGUUGGAUGAAUCCAUGCCAUGAACAUAUUGAACAAGACCGCCGACAACUCUCUAGCUCGUGUCCAAUGUGUUGGAAAUAUGCCCUAGAGGCAAUAAUAAAUUGGUUAUUAUUAUAUUUCCUCGUUCAUGAUAAUUGUUUAUUGUCCAUGCUAGGUGAGCCUCUAGUUGAGUAGCUCGUUGAUCAAGAUGGUCAAGGUUUCCUCACCAUAGACAAGGGUUAUCACUUGAUAACAGGAUCACAUCAUUAGGAGAAUGAUGUGAUGGACAAGACCCAAACUAUGAAACGUAGCAUAUGAUCAUGUCAGUUUAUUGCUACUAUUUUUGCAUGUCAAUGUAUCUAUUCCUAUGACCAUUAGAUCAUCGAACUCCCGGAUACCGGGUGAAAGGAUGUGGAUGUCGCCUAGAGGGGGGUGAAUAGGCGCUUUAACAUAAUUACGGUUUAGGCUUGAACAAAUGCGGAAUAAAACUAACGUUUAAUUUGUCAAGCAGAAAUUUAAUUUGUCAAGCAGAAAACCUAAAACAACUAGGCUCGCCUAUGUGCACCGACAACUUAUGCUAAGCAAGAUAAACAACUAAGUGGUAGCAAGAUAUAUGACAAGAAACAAUAUGGCUAUCACAAAGUAAAGUGCAUAAGUAAAGGGUUCGGGUAAGAGAUAACCGAGGCACGCGGAGAUGACAAUGUAUCCCGAAGUUCACACCCUUGGGGAUGCUAAUCUCCAUUUGGAGCGGUAUGGAGGCACAAUGCUCCCCAAGAUGCCACUAAGGCCACCGUAAUCUCCUCACGCUCUCGCACAAUGCAAGAUGUCAUGAUUCCACUAAGGGACCCUUGAGGGAGGUCACCGAACCUAUACAUACAAGGUUGGGGCAAUCUCCACAACUUAAUUGGAGGCUCCCAAAAAAACCACGAAGCUUCACCACAAUGGCAUAUGGCUUCGAGGUGACCACAAAUGCUCGGGGCAAUCUCCACAACUUAAUUGGAGACCUCGACGCUUGCCCGGAGCUUUAAACCACAAUGAUUGAGCUCCGAGGCACCAGCAAGCUUCUAGGGGUACCAAGUACCCAAGGGUAAUAAGCUUCUCAACUUCUCACUUCCACGUAUCACUGUGGAUAACUCAAACUGAUGCAACUAAUGCAAUGGCAAUAACACAUGAAGUGGUCAAGUCCCUCACACUCAAAUCUCUCCACAACAACAAAAGCUAUGGAGUAAUAUGAGAGGAAGAACAAGGAGCUCCAAAGAACUCCAAGAUCAAGAUUCAAGGGGUUCCCCUCACAUAGAGGAGAAAGUGAUUGGUGGAGAUGUGGAUCUAGAUCUCAUCUCUCCUUACCCUCAAGAACUAGCAAGAAUCAUUGGAGGGAUUGAGAGUUAGCAAGCUCUAAGAAGGUCAGCAAUGGGGGAAGAACACGAACUCAACGGAUAGAUAAGGUCCAAUGGGGAAGAAGACCUCCUUUAUAUAGUGGGGGGGGGGGACGAAUCCAACCAUUAAGCCCACUCACAACCCAACUGGAGCGGUACUACCGCUGCUCAGAGCGGUACUACUGUUCCCAGAAUGUCCGAGGGAGCGGUAGUAAAAAAUUACUACCGCUCCAGGAGCGGUAUUACCUCUCGCACCAUGAGCGGUACUACCGCUGGAUACUAAAACUGCACUAACUUUUGCAUACGAACUCUGAAUCGAGAAAACUCAAGCUUGUUGAAUUUACAACGAUAAGAGCUAUCCACAAGCGACAUAAAAUCUUAAGAACAUGCAGUUAGAAAAUUACAAUGAUAUAGAGAAGUGAUACCUCUAUGAAUGAAGAAUCGACAAAAACUUCCAACAUUGAAAACAUCAUAGAAGAUGCAUAUGUACUCCGUUUUCGAUGAACUCGAGCUUGUCUUGAAGAUGACCAUAAGCUCUAAAACUCAUAAAGAGAAACACCAAACGAGAACCAAGAAAUAUGAUGCAAGGAUGCAAAUGGUUUGAGCUCUCAACGAACGAUACGAUCAAGCUACUCACUAGAGAUCCCCCCUUUACAGUACGACAAUCUGUCCUAAAAUAGAAAACCUAUCAAGGGAAAACCUAUACCUUGCACCUAGUCCUCUUGAGCUAGAUGAUGAUGAUCUUGGCUUUCUCAAGAUGGACCACCUUUCUUGAUUGCCUUGGUUUGACGAAGAUUAGUUGAUUGCUCCCCCAUACUCACUAUGGGUGAGCCACUUUUCAGCACAUAUUCAUAGGUCCAUUGCCACCACAAUGGACGGCAAGCUUAAAGCAUGAUAUCUUCGUGGUGCUCCACUUGAACUUGCACACCGCAAUCUUGAUGACGAUUACCACUUGAUGUCAUCCUUCAUAGGCUGAAUGAGAUCUUCCUCUUGACGCAAACCCAUGGAGACACACCUAACCCCACAUAGAAGUCUCACAAGGACCAUGGGUUAGUACACAAAAGCGUUAUGGACAAUGCUUACCAUACCAUGGGAUCACUUGAUCCCUCUCGGUACAUCUGGUACACUUUGUGUGUUGAUCAUCUUAAUUUACUCUUUGCUUAGUCUUGAUCAACCUUGUGUCUUUAUGACCAAUCUUUGGAUAAUACCUUGAAUACCACCUUGGUCAUCAUAUAAACUCCUCGACACCAACAGAUGGACUUCAAGAAGUGCCUAUGGAAAAAUCCUUCGAAUAUAACUUAAGCAUCCAUUAGUCCAUAGGGAUUGUCAUCAAUUACCAAAACCACAUAUGGAGAAAUAUGCUCUAACAAUCUCCCCCAUUUUGGUAAUUGAUGACAAUCAGUACAAGAGAGUUUAUAUAAGAAAAUAAGCAUAACCAAGCACACACAUACAAAGCUAUAAUGCAUGCGUACAAGAUGUAAAUGCUUAAGCAAUAAAAGCAAAACCCUCUAUGCAUCACAAAACUAAACUCUCUAAACUUCUCCCCCAUUGGCAUCGAUUGCAAAAAUGGACAAAAAGUUUAGAAAGCCAAUAUAGUAGGUGGUCCUCCAAAAAGUGUGUACUUCUCAACAAUAGUGCAAAGAAAUGCACAAAUACAAUGAUAAACGUUGGAGGAAAACGAACUAUAUCAAGGACCCAAAGAUUGCAGGAAGGAUCUAAUGUCACACAGACGUACAAACGAGAGAAGCACACAAUCAAAAGAUACCAAUAGGAACAAGCAAUCAUAUGGUCCUUCGAACCACAUGAAUAAAAGAUAUUAUGAUAAGGACAAUAGUGUGUUUUAUAAAAACUAGAGAAGCUCCCCAUGAUUUGUGCACUAAUAAGAUAUUUUUUGUAUUUGAUACAAGUGCAAAAAAUAGGAUGGUUGCUCCCCCAAAAUUAAUAAAAGCACACAACAAGUGCAAGAAAAUAGAUGAGACAAUAAGUAUAUCACUUGCACAAAACAUAUGGUUGAGCAACAUGUAAAAGAGGCAACUUAAGAGUAGGCUCAACCAAAAUGAUGCAUGUGAGUCAUGGCAAGGCACUUGAGAAGACUAAGGCGAGGAUGAGCAUUACUCAUGCAUAUAUUAUUGAAGAAAUAAGAACAAAGUGCAAGACAUAUUCUUCCCCCACACACACUACUAGCAAAUAGGUUCACAAGCUUACUAAUAAACAAAUUGAGAACCAACGGUUUUGACAACCCAUGGUGAAGAAAUGAAAUAAUAACCUUGUCAAGAGAAGGGAUACCAACCAAAAUGUCAAUACCCUUGUCAAGACAGGUAUGAGGAAAAAUAAUCUUCUCUACCAACGAGUGCAUCAGGAUGCAAGGAUAAAAGAUCCGCACUCAAGACAAAUCCUUUCACUAAGCCACCAAAAAUUGAAAAAGAAAAUGCAACGGUGGACAUGAAAGAAAAGAGGAUAUCAACUAGAGAUGUAACUUCUCUCAUGUGUAAAAGAUUCUAGGUAGAAGAAAAUCAUGAUGAUAUAUAUCCAGAAAGAAAGAUGUAGACAUGAAAUGGUUACAAGAAGGAACAAACAAGAUAUCCAAAAGGAAGUCAUAAAUAAACCAAUAAGAUCUUUCCCUGAAAGCAUAGCACAUGGACUAAUAUUUUCUUAUUGUACAAUAUGAACUUCCAACUUAUGAACAUCAAAGACAUCCCAACUAGCAAUAAUACAUCAUUGUUCGGAUGCUUUGAGGAAGGAAACAAAUACCACAAGAACGAAUCAAGAAAUUCAUGCCAUGAUGCAACCUACGAAAGGUUGAAUGCAAGAAAGGGAUGCAUAGAGUAGAUACUUGUUACCGAGAUAGCACUGGAUUGAUGUAGUAGAUAGUUGUUUGUUGAUCAUCCUAACUUGGAUCCAAUAAGCACAUGGUGUUAACACCUUCCUUGUAGGUGAGCCAAGCAUCCAAUGCCUCUCCAAUUGUUCCUAGAACAACAAAACAAACAAAACAGUGCCCAAACUCAUUGGGACCAAAGAGUUAGAAAACCAACAAUACAUAGGACAAACUCCACAUAAAUAUGUGCAUAUAGAUAUGAAAUUGAAUUUCAUGCACACUUUAGCCAAUUUAUGACAAGGUGGAGUUUCCCCUAUAUAUCAGGUCAAGGAAAGAAAGCAUGCAAAAGAAACUAUAUGUAUAUAGUAAAUAUGCAUGCUCAAGGCAUUAAAAAUCAAAUCAACACGUAGUUGAUAAGACACCAAAAGACAAGGUAUCAAGUAAAAAUAAAAUACCAAACGAAAAAUUAUCACUUGAAGGAUUCCAAUUAAAAGAUACAUCAAAGAAUGAUAUCCAUUGACACAUGCCAGACAAAAGGAAACACGAUAUCAAUUGAAGGAGAACAAACACGAGGUAUCUUUUUUCCAAAAGAGCUAGGUUCCAAACAAACCAAACCCUCUACAAAUUUUCAUGAUGGCACAAAGCAUCAUAAAGAGCAAGACUUGCCUCCCAUCAACACACACUUGAUGGGGAUAAAAAGAGUUUAUGAUAGACGUAUAAAGAGCGUGUUCCAAAGAAAAUAGGAUACCCCCCCCCCCAAGGGAUGUGCAUUACAUAGAAUUUCCAUUUGAAUACAAAAUGCACAAGAUGGUAUAAUCACUUUCUCUAUAUCUGGAGAAACACAAGACAUGUUCAAACCAAUCCACAAGAGGCAAGGAAGACAAACGAUACAUAAAAUCCAAUGUAAAGAUGAUUAGCAAUUUCUACCACAUGAAGGGAAUACCAAUUGUCAAAGGAAAAUAAGUAUUUGGAAACAAUUCCCAUUGGUAGAUUGCAAAAAUAUCCAACAUCAUCUUUACUCCUAAAAUGCAAGCAAAUGGCACUUGUAGAGCUAACAUGCCACCUAGGAACAAGAUAAUUUCAAUAUCAACACUAAGUGGCAAUACCUCAAAUAUACACAUUUUCUAGGCUUGUAAUAUGCACAUAUCAUAUUACUCCCCCAUAAUGUGAUAACCUAACAUUAUUAACAAGUGCGAAAUAAAAAAAAACAAGAGAUAAUUAAUAGACCAUUUAGAAUCUGAAUUUCUCAUGAGCAGGACGUACCAGCUAGAGCUUAGAUAAACUUGUAGUAUCAAUACUAAGUGGUAUUAAUCAUGUAUACACAUUUAUAGGAUUGUGAGGGAUUGUGAGGUGUGCAGAGCACAUCACUCUCCCACAAUGGGAUAAUCCAUUAAUCUCUCAAAAGAGCCAACAAAGAUACAAUCAAGAUGCAAAGAGGCUCAAUACAAGACUCACAUGUACAUGAUGUGCAAACCGAUAUACACAUACUUGAUUACUCAAGAUAAGAAAGUUGGAAGCACAACAUAUACAAACAUAUGCAUGGUACAAAACCACAUUAUGCAAAGCGGAAAGUAACUAAAAAUGUAACCACUUUAAGUACAAGUUACUGUAAGGUGGCACAUUGGAUAUAAGAUAGAAACUCGAUAAUCCAAAUGACUUGACAUGAGAUAAUAUAAAUUAUGAAGGUCCUGUAAUUCUUCAAGAUGAAACCAAGUCUCCAAUGUCCUCCACGAUCACCUAUUGAUCAAGUUUGAGAUUGUCGGUCCCCAAUGUAACGACUAAGAUGUGACCCUUUCCUAUUUAGGGGGCGAUGCCCCAAAAGGGAAAGAGGCGCAUCUAAGCGUUUCACAAGCGAGAUAAUCAUAGCAAAUACAUAAAUUAAGAUUGACAAAUAGGGCAUUCAUUUGCCAUCUCACAUAGUAUAAUAUCAGAGUUACAUCCACACAAUUAUUCAGGCAAGAUAGUCCCGCUACGGGCUACAUGAAACAAGGAAAAUACUAUGAUAUCCCGCAUGUUCGCCCACGAUCACGACCACGACCUCAGUCUUCUGGAUAGUUCACGUACAGGCGGCCGUUCUCCUCAUCGUACUGCCACGCCAGUUGCGUGCCAUCUGGAUCACCUGCGUCGGGCGUCCUGUACCUGUUGGGGUGUUGUAGUAAACUGUGAGUCACGGGGACUCAGCAAUGGAUGACCUUGGUGCCGAAACUAGUCAAGUUAUUAGGUGAGGAAGGUUUGGUGUUUAGGUUGCAGCAUCCUAAGCUUAUAUGGUGGCUAACUUACGAAGAUCAGAGUUAUGGUAAGGUGGUCUACGCGAGCGGUCGAAUACUAGGUGAUCACUAAGUGAUCCUGAACACCUACUUACAUCAAACAUAACACCAUCGUGUUCCCGAUCGAAGAGAGGUCUCCGAAAGAGACAGUCACGGUUACGCACACAGUUGGUAGUUUUAUUAGAGUUAGUUCAAGUUAUCUAGAACCGGAUGUUACCAAAUUAUCCAUGUUGCCACAUAACCGCGGGCACGGCUUUCCGAAAGAUUAAACCAUGCAGGGGUGUUCCAACUAGUCCAUCACAAACGGUCACGGGCCGCAAAGUAAUCCUCUAUCACGAAUCUCGUGAUCUCGUCGGAUUCCUUAGAGGAAAACCUCAACUCUGGGGAGACCCAAAGUUUCACCGGGAUUUCUAUACGCAAGAUAUAUCGCUAAGGUAAGACAAGACUAGCACGACCUCCCGACGUGUCGACGACCCCGAUAAGAGCCGCGUAUCUCAGUCUCAGGACACGACGGAUGAGUGACGCGUACAGUGGCCUGAUAGAAAUCACUCAAGUUGCCCUGUGUUGGCCCCGCACAGUGCUCUAGUUUGGACCAACACUCAUGAGGAGCAGUGGCCCUGGUUGUUGAUUAAAUCCUCGGGGUAGCUAUUCCCAAUGCAAAUUAUUAUUAUGUGGUUAGCAAAUUAAAAACCAAUGUUGGGUCCUGCCGGACAAGUCUUAACACUACACGAUUUAUCAAGGGGGUCCCCAUAACAACCCCGAACGUGUUAGGAGCGAUCAGUUAUGGAAUCAAACACCGGUAGCCGAAACUAAGGCGACAAUAAUGGAACAAAUCACCCGGCAAAAGGCCAGGCCUUCCCUCAAUUACCAAGUAUAUAGGUGCAUUAAUUAAAUAACAGUUUAAUCAUAAUGAUAUCAAAUACUCAUGUUAUCACAUGAGACAGCUGGCACCUGCAACUAGCAAAGCUAUCAUUAGAAGCUGAGCAAGCCUACUUAGCCAAACAACAUUAACUAGGAGGGGAAGGUGUUUGGGUUUCAUGGCAAUGACAUGUGGCAUUUUAUCAAGUGGUAGGCAGCGAGCAUAUAUCAAAGGAAACGUGAUUCUAAGCAUAACAAAGCUAGAUACGGUAUCAAGGUCACGGUCAUCUUGCUUGUGAUGUCUUCAUCUUGGAACUGCGCCUGAUCGUCCUGCACGUACUCUCCAGAAUCCACGUACUCGCUCUCCGAUCCCGGUGCUACCCAAGAUAAAAUAACAGCCAAUGAACACCAACACAACAUGAUGCAACAAACCACAUGAUGCAUGAGAUGAGAAUGAAGCAUGCAUCACUAUUCUAGUCACUUGCAUAUGCAUGAGAAGGGAAGAUUAACUUCUAGACAGAAGUUCACACUAAGCUAUCUUGACAUGCAUGAGGAUGACAUGUAUAGGUGCAUCACGAGAAAACGAUGCAAAAACAUAUAAAGAACAUAGAGAAUGGAGCUACGGAUCAACCGGAAACUAGGAAACAAGAUAUGGAGUCCUACAGUUCAAAUCCACCACAACCACACUCCAAUGGCACACCUCUGGUGUAACCAGGUUGCCACAUGAUCAAACAAACAACUAGAAGUGGGGUGGUGCUUGGAAUCACACCAUACCAUCAACUAAGCACUCACAAGCUUCAAAACAACAAAACUAUGCAAUAUGUUUUUAAUAGCAUAAUGGUAGUUUGUCUACAACAUUCGAAGUACCUACAACCACCCAAAUGAGCCAAACAAGAUAUGUGGCAAAAGCCAUUCCAAAUCUCUACAAGCCUGAGCAAGAAUAUAAUACAUAGGAGUCACACAUGAGAAGAUCUACAGGCACUAACUUGGACAAAAAUAACAGAUUCUGGGACUUAGUGAAAACCUCAGAUUUUCACCAGCUGCUUAUGCUCUGAAGCAUUUUGACAGCCUCCAAAAUGAUAUCUACAGGAAGUGAAAAUGCAUGAAAUUUAACAGAGAGCUAUAUAAACACAAAAGCGCCAACUCUCUAGUUGAUUGCCUAGGCUGAUUCCCAACACAUGAGCUUUUGCAACCAAAUCAACAGGGGAAGAAAAUAUCAGCAGAUUCCCAGACUUAGUCAAAAUCACAGGGUUUUCACAAAUUUGUAAUCUUCAACUAAGUGUCAACUUUGACAGCUCAUAUUAGAUGCAUACAAACUCCUAUGAGCAAAACAAAACUACCAUGCUGUAGAGGGGUUCACCCACUAUUGCCACAUCAAGGAAUCAUCCUCAUAGGCUCAACACACCACUUGAUAUAAGGACCUAAAAUGCCAUCAAGACAAAAAUAGGCAUUUCCAGGAAUUCUCCAAAGUGAAAGAUGAUUCCACCAAUGGAUUCCUGGGAAGUUCCUACUCCAAAAACAUAUAUAAUACUUGGGUACUUGCAUAUAACAUGGGGGCACAAAGUUAAGAUGAAAAUCACCCUAGAAUCACAUGAGCUCCAAUAGUGCAUUAUCACAUGUGAUGUGCACUACCCUCAUCUACACUUGCACAUGCUCAUACUCACAACACCAAUGGUGAACAUGAGGGCUAGCCCUCAUGCACUUGUGCCUAAGCACACCACCACACACACACACAUNNNNNNNNNNNNNNNNNNNNNNNNNNNNNNNNNNNNNNNNNNNNNNNNNNNNNNGGGGGUGCCCUGGUUCGAACCCCCAACCUCCUAUGUCAAUGCUCUACACACGCACCACUGGCUAUUGCGGGGUAGCUGCACUAUCACAGGGGUUAACCCUCUUAGACACACUCUUCCAGGCAAUCUACAGCAACGGGAAAACCCACAGAAUAAAAGGGGGCACUGGGUCUCGAACCUCGGAUCUGCCCGUUGCGCGCGUGGGAACGAAGCUAGCUGAGCUGGUGCAGUGCUACUGUCCCAAAGGGGAUUCCUUGACAGGAAAACACGCUACAAGGGGGAGGCUUGCUCUGCUUUGCACAGAGACGCAGACGGAAAAGCUCACCGGAGCGUGGCCUGCUACACGUGACAGGCACACCUACGGGGAUCUACCACCGACUACACUACACCGCCGCGAUGGGAGCCUCAGCCAUGAUGCAAAGGAGCAAGCCCAAGCAUGCGCAAGCCACACCUACGACCACUGCUACGCAAUCUGCUGCUAUCACCUCCGAACAGAGAGGCCACGACGACGCUCGUUCGUAUGCCGCAUCUACAGAGGGAAGAGAGGAAGGAAGCGCGGCUCACCAAGAGGAAGGAGAGGAGAGGAUCUCGCCCGGAGGAAGAAGGCCUGACGACGAGCUGUUGCAGGGGUUCGGGUUCGUUGGGAGCUCGUCGGAGACGAGGUCGUGGCCGUCGUUGAAGACACACUCCGGCCUCACCGACGACGGGAAUGGAACGCGGGGAGACCCCCCGAGUUCCCGGACAUCCUCGCCGGCGCCGGAGACGAGGGAUGAGCGAAGGGGACGACGACGCUCUUCUCUGAUGCUACUGCGAUCUCUCUGAACUACACUAUAGAGGCUUACCUUGGGGAGGGAGAGAGAUGGAGGAGGAAGAUGGCGGCGGCGAUGAGGGGGAAUAGGGAAACCCUAUCGGGGCACGCACGCCGAUGCUUAUAAAGGCCGCGGAUGGGACGGCAACGACGUCAUGGCCACUCUCUCUGUCUCUGAAGACUCACGGAAAGCAGCUGUGGAGGAGAACGGCGUCAGGAGGAGGAAGAAAGGAAAAAUGCGCGGGCCUACUGGGGAAAGGAGGAGGAGGGGGGAAGCCCACCUGGACUCACUUAGGUCUGACAGAUUAAAUCAAAAGGGUUUUUUCCUUUAUUUAAAACCACACCACAACACAAAAAUGCCCAGAGCCAAACAUGCACAAGAAAAACAAAAUAAAAAUACUCUGGGAAUUAGGGAAUUAUGCCCUAAUAAAAUAAAAAACAAAACUGAAUUUUCAAGCAAAUAAAUUACAAUUGGAAAACAAGAUUUACCCUACUGUUUUAAUAAAUAGAAAAUAAUCCAAAACCUAUUUACUCAAAGCGAGUUACCCAAUCUGCCACAAAUCUUAAACACAAAUUUAACAACAUUUUUAAAACAGGGUUUAACCAAGUAAAUUCCACAAGAACACAAAUUGAGGAAGAAAGGGGUUUUUGAUACCUAGUUUUGGAAGAAUACGUAAAGUUGAAACCCAAGCUUUGCACCACCUCAACACACACCACAUGCACUCAUCACACCACACAUAUGGAUCAACACAACAACAACACAAGAAUGGCAUGAAUGCUAUGGAUGGCAUGAAUGCAAAGGGGAUACAUGAAAUAAGCCACAUGAAAUGAUAACUACAUAUACAUGACAUCAUGGAUCCAAACAUGGAAGAUUCCAAAUAUGGCAAGGUUAUACUUGGGGCACUACAAACUCUGCCACACUACAAUAAGAUCUCGUCCCGAGAUCUAGGACUGAAAGAACUCUGGGAAUUCGGAACGGAGGUGAUCCUCGCGCUCCCAACUGGCUUCUUUAUCGGAAUGAUGUGACCACUGCAUCUUGAGAAACUUGAAUGACUUGUUGCGGGUCUUGCACUGAGUCGUCUCGAGAACUGUAACUGGAUGCUCACGACAGGAUACGUCGGGUUGAAGGUCGAUAUCCUAAAGAUCAAAUGUGCGCUCGGGAGUCUUGAAGCAUCUCCGGAGCUGAGAGACAUGGAACACGUCAUGCACGUUUGCGAAGUUUGAAGGGAGCUCAAGUUGAUAAGCAAGGUCCCUCUCUUGCCAACAACUCUGAAAGGACCAACGAAAUAAGGAGCAAGCUUGCCUUUGAUGCCAAAACACUAAGUGCACUUCAUAGGAGACACUUUGAGAUAGAAGGAGUCAUCGAGCUCAUAAGACAUGUCACGAUGCUUGCUAUCGUAGUAGCUCUUCUGACAGGACUGCGCUUCUGUGAGAUUAUCCCGAAUGACCCGACACAUCUCUUCUGCUUCUUCGAUCAAGUCAUUCCCAAGAAUAUGACGCUCGCCGGUCUCGGACCAGUUGAGCGGGGUACGACACUUCCUGUCAUAGAGAAUCUCAAACGGAGCUUUGCCUGAACUUGCCUGAUAACUGUUGUUAUACGAGAACUCAGAGAAAGGUAGGAAGUCUUCCCACUUCAUGCCAAAAUAAAUGACACAGGCUCUAAGCAUAUCCUCGAGGACCUGAUUGACUCUCUCCACUUGCCCACUAGUCUGAGGAUGAAAGGCUGUGCUGAAUCGUAUCUUCGUAACCAUCAUAGACUGAAAAGAGUCCCAGAACUUGGAAGUGAAGAUACUUCCGCGAUCCGAAGAAAUCAACAUAGGCACGCCGUGCAAAGACACUAUCCUCGAAGUGUAAAACUCUACAAGCUGAGCUGUCGAGAUGGAUUCUUUGACUGGAAGGAAAUGAGCUACUUUGCUCAACUUGUCGAUGACGACGAAGAUGGCAUCGUUACCCUUCUUGGACUUCGGAAACCCGGUGACGAAAUCCAUCUCAAUAUGGUCGAACUUCCACUUGGGAAUGGGCAAUGGAUGCAAAAGACCUGUUGGACAUUGAUGCUCUACUUUCACCCUUCGACAUACAUCACAUUCAUUUACGAACUGAGCAAUCUCACGCUUCAUGCGAGUCCACCAGAAGGUGUGUUUCAAGUCCUGAUACAUCUUGGAACUUCCUGGAUGUAUAGAGAGAAGAGAGUUAUGAGCUUCUUCCAUGAUAACCUUUCUGAGAUCACCUUUCGGAACGACAAGCCGAUCCUCAAAGAAUAAUGUAUCUCUGGCAUCAACACUGAAGCACUUAUAUUUGGGAACUCCCUUUUCCAAGCAAAUCUUAACUUUCUUCACCAUUGCAUCAAGAAGUUGAGCUUGUAGGACCUGGUCUUCCAAGGUAGGAGAGAUAUGAAGAUUUGCAAGAAAUCCCUGAGGUACUAACUGAAGGUUGAGCUUUCUGAAAGAUUCACAAAGGUCGGGCUGGAGAGGCUUCAGAAUGAGACUGUUGCAGUAAGCCUUCCUGCUCAAAGCAUCUGCCACGACAUUAGCUUUGCCUGGAGUGUACUCAACGCUCGGAUUAAAAUCUUGGAGCAUUUCCACCGAACGAGUUUGCCGAAGAUUGAGGUUAUGCUGGGUGAAGAUGUACUUGAGACUCUUGUGAUCGGUGAACACUUCAACCUUUCGUUCCAACAAGAGGUGUCUCCAAGUCAUGAGAGCAUGUACCACUGCCGCCAACUCAAGAUCAUGAGUGGGUUAAUUCUUCUAACUUGGCUUUAACUGCCUCGAGGUAUAAGCUACCACUUUCUUAUCUUGCAUCAACACAUCACCAAGACCUUGAAGAGAGGCGUCGCAGAACACUUGGUAAGGUUUGGAGUCAUCGGGAGGAACCAAGACUGGAGUAUAAGUGAGCUUCUCUUUGAGUGUGUCGAAAGCCAACUGACACCCUGGAAACCAGACAUACUUCACACCCUUCUGAAGAAGGCUUGAGAGAGGCUUAGCAAUCUUGGAGAAGUUCUCAACGAAUCUUCUACAAUAGCUUGCUAUCCCGAGAAAGCUUCGAAGCUGCUUCACAUUUUGCGGAGGUUCCCACUCAACAAUGGCCUGCACCUUCGACGGAUCAACUUUGAUGCCCUCGGCAGAGAUGAUGUGCCCAAGGUAGACAACUUCUUUCAACCAAAAUUCACAUUUGGAAAACUUAGCAUAGAACUUAUGCUCUCUCAGCUUAUCAAGCACCAGCCUGAGAUGUUCUUCAUGCUCUUCCUCAGUUUACAAAAAUACCAGAAUAUCAUCAAGAUACAGCAAGACGAAUUCAUUCUUGAAUGGGGAGAAGAUAUAAUUCAUCAUUCGAUAGAAGGUCGGUGGAGCAUUGGCCAGACCAAAAGACAUCACUGUAUACUCAUACGAGCCAAAGCUUGUCCUGAAAGUAGUCUUUGGAAUAUCCUCUUCGCGAGUGCGAAUCUGAUGAUAACUGAUAUGUCUCCAACGUAUAUAUAAUUUUUGAUGUUUUGCAUGCCUUUUAUAUAUUUUUUGGGACUAACUUAUUAACUCAGUGCCAAGUGCCAAUUCCUGUUUUUUCAUGUUUUUUACCCCUUUCAGAGGAGGAUUUUGAAAGGAGUCCAAAUGGAACUAAACUGCCAAAAAGAUUUUUUCCGAAACAGAAGAAGAUUGGGAAGCCUGAGAAAUAAGGCAGGGGGCCUACAGGGACCCCACAAGCCCCCUAGCCGCGGCCAGGGGGUCCACGCCUCCCUGGCUUGUGGGCUCCCUGGGCCACCUCUGCCCUAGGACUUUCGCCUAUAAAUUCCCUAAAAUCCAAGAAAAAAUCAGGAGAUCACCGAAAGUACUUUUCCGCCGCUGCAAGCUUCUGUCUCCGCAAGAUCCCAUCUGGGGCACAUUCUGGUGCCCUGCCGGAGGGGGAUUUGGAUACGGAGGGCUUCUUCAUUGACACCAUGACCUCUCCGAUGAUGCGUGAGUAGUUCACCAUAGACCUACGGGUCCAUAGCUAGUAGCUAGAUGGCUUCUUCUCUCUCUUGGAUCUUCAAUACAAAGUUCUCCAUGAUCUUCGUGGAGAUCUAUCUGAUGUAAUCUUCUUUUGCGGUGUGUUUGUCGAGAUCCGAUGAAUUGUGGAUUUAUGAUCAGCUUAUCUAUGAAUCUAACUUGAGUUUCUUCUGAUCUCUCUUAUGCAUGAUUUCAUAUCCUUGUAAUUCUCUUCGAGUUGUGGGUUUUGUUUCGCCAACUAGAUCUAUGAUUCUUGCAAUGGGAGAAGUGCUUGGUUUUGGAUUCAUACCGUGCGGUGACCUCACCCAGUCACAGACGAGGUAGCGAGGCACGCAUCAUGUUGUUGCCAUCAAGGGUAAAAAGAUGGGGUUUUCAUCAUUGGUUUGAGAUUAUCCCUCUACAUCAUGUCAUCUUGAUUAAGGCGUUACUCUGUUCGUCAUGAACUCAAUACACUAGAUGCAUGCUGGAUAGUGGUCGAUGUGUGGAGUAAUAGUAGUAGAUGCAGAAAGUAUCGGUCUACUUGUCUCGGACGUGAUGCCUAUAUGUAUGAUCAUUGCCUUAGAUAUCGUCAUGACUUUGCGCGGUUCUAUCAAUUGCUCGACGGUAAUUUGUUCACCCACCGUAAUAUUUUCUAUUUUGAGAGAAGCCUCUAGUGAACACUAUGGCCCCCGGGUCUACUCCACACCAUAUUUUCAGCCUUACACUUUUUCUUCGUUGCACUUUCCGCCUUCAGAUCUCACUUUGCAAUCAAUCUUGAAGGGAUUGACAACCCCUUUAUAGCGUUGGCUGCAAGCUCUUUGUGUUUGUGCACGUACUCUGGACUUGACGAGAUUCUCCUACUGGAUUGAUACCUUGGUUCUCAAACAGAGAGAAAUACUUACUUCUCCUAUGCUGCAUCACCCUUUCCUCUUCAAGGGAAAACCAACGCAAGCUCAAGAUUCGACAGAAGGUUUCUGUCGACGUAGCAGAAGGAUUUCUAGUGCCAUUGCUGGGAAAGGACUUUUGUUGCCGUAGCAGAAGAAUUUCUGGCGCCAUUGCCGGGGAGGAUCAAGUCAAGAACUCAUCCAAGUAAGUGUCGCAAACUCAUCUCUUGCAUUUACUUUUUUGCCUCUCGUUUUCCUCUCCCCCACUUCUGAAAAACAAAAAAAUUACAAAAAGAUUUGCCUUUUUCGUUUGCCUUUACGUUCGCCCUUUUCUCUCUCUUGCUCUUUGUUCGCUUGAGUGCUUGCUUGCUUGCUGAAGUCACCAUGACUGAAAACACCAAACUUUGUGACUUCUCGAAUACUAAUAAUAAUGAUUUUAUUAGUACUCCAAUUGCUCCCGCCACUAGUGCGGAGUCCGACGAAAUCAAUGCCGCUUUGCUGAAUCUUGUUAUGAAAGAGCAAUUCUCCGGCCUUCCUAGUGAAGAUGUCGCAUCCCAUAUUAACACCUUCAUUGAGCUUUGCGAUAUGCAAAAUAAGAAAGAUGUGGUAAUGAUGUGAUUAAAUUGAAGCUUUUUCCUUUCUCGUUGCGAGGUCGAGCAAAAACUUGGUUUUCGUCUUUGCCCAAAUAUAGUAUCGAUUCUUGGGAUAAGUGCAAAGAUGCUUAUAUAUCCAAGUAUUUUCCGUCGGCUAAGAUUAUCUCUCUCCGUAAUGAUAUCAUAAACUUUAAGCAACUUGAUCAUGAACACGUUGCACAAUCUUCGGAGAGAAUGAAAUUGAUGAUUAGAAAUUGUCCUGGUCAUGGCUUGAGUCUUUGGAUGAUUAUACAAAUCUUCUACGCUGGCUUGAAUUUCGCUUCUAGAAGUAUCUUGGACUCCGCCUCAGGUGGAACGUUCAUGGAAAUCACAUUAGGACAAGCCACAAAACUACUAGACAACAUCAUGACGAACUACUCUCAGUGGCACACUGAAAGGUCACCUACUAGUAAGAAGGUGCACGCUAUAGAAGAAAUUAAUUUGUUGAGUGCUAAGAUGGAUGAGUUAAUGAAUUUGGUUGCUAGUAGAAGUGCUCCUUUAUAUCCUAGUGAUAUGCCCUUGUCUUCCUUGAUUGAGAGUAGCAACGCUAGCUUGGACGUUAAUUUUGUUGGUAGGAAUAAUUUUGGCAACAACAAUGCUUUUAGAGGAAACUAUGUUCCUACGCCUUUUCCUAGUAACUCCUCUAAUAACUUUGGCAACUCCUACAACAAUACUCAUGGAAAUUACAAUAGAUUACCCUCUGAUCUAGAGAGUAAUAUCAAAGAGUUUAUCAACUCACAAAAGAUUUUCAAUGCGUCUAUAGAGGAAAAACUACUCAAAAUUGACGAUUUGGCUAAGAGCGUUGAUAGAAUGUCUAGUGAUGUUGAUGCUUUUAAAGUUAGAUGUCCUCCUCCCAAGAUCAAUAUGGAUGAAACUUUGAAAGCUAUGCGUGUUUCCAUGAUUGAGAGCAAAGAAAGAACCGCCCAAAUUCGUGCUAGACAUGAAUAGCUUAAAAAGGCGUGUUCUCGUGAUAAGAAUCACGAAGAUCUUAAAGUGCUUGGUGUGACUCCCAUUGAAUCUUUGUUUUCUUGUUUCAAACCCAAUGAUUAUGGGGCUGGAUAUGAAUCCACUUUGGUUGAAAAGCGCCCUAAUGAUUCGGAGUCCAUCUAUCUUGAUGCUAAAAGCAUUGAAAGUGGAGUAGAAGAUAUUAAACCUUUGAGUAGUAAUGAAAUUACUACUAUGGAUUUCAAGGAAUUCAAUUAUGAUAGUUGCUCCUUGAUUGAAUGCAUUUCCUUGAUGCAAUCCACGUUAAACUCUCCACAUGCUUAUAGCCAAAACAAGGCCUUUACCGAUCAUAUCGCCGAAGCUAUGAUAAAAUCUCUUGAAGAGAAACUUGAAUUGGAAGUCUCUAUCCCUAGAAAGCUUCAUAAUGAGUGGGAACCUACUAUCAAAAUCAAAAUCAAAAACUAUGAAUGAAAUGCUUUGUGAGAUUUGGGUGCUAGUGUUUCCGCGAUUCCAAAGUCUUUAUGUGAUGUUCUGGGUUUUAACGAGAUUGAAGAGUGUUCUCUUAAUUUGCAUCUUGCGGAUUCUACUGUCAAGAAACCCAUGGGAAGGAUCAAUGAUGUCUUUAUUAUUGCAAAUAGGAACUAUGUAGCCGUGGGUUUCAUUGUGCUUGACAUUGAUUGCAAUCCUGCAUGCCAUAUUAUUCUUGGUUGACCUUUCGUAAGGACUAUCGAUGCUAUCAUCGAUAUGAAGGAAGGGAAUAUUAGAUUUCAAUUUCAUUUAAAGAAGGGCAUGGAGAACUUUCCUAGAAAGAAAAUAAGAUUGCCUUAUUAAUCCAUGAUGAGGGCUACUUAUGGUUUGAACACGAAAGACGACGAUACGUGAUUCUAUCGCUUUUAUGCCUAGCUAAGGGCUACUUAUGGUUUGACAGAAACUUUUCGCUCACGAGAUGAUUUUUCAUUUUUAUUCAGAAAGAGCUUUUGAGUUGAUUCAUUUUGCUGCUGGUUGAUAUGCCUUUUUCCCAGGCAUUCGUAAGUUUUCAGAAUUUUUGAGGUAUGAGAAGUAUACGAAGUAUACAGAUUGCUACAUACUGGUCUGUUUUUGACAAAUUCUGUUUUUGUUGAGUUGGUUGCUUGUUUUGAUGAAACUAUGGAUAGUAUCGGGGGGUACUAGCCAUAGAAAAGUGAGAAUACAGUAGCCCAACACCAAUAUAAAUAAAGAUCAAGGUACAGUACCAAAAGAGGUGGUAGUUCGUUUUCUUGUGCUAAUGUUAUCACGAGUUUCUGUUUAAGUUUUGUGUUGUGAAGUUUUCAUGUUUUGGGUGAUGUUCUCAUGGACAAAGAGAUAAGGAGUGGAAAGAGCUCAAGCUUGGGGAUGCCCAAGGCAUCCCCAUCCAAAUUCAAGGACACCAAAAAUCCUAAGCUUGGGGAUGCCCCGGGAAGGCAUCACCUCUUUCGUCCUCAAUCCAUCGGUAACAUUACUUGGAGCUAUAUUUUUAUUCACCACAUGAUAUGUGUUUUGCUUGGAGCGUCUUGUAUUGUAGGACUCUUUUCUUUUGCUGUGUCAGAAUCAUCCUUGCUGCACACCUUUAGAGAGAGACAUGCACUCAUCGUGAUUUUGCUACAAUGCUCAUAGUGCUUCACUUAUAUCUUUUGAGCUAGAUAAUUUUGCUUUAUGUGCUUCACUUAGAUCUUUUAGAGCAUGGCGGUGCGUGACUUGGUAGUUGGCUUAUGCUAUGAAAGUAGUCCCAAAGGUGAUAGGUACCCAAAGAGGAUACAAAUACCUCCAUCUUCAUGUGCAUUGAGUAGAAAGAGAAGGCUUGAUUCCUCUCAAUUAGUUUUGAGACGUGGAUUUGGUAAUGUUAAGAGCUAUGUUAGUAGGGUGUUGUGAAUCUAGAAAUACUUGUGUUCAAGUUAGUGAUUCCCGUAGCAUGCAUGUAUGGUGAACCGCUAUGUUAGGAAGUCGGAGCAUGAUUGAUCUAUUGAUUGUCAUCCUUUGUGUUGAGGUCAGGAUUGCACGAUGGUUAACACCUACCAACCCUUCCCCUAGGACUAUGCGUUUAGCACUUUGUUUCGAUUACUAAUAAAAACUUUCGCAACAAGUAUGUGAGUUCUUCAUGACUAAUGUGAGUCCAUGGUAUAGAUGCACUUUCACCUUCCACCAUUGCUAGCCUCUCUAGUGCCGCGCAACUUUCGCCGGUGCACAAACCCACCAUAUGCCUUCCUCAAAACAGCCACUAUACCUACCUACUAUGGCAUUUUCAUAGCCAUUCCGAGAUAUAUUGCCAUGCAACUCCCAUCAUUCUGUCUCAUGACUUGUGCCGUCACUCUCAUAUUGCCAUUGCAUGAUCGUAAGAUAGCUAGUGAGAUGUUUCAACGUCAUACGCCAAGCUAGAUGGUUGAACAUCCCGGUACACUGUCGGAGGCAUUUCCUAUAUAGAGUCAUCAUCGUUCUAAGCUUCGAGCUAUGAGUAAAUAAAAGUGUGAUGAUCAUCAUUAUUGGAGCAUUGUCCCAUGUGAGGAAAUAAAAAAAGGCCAAAGAGCCCAAAUAAAAAAAAGGAGAAAAGAGGGGAAAAAAAGAGGCCCAAGAGCCCAAAUAAAAAAAGAGAGAAAGAGAGAACGGACAAUGCUACUAUCUUUUUCCACUCUUGUGCUUCAUAAUAGCACCAUGUUCUUCAUGAUUGAGAGCUUCUUGCUUUGUCACUACCAUAUGCUUGUGGGAAUCUUCAUUAUGUAACUUGGCUUGUCUAUACCUAUACUAAUUCUAGACUCCCUACAAAUUCCCACAUUAAUCAGUAAUUAUGAGCCGUUAAUCUGAUGGGACCAAAUUACUACGGUGUAGAUCGAUCCAUAUAAUACUCUAUGGAAACUUUUCACAGUUGUGCAAAAAGAAGAGUUGAUCAAAAGUCCAAAAUUAGGUUGUGUGGGCAGAUAAAAAAGAAUUUUUGGGUCGGUUGUAAAAAUGAAUCCACGUACUACUAAUCUACGGUUUCUGUCUCUCCUAACUAAAGCAAACUGUUGAGAAGAUUUUGUUUUUUAAAACAUCUAUCUCUUUUUUAAAAGUAUGUAUAUAUCUGCUCAUACUCUUUAGCUCUCCUUCCGUCCAUCAAAAAAUGCUAUCUCUUCCGUUCAUCUUAACCAGAAAGGGGCUAUCUCCUUGCGUAGCAAAAGGAAGAAAAAAAUUGCUUAGGCAGAUAAAAAAAUAACGACCAUGGGACUCCUCUCUCCUUCUUUCUCUAGCACGGGGCUCCUCUGCUUGAGAUUCCUGUACAAAUCCGCUUCUGCCUUCAUGGCACCAUGGAUGGCUACCAAACCCUCAAUUAUCUGCAAGCAGACAUUCCCACCUCACAAACCCUCCCCCCGUUCUCAUGUAGCGCACAAAAAAAGUCGUCCAUCGCUUGCAUGCUUCAACUGCCUCAGCUGGGCCCCAAUGCGAGGAUGGUCUCCAAUACCAGCACAACGUCAUGGCCAUGAAGUCCUCCGUCUAUCCUUGCAAUCAAGGCUGGUGCGUCCUUUCUCAUGUCCUCACAAAGUUCAUGGACCAUCUAAAUUAAUUUGGAUGAUCUGAUUAACAUAUUUGGGGAACGAAGUCUGGUGUCAAUUUGUUGGGCUAGAAGCAUAUGCUUAACUGGCAGUUAGAAGUGGAAACAUCCCUUUAUUCAUUUGCAUAUAUUAUCACACAGGAGGUUAUGGAUGAUGAGCAGUUGAGGACCAGUGUCAAUCUGUUAGUAUUUGGGAACUAUGAUCCAUGGAUUAUUUUGUUCGUAGAUCUGUUCCAUGUACGAAUGAAAUAUUUAUGAUUUUGAAUUACUGGAAAGCUUUAUGAAUGUAUAUGUUAUAUAUUUUGAGCAGUGAACAUACUAUACUUAUAUACAAAUAAUAGUUAUCAGUUUUCUCUGUAACAGGCAUGCAUAUUCUGGCAUGUUUUCCAGGUGGCCCAUUGUUUCUGAUGCAAUUUUCUUCAAACUGUAUACCGAUACUGAUUUUUUUAACCUGGUAUUCAUUUGAGUGAAGCAACAGUGCAUAAUAGCCAUGCAUUGGUUAGUAAUCAUCAUUGAUUAUUUCAGUAUUUCUGAUUUGGAGAAUGUAUGGUUUACUUCAUUUAGCUCAUGUCGUCCAUCGCUUUUUGAUGCAUGUCCAUGUGCAGUUUUGUGCCUCAAGUCCUCGCUCUAUCCCUGCAAUCAAUGCUGGUACGUCCCUUCUCCUAUCCUCACAAAGUUCAUGGAGAAUCUGGAUUAAUUAGGAUCAUCUAACCGGAUUCUUUCUCACCCCGCUGUACAAAAUGUGUUGACAGCUGAUGGGAUAGAACCAUAUGAUUUACUGUGAUUCAGAAAUAGAAAGACCCCCUUUAUUCAUUUUCAUAUAAUACCACACAUGAUUUUAUGGAUGACGACCAGAUGUGGACUGGUGGCAAUCCAUGACUAUUUGAGAACGGCGAUCCUUGAAUUAAUCCUUAGAUUUAUUUUGUUCCUAAAUCUAUUCCACGUACAAGUGAAAUAUCGAUGGUUUUGAAUUGAAUGGAAAGCUUCAUGCAUGGAUCUUUUUAAUUAAUAGAGCAGAGGACAUACUGUGCUUAUAUAGAAAAUAUAUUUGUUAGCUUUCUCUAUAAUAGGCACGUAAAUUUUCCCAAGUUUUUCAGGCGGUCCAUGGUUUCUGUCGCAAUUUUAUUGAAACUACAAACUGAGAGGGGUUUGAAUAACCUGGCUUUAAUUUCUGUGCAACAACAGUGGCGUUAUACCCAUGGAUUGGUUAGGAUUCUUAUCAUCACAAAUUAUUUCAGUUUUGCUCAUUUGUAUAAUGUAUGUUUGACUCAAUGUACCUAAUUUCAUCCACCUCAUUUGGAAGCAUGUACGUGUGCAUUUCGUACAGUUUUGUGAUCAUCCAAAUAUACAAACCAAUAACACUUCAGGCUGAGUCAUUCAUAUGAUUUCUAUUUCAUGGUUGGAUCACGCAGUCCUUGCUUUUCUCAUACUUCAGUCACACGGUAUCAGUUGGCGGCCAAGAAGGCAUUAGCUAUUACAAGGUUAUGGAGAUAGCAAGUUGAUAGGAUUAUGUAUUUAUAGUUUUUAAUCAAUAACAUAUGCUAGGAAAAAAACAUGUAUUUUGCGGUACUUAAUUCAUCCAUGUUUUUCGUCCGUCAGUCAUUAUUGAGGUAAAAUAUCUUAUCAUCUAAUAUAUACUAUGUUAUUCACAUUUCUAAUAUAUAAAAGUUAGUUUCACAAAAAAUAAGUAUGGUCUCAAUUUCGUUAAUAGCUCGAAAGGAAGUACUUAAGCUAUUGUAAUUAUGUCUCCACAUGCAUAGGAAUUAAACUGUCAAUACUAUUAUUAAUUCCAUUCCAUGUUUACUAUAUCUUAGUAAAACCGAAGAAAUUACAUUUGCAAAGUUCCUUAUCAAAAGGCUUUUGGUGCAUAAAUGUUGUUUGUGCCUUAAUGUGAUAUAUAAGUUACUCGAAUGUCAAAAGUAUUUUAAACUUACAUGGCGCCACUAAUUUUAUAUAAGUUACACGAAUGUUAAAAGGGAUUUCUGCGGUGUUCAUAAUCAGAAUCUUUCUGAACAAAGUGUAUUUUUCCCUAUGGAAAGCUUUGUGCAUUUUUAGUGCGUUAUAAAUCACUAUAUGGCUUUUAGAAGGGUUUUUUACUAUAUAUAAAAUUCUAAAAUUUAUUCAUAGAAAUGUUGAUCAAUACGAUUCAAUGUCAUGUAUUUUUCUAAUGAUAGUCCAUGCAUCUGCAUGGGUCUUGUGAUACAAAUGCCAACAUAGGCGGUCUAAUAUUAAGCAAAUAUUGUGUCGAGGACCACAGUCGAAAUUUACUUUGCUUAACAAUUAAAAGCAUUUGCUACAUCAGGUUAGAGAAGCUUCCUUUUUAAAAUUUCCUGUUCUAGCUUCUUGAGUUUUGGAAGAUGAAAAAGAUGGAUGAUGCAGUUCAUAUUUCCUAAAUAGUAAAUUGUUAUAAACGAACAUGUUUGAUGUAUUGAUUUGUGUUUGUUUUGUGUGACUCACUCGAGUCAUGAACUAUUCCGUGUGUGCAUAAAUAAAGACAAGGACUCUCUAAAUAUUAAAAAAAUUAACCAUCGGUCUCAACAUUGAAUUUAUACACCAUUGUCGAGGAAUAUAAGGAACUCUAAAUUUAUCACCCGUGGAUAAUUUAACCCAAAAGAGUAUCGGGGUAUUGCAGCUGACAUUCUUAAUAUGCUAGCCCGUGCAAAUGCAUGGGUUGACGACUAGUAUAUUCCAAUGAUGAGCUUCCUCAAAAUUGCCCUAGGUCUUCGUGAGCAAGCAAGUUGGAUGCACACCCACUAGUUCUCCUUUUGAGCUUUCACAUACUUAUAGCUCUAGUGCAUCCUUUGUAUGGCAAUCCCUACUCAUUCACAUUGAUAUCUAUUAAUGGGCAUAUCCAUAGCCCUUUAAUACGCCGAGUCAAUGUGACCAUCUGCUCCUUUUUUGUCUCACAACCACCACCACACUCUAUUCCACCUAUAGUGCUAUAUCCAUGGCUCACGCUCAUGUAUUGCAUGAUAGUUAUAAAAAGUUUGAGAAAGUAAGAGUGCGAAAACAAUUACUUGGCCAAUACCGGGGUUGUGCAUGAUUUACAUUAGUUGUGUGAGGAUGAUGGAGCAUAGCCAGACUAUAUGAUUUUGUAGGGAUAACUUUCCUUGGACUUGUUAUUUUCAAAGUUCAUGAUUACUUUGCUAGUUUGCUUGAAGUAUUAUUGUUUUCAUGUCAAUAGAAAACUAUUGUCUUGAAUCUUACGGAUCUGAACAUUCAUGUCACAUGAAAGAAGUUGCAAAGGACAACUAUGUUAGGUAGCAUUCCACAUCAAAAAUUCAGUCUUUAUCACUUCCCUACUCGAGGACGAGCAUGAGUUAAGCUUUAGGAUGCUUGAUACGUCUCCAACGUAUCUAUAAUUUUUGAUGGUUUCAUGCUAUUAUCUUGUAAACUUUGGAUGUUUUGCAUGCCUUUUAUAUAUUUUUUGGGACUAACUUAUUAACUCAGUGCCAAGUGCCAGUUCCUGUUUUUUCCAUGUUUUUGACCCCUUUCAGAGGAGGAUUUUGAACGGAGUCCAAACGGAACGAAACUGCCAAAUAGAUUUUUUCCAAAACAGAAAAAGAUCGGGAAGCCUAAGAAACUGGGCAGGGGGCCUGCAGGGACCCCACAAGCCGCCUAGCCGCGGCCAGGGGGCCCGCGCCUCCCUGGCUUGUGGGAUCCCUGGGCCACCUCUGCCCUAGGACUUUCGCCUAUAAAUUCCCUAAAUUCCCAGAAAAAUUCAGGAGAUCAUCGAAAGUACUUUUCCGCCGCCGCAAGCUUCUGUCUCCGCAAGAUCCCAUCUGGGCACGUUCUGGUGCCCUGCCGGAGGGGGAUUCGGAUACAGACGACUUCUUCAUCAACACCAUGACCUCUCCGAUGAUGCGUGAGUAGUUCACCAUAGACCUACGGUCCAUAGCUAGUAGCUAGAUGGCUUCUUCUCUCUCUUGGAUCUUCAAUACAAAGUUCUCCAUGAUGUUCAUGGAGAUCUAUCCGAUGUAAUCUUCUUUUGUGGUGUGUUUGUCGAGAUCCGAUGAAUUGUGGAUUUAUGAUCAGCUUUUCUAUGAAUCUUAUUUGAGUUUCUUCUGAUCUCUCUUAUGCAUGAUUUCAUAUCCUUGUAAUUCUCUUCGAGUUGUGGGUUUUGUUUGGCCAACUAGAUCUAUGAUUAUUGGAAUGGGAGAAGUGCUUGGUUUUGGGUUCAUAUCGUGCGGUGACCUCACCCAGUGACAAAAGGGGUAGCGAGGCACGCAUCGUGUUGUUGCCAUCAAGUGUAAAAAGAUGGGGUUUUCAUCAUUGGUUUGAGAUUAUCCCUCUACAUCAUGUCAUCUUGCUUAAGGCGUUACUCUGUUCGUCAUGAACUCAAUACACUAGAUGCAUGCUGGAUAGCGGUCGAUGUGUGGAGUAAUAGUAGUAGAUGCAGAAAGUAUCGGUCUACUUGUCUCGGACGUGAUGCCUAUAUGUAUGAUCAUUGCCUUAGAUAUCGUCAUGACUUUGCGCGGUUCUAUCAAUUGCUCGACAGUAAUUUGUUGUAGCGACCCGACUCAAGACGAGUCAAGCCUCUGGUGUUUCCGUACCAUCCCAAGAUCAUGCUGGUACACACUCAGUACAUCAAUGUAUAUAUUACAAUAAAGGAUUACAAUAAAGUGGCUGAAGGCCAUCUCAUGAGAUAUCUAACGAAGACUAGCGGAAGCAUCAGGUAGACGAGUCCAUCCGACUCCAGGGCAUGUCGCUGAGCGUAGAUCGUAGCCUCACUCCUGGUCGGAAAAGUACUCUGCAACAUGAUACGUUGCAGCCGUGUAGGUCAGCAUAUGGAAUAUGCCGGCAAGUCAUCAAAGAGAGGGGGUAAAAUAAUAAUCAACUAUCUCUACAUGCAUAUUUGGCAGGUGGGGCUAUAAGUUUUGCAUAAAGCCAAUUUUAUCCUACAACAAGAGGGGCUGGAAGCAAAAUAUUACUACAUUUGGUUGUUGUUAACGAGAUGGUUCCACCAACCAAUUCUCGUACCCGAGUUAUUGUUAACUCCCACAUCAUUAUUAAGUUGUGUCGAGAGUUCUGGGGAAUUUCAAUGCCUUCGGCUCAAGUUGUCCAUGACCGUGGACACGGCUAAUCGAUUAGGUUGGGCACUCUGUAGAGUUUUGCACACGUUCCCCACAAGAUUUGAUCGCCUCCGUGUAUGUCCUCGCACUUCAGCGUGUUUGAAGACCGGAUGAUCAAAACAUGGUCUUUCAACGGGUCCCUCUGAAUCCCUGUCAGUGCCCAUCCAUUCCUACCGUUCUUCUACAUCUGCUAGCACCGCCUGUCCAGAGUCGCCGCGUUGUCCAACCAAGCCAGAGCCCAUAAUGACUUGUGGCUGUGCAGGUAAGCCUUGGGACUUGAAGCCUCCGUCCGUCUCUUCGAGCCUGGGUGAAGCUUUCCGCAAGAUGUCAUGGCCGUCUCCAGCAUCCCGGGUCAUCCACUGGUUUCUCCAGGGAGCCGAUCAACCGUCCUUCACCCAGAGUUGCAUUGCAUCCGAGGUCUUGAAAAUCUUGUCUUAACCGGUCUUGAUUAUUUAAUCAACCUUGCAUCACUCGUGUUAUGCACUCAACCGAAAUCCCGUCUACUCAAGCAUAGCAAUAUGAAAUUUGUCGUUCCGGGGCCAAGUAUCGGGGUUGUUAUGUGCCUACCACAUGAUACUACAACCUAUACUAAAAUUUCCAAGUACCUAAGCAGCAUGCAAAAGGGCAAAGAAAGGUGAAACUACCAUGCAUCGAAAAACAUAGGAAAUAGCAUGAUCAAAAUGACUUGCCUUGAUGAUAGUUAUCUUGAUCGAGCGCUUCUAAGUAACAAGCUUCGCACUCCGGGUGAUCUACCGAUACAAACCAAUACACACCAUAAGCACUACAAUCAAGCAACAAGUAAAAAAAUAACAUCACAAGUAAAUAGUUGCUAUGGCCUAAGUGAAAGAAUUCACUACACGUCACUAAGGCAGAAACUUGUUUCUGUGGAAAACCCAAGUAAACAUAUUUAACAAAAUUUGAAACUUAUACCACAGUAAGAUAUAAUCACUAGGAAGCAGUAGCAAAAAGAAUCAAAUCAAAAUCAUUUUUUAAACUCCUGGAAUAAGCAAAACAAGGUUUAAACUAAAUCUGGUCUAAUUGGGGGGGGGGGGAAAAUUUCAAACAUAGACAAAUUAUAUGUUUUUAAAAACUACAGAAAAAUUUGGAUCUACUGGAAAAAUAAUCAACCUCAUUGGACUUCGGGAUCAAAAUCUAUGAUCAAAAAAAACUUGAAACUUUUCUGUUUUUGGAACUAAACAGAAAAAGAAAACAGAUUCUAACCGAAUACGUGGCAGUCCCUGAUUGGUUAAGGGGGGUGAGUGCUGCGGGAAAACUAACAAACGACCGAAACUUAAGAAAAUCUACGGCUAAAAAUAAGUGGGGCAGAAAACCGUUCGGGUUUUUAUUUAAAAACCGAAGGGGUACCUAACUUCUAAUCUAGCGCGUACAUCUAAGAUCGGACGGCUACGGAGAGGGGAUGGGGCUUACCGUGGGCUGGGAGUUAUCUCCGGUGAGCCUGUGCUCCGGCCGAAGGUGUGGUGGCCGGGGAAGGGGUUCCGGCGGUCGGCCGAGGUGGGGGAGAUGUCCGGGCGGCGGAGGGGAUCGCCGGCGUGCUUCUGGUGGCGUCGGGGAGGUGCGGCGUGGCCGGAGGCGAGCAGUGGAGUGGCCGGAGCUUCGGCCGUGCUUGUGCUCCGACGAGGUGUAGCAAGGGGCGGCUAGAGGCGGCGAAGGGGGGCGAUGGAGAGGGGAACGGAGUGCGGGGACAGGGGGUAUUUAUAGGAGGAGAGGGGGCCUCGGGAGGGAAGGAGGAGGGAGAUCUGGGGAGGGAAUCGGGCUGCCAUGGGAAAGGAAGGAUCUCCAGCUCGGGUUAGGAAAGAGGAGGGGCGAGAGGAAGGAGGUGACCGGGGAGGGUGGUGGUUCGGGUGGUGGGGCCCGCUGGCAGGGAGAGGGGAGCUGGGGGACUCGGUCGGUCGAUCGAUCCGAAGGGGAUCAGGAUCCCGGCUACAGUGCGAUUUGGCCCUUAGGGCCUAUCUGGCGCCGGUGCGGUUUCUAAAAAAAAUACCUUUCCUAUUUUUCUAAAAUAGGAACUAAAACAAAUAAAAGGCAGGUAAAUAAAAUCCUAAAAUAGGGGUAUUAUAUACCGAAAAAAAUCAGAAAAAUAUCCUCUACUCGAUUAACAUUUUUCCAAAGUACAAAUAAAAACUUAAAAAAAAUGUUUUUUUUCAGAAAAAAAAUCCCCUAUGCUAUAUUUUAUUUUUUGCAAUUAUUUUCACGAUAAAACUUUGGCUUUCUUGGCUCAAAAUAUUUCAAAAAUGCCUCGCACCUUGGAGGGUCAUUUUCCUCCGCUCUCUCUUGCGUGCAAGAGAUUAUUUCCCGGCACUUCUCAUGUGAAGAAAAAUAGAAAUGCAAAAGCAAAAGUCGAAAGAAUUCAUAUGCAAACUUUAUUUAAAUCGAUAUGCAUAGAUGCUUAGCUACAAUGUAAAACAUUCCCAAUUAGGAAAAUUGGGAUGUUACAUUUGUUCACCCACCGUAAUAUUCACUAUUUUGAGAGAAGCCUCUAGUGAACACUAUGGCCCCCGGGUCUACUCCACACCAUAUUUUUAGCCUUACACUUUUUCUUCGUUGCACUUUCCGCCUUCAGAUCUCACUUUGCAAUCAAUCUUGAAGGGAUUGACAACCCCUUUAUAGCGUUGGGUGCAAGCUCUUUGUGUUUGUGCAGGUACUCUGGACUUGACGAGAUUCUCCUACUAGAUUGAUACCUUGGUUCUCAAACUGAGGGAAAUACUUAUUGCUCGUGUGCUGCAUCACCCUUUCCUCUUGAAGGGAAAACGAACGCAAGCUCAAGAGACAACAAAAGGUUUCUGUCGACGUAGCAGAAGGAUUUCUGGCGCCAUUGCCAGGAAAGGACUUUUGUUGCCGUAGCAAUAACCCAUCCUGAGAUCGAGCUUGGAGAAGAUCUUAGCCCCUUUCAAUUGCUCGAACAACUCAUUGAUGUUAGGAAGUGGAUACUUGUUUCUGAUUGUCUUCUUGUUCAAUGGAAUGUAAUCAACACACAAUCAGUCUGUGCCAUCCUUCGGCUUGACAAAAAGCACUCCACAGCCCCAAGGAGAUGAGCUUGCUCUGAUAAGAUCCAGACGCUCCUGCUCAUCGAGUUGUCUCUUUAGCUCCUUAAGCUCUUCUGGUCCCAGUUUGUACGGCCGUUUGCACACAGGCUCAGUACCCGGUUCAAGCUAAAUUACAAACUCAACUUCUCGGUGCAGGGGCAUUCCUGGCAGUUCUUCUGGAAAAACAUCUUCCUAUUCGCAGACCACUGGGACUUGCGAAAUUGGAGAGAUCUCACCCUUCUCAUUCAAGGAAAACAGACGGAUUGUGUCAUCACGCGCUGCAAAGAUAAUCACGUCCUCCGAAGAAUGAGUUACCUUCACUUCUUUAGCUUCACAAUCAAUAGACACCUUGUUCAUGGCCAACCAGUCCAUUCCAAGGAUCAAAUCAAUGUCAGAAUUGCCAAGGACAAUAGGAGAGGCCAGAAAAGCAUAAUCCCCCAUCUUGACAGUGACAUCCCGAACCACUUUGUUGGCGCUCAUAAGAGUACCGGGUGACACCACACGUAACGCCUUGCUCAAAUACUCGGAAUCAAAAUCAUGCUUGGCAAAGAACAUUCUAGACAUGAAUGAAUGAGAAGAACCAGAAUCAAACAGAACCUUAGCAGGAAUAUCAUUAAUGAGGAGAUUACCCAUAAUCACGUCUGAGGAGUUGUGUGCUUCAACUGCAUUCACCAUAUUGACUCUAGCAGACCUGGUGUUGAACUUCACUAUAGCAUUGCUUGGAGGUUUGCCUGGAGGAGGACGCGGAAGACGCAGCUGAGAGGUGCACUUCUUGGCAUAGUGACCCUUCUUCCCACACUUGUGACAAGUAACAUCUGCCGGCUGACGGAACUGUGUUUGAGGAUUCCCUUGCUUCUGCUGCUGAAACCUCUGCUGGAAAACUGGGUUGGGUGGGUGGGAAGAACCACGACCACCUGAUUGCUUGAACUGUUGCAUGUGCCGAGGAGAAGGAGGAGACACCCAGUAUUUCUAUUGCUUCUGAACCACCUGAGUUGAGGAAGGCGAGCUAGAAUCUCUGGAACGCUUCUUCGAAUUCUCCACCCUGAGCAAAGCUUCCUCAGCCCUGAGAGCCAAGUUGUAGAACUUAUCAAACUCCUUAGGAUCGUGCAAGGCGAGGGCUAGCUGCAAAUCCUCUUUCAGACCACCUCUGAACUGAUAGAUCUUGCUCUUCUGAUCUGGAAUGUCCUGCAAGGCAUAUCGGUCUAGCUUGUGGAACUCGACGUUGUACUUGUACAUGGAGUUACCACCUUGCUUCAAGCGCCUGAACUUCUCACGCAUCUCCUCCACAAAGCUAGAAGGGAUAUAGUGGGACCUGAAGUCUCUGCAGAAAUCAUCCCAAGUGAUCACUCUAGCACCCCUGGAGUCCUUCAACUGCUGCCACCAGAUCGAUGCUUGCCCCUUCAGCUGGAAUGUUGCAAACUUGAAGAAAUCCUCUGGACGGACAUUGCUGCACUCAAAGUGUUUGUUCAUGUCCCGAAUCCAUUCCUCAGCGUCAAACGACUGAUCACACGACGUGAAGGUCUUCGGCUGGUUUGCCAGGAAUUGACUCAGAGUAGCAAACUGAUUACCACCGUGGUUGAAGUUGCCUUGCUGCUGAUUAGUCCUCUCUUGCCACAACUGGAUCAACAUCUGAGUGUUAGCCUUUGCAGGAGGAGGCGUCGGAGGAGGAGGUGGUGCAGGGGGUGGUGGCGGCAUCUCAGCACCCUCAUGACCUGGAUUCUGACGAGUUGGUGGAGCCAUCCCGAAGACGGACAACACAUUAGCCCAUAGAAUAAUAUUGAAGGUAAAGCUGAAUCAAAAGGCAGGAAUAUCUGAACAUGAAUAUUAGCAAUUGCACUCGAACAAAAUAGUAAGAAUGCUUGCUCAAAGUGACUGUCGACAAAAUUCUGAUUAAGACCACUGGCAAACCAAGUAUGAGCUAGAACUGCUCGGAACAAACGUAUGAUCGAGAUUUCAUCCGAUAUCUUCGUGGAUAUGAUCGCACGGGCUCAAAUUUACAGUAGCCAUCCUGUGCAAGGUAGUGCACACAACUUACAAAGCAUCCCCGAGUCGUAGCAAGCUACAAGGACUCUUUAAGACACAACGAGAAUCGCUGUUGUCUUGUGCAAGAAGAAGCGAAGUGACCCUUCUCACGACAUAAGUAGCAACAUCUACCCUUUACUUUCUUCCCAAUUGAUUUCUCAACUUGAGGAAUGUUGGCAUGGGUCUUCUUGGGAAGAGGCCUUUCUUCAACUUGAAUUUGAGUAUGUGAUUGAACUUGUGGUCGCUUCCCUUGUUGCUUGUGACUUUGGGGCUUCUUAUUUACUGGACAAGAUCUAACAUGGUGCCCUUCAAUCUUGCACUUGAAGCAAACAAUCUUGGAAGAAUUCUUGACUUGUUAUUGGCCCUUCUUCUUGAAGCUUUUCGACUUGUUCUUCUAGUUAGAGUUGAACCCAUGUCCACCUUUGUCAAUUGGGGAUUUUUUUCCCACACAAGACAUUGUUGAGUCUGGACAUCCCUUCGUGACUCUUCUCCAAAUCUUUCUUCAACGAAGUGUUGGGCCUUGAGCUCUUCGAUUUCCUCUACAUGGUUAGUAGAAACACAAGUACUAGAGGAAGUAUAAGCUCAUUGUUAGAGCAACAAGGCAAGGAAAGUAAUUCAUCACAAGAUGUAGCAACAUUAUAAGUUGAUGAAUUACGAGGACUAGCACAUGGAAAUAUAGCAUUUUUACUAGAAGUAGUGCUAAUGUCCACAUGAGGCUUACUUGAUGUUACCUUGGUAGUAGUAGCCUCAUGAGCUAAUUUUAGCACAUUAUGGGUUACUAGAAGAUCAUCAUGAGAGCUUGUGAGCAUUACAUGACUUUCUUCCAAUUUCCCAUAAUUGCUAGAUAGCAACUCGAGUUGAGCCCCUAGCUCAACAUUCUCCUUUAAAAUGGAUGUUUCACAAGAAAUAGAGUUAGUAGCACAAGCAUCAUUAUUAACAAUAAGAGGAGAAGGCAACUUGGCAAGCUCUUUAGCAUAUGACGCUUCAAGUUGACCAUGCGACUCGGUGAGUUCGAUGAGCAAACUCUUAAUAGCCCUUGAACCAUUUUCGAGGUGCUCAUAGUCCUCAAGGAGUUUAGCAUGUGCAACUUCAAGCUUAUAAUUUUUAGUCCUAAAAUAAUUAGCCACCUCAAGAGCUCUAUCAUGAGAUUCCUUUAAUCUAGAUAAUUCUAGAGCAAAGGUCUCCUCAAGAGAUUCCUUGGUGGUUUGUUCAUUUUCAAGAGCUUGAGAUAGCUCUGCGAUCUCAUUAGUGUAAUCACGCUCAUGACCUUCCAUUCUCUGAAUGGUGGCCUCAUGCUCCUCGAGAUGAGCUUUCAACUCCUCAAUAUAUUUCUUGCCCUCACUGGCAAUAGACAUGAUUUCCAUGAAGUUGGAACAAGCAAGUUUAUUCUUAUAAAAAGAUCUACAAGCAUUUCACCCUUAAUUUUUAAGGAUGCAAUAUCAUCACUCUCUUCAUCUUUAUCCUCAUCCUCAUUAUCAUCGGGCAACAUCAUCAUCAUGAGAUAUAUUGGGAUUCAAAGUAGGAGAUACCUUAGAAGCCUUAGCCAUAAGGCAAAAGUGAGAAACAAUAGAUGAUGACGUGGAAUCCCUUGAAGCAUAAUUUAAGGCCACGUCUUGUUCCAAGGAGUGAUGGAUUUCCUCUACAUUGUUAGCACAACAAAUCGAGGAAAUAUAUACAUUUUUAUCAUGGAAACAAGAUACAGAAAGCUUAUCAUCAUGAGAUUUAGUCAAGCAGUUUUUACAAGAUAUGCACGGACUAUCAACACAAGCAUGUAAAACAUUUAGAGUGAUCAAAGUGUUAACGCCCAAAGAUGAAGCAUUGAAAUAAUAUAGUGAUGAAGGAUCACCAACAAUAAGCCCACUAUCAUCAUUGCAAUGAUCUCCACUACUCACCAUAUCAUUAACUUGUGGCAAUCCACAUGUAGGUGAAGUAGAUGAAGUUGAGAAGACCACACGACCGGAGGUGGAGGGAGAACAAUCAUUCCCACAAAUCGUGCACGUACCAUAUUUAUCUUGAAACUUUGUCCACAACUCAUGAGCAUCCGGGAAUGGCAUGAAUUGAAAUAUAACUACAUUGCUCAAAGCAUCAAAAAGCACAUUAGAAGCUUGAGCACUGAGAUAAGAGUUUUUCUCAUCCUCUAAAGAUAUAUUUUGAGAAUCCUUUGGAGGAGAAAAACCCCAUAUCUACAAUUCGCUCCAAAUUUGGGUCCAUGAACCUAAAGUGAUUAAGCAUGCGAAUUACCCAAACAUCAAAAAUUGUGCCACCGAAACUAAGAGUGUGAGAGAAUCCUAAACGCCUAGUCGACAUCCUUACUGUCUAGGUGGUUAAACCUAAUAAAGAGAGACCAAGCUCUGAUACCAAUUGAAAGGAUGUGGAUGUCGCCUAGAGGGGGGGUGAAUAGGCACUUUAAAAUAAUUAUGGUUUAGGCUUGAACAAAUGCGUAAUAAAACUAACGUUUAAUUUGUCAAGCACAAAACCUAAAACAACUAGGCUAACCUAUGUGCACCAAGAACAUAUGCUAAGCAAGAUAAACAACUAAGUGAUAGCAAGAUAUAUGACAAGAAACGAUAUGGCUAUCACAAAGUAAAGUGCAUAAGUAAAGGGUUCAUGUAAGAGAUAACCGAGGCACGCGGAGACGACAAUGUAUCCCGAAGUUCACACCCUUGCGGAUGCUAAUCUCCGUUUGGAGCGGUGUCGAGCCACAAUGCUCCCCAAGAUGCCACUAAGUCCACCGUAAUCUCCUCACGCCCUCGCACAAUGCAAGAUGUUGUGAUUCCACUAAGGGACCCUUCAGGGCGGUCACCGAACCCAUACAAACAAGGUUGGGGCAAUCUCCACAACUUAAUUGGUGGCUCCCAACAACACCACGAAGCUUCAUCACAAUGGCAUAUGUCUUCGAGGUGACCACAAAUACUCGGGGCAAUCUCCACAACUUAAUUGGAGACCCCUACGCUUGCCUAGAGCUUUACACCACAAUGAUUGAGCUUCGAGGCACCACCAAGCUUCUAGGGGUACCAAGUACCCAAGGGUAAUAAGCUUCUCAACUUCUCACUUCUACGUAUCACCGUGGAGAACUCAAAUCGAUGCAACUAAUGCAAUGGCAAGAACACACAAAGUGGUCAAUUCCCUCAAACUCAAAUCCCUCCACAAACAACGAAAGCUAUGGAGAAAUAUGAGAGGAAGAACAAGGAGCUCACAAAGAACUCCAAGAUCAAGAUCCAAGGGGUUCCCUCACAGAGAGGAGAAAGUGAUUGGUGGAGAUGUGGAUCUAGAUCUAUGAUGACCCACAAGUAUAGGGGAUCAAUCGUAGUCCUUUCGAUAAGUAAGAGUGUCAAACCCAACGAGGAGCAGAAGGAUCUGACAAGUGGUUUUCAGCAAGGUAAAAUCUGCAGGCACUGAAAUUGUUGGUAACAAGUGAUUGUGUGGUGAGAUGAUUCGUAGCAAGCAACAAGUAACAAAAGUAGCAACGGUGCAGCAAAGUGGCCCAAUCCCUUUUGUAGCAAGGGACAAGCCUGGACAAAGUCUUAUAGGAGGAAAAACGCUCCCGAGGACACACGGGAAUUUCUGUCAUGCUAGUUUCAUCAUGUUCAUAUGAUUCGCGUUCGUUACUUUGAUAGUUUGAUAUGUGGGUGGACCGGCACUUGGGUACUGCCCUUACUUAGACAAGCAUCCCACUUAUAAUUAACCCCUCUCGCAAGCAUCUGCAACUACGAAAGAAGAAUUAAGACAAAGUCUAACCAUAGCAUUAAACUAGUGGAUCCAAAUUAGCCCCUCACGAAGAAACGCAUAAACUAGGGUUUAAUCUUCUGUCACUCUAGCAACCCAUCAUCUACUUACUACUUCCCAAUGCCUUCCUCUAGGCCCAAAUAAUUGUGAAGUUUUAUGUAGUCGACGUUCACAUAACACCACUAGAGGAAAAACAACAUACAACAUAUCAAAAUACCGAACGAAUACCAAAUUCACAUGACUACUAUUAGCAUGAAUUAUCCCAUGUCCUCAGGAAAAAAAGUAACUACUCACAAAGAAUAAUCAUAUUCAUGACCAGAGAGGUAAUGAGUAGCAUCAAGGAUCUGAACAUAAACUCUUCCACCAAAUAAUCCAACUAGCAUCAACUACAAAGAGUAAUCAACACUACUAGCAACAGUACAAGUACCAAUCAGAGUCGCGAGACAGAGAUUGGUUACAAGCUAUGAACUAGGGUUUGGAGAUGAGAUGGUGCUCAUGAAGAUGUUGAUGGUGACGAGUCCCCUCAGAUGAGAGGAGUGUUGGUGAUAACGAUGGCGACGAUUUCCCCCUCCGGGACGGAAAUUUCCCCGACAGGAUCGUCCUGUCGGAGCUCUAGACUAGUUCUGCUCAAGUUCUCGUUGGAAUUAUGCCCUAGAGGCAAUGAUAAAUAACUUAUUAUUACAAUUCCUGUAUCAAGAUAAUCGUUUAUUAUCCAUGCUAUAAUUGUGUUGAAUGAAGACUUAGAUACAUGUGUGGAUACAUAGACAAAACACUGUCCCUAGCAAGCCUCUAGUUGGCUAGCCAGUUGAUCAAGGAUAGUCAGGGUCUUCUGACUAUAUACAAGGUGUUGUUGCUUGAUAACUAGAUCACAUCAUUGGGUGAAUCAUGUGAUGGACUAGACCCAAACUGAUAGACGUAGCAUGUUGAUCGUGUCAUUUUGUUGCUAUUGCUUUCUGCGUGUCAAGUAUUUAUUCCUAUGACCAUGAGAUCAUAUAACUCACUGAGACCGGAGGAAUGCUUUGUGUGUAUCAAACGUCACAACGUAACUGGGUGACUAUAAAGAUGCUCUACAGGUAUCUCCAAAGGUGUCCGUUGAGUUAGUACGGAUCAAGACUGGGAUUUGUCACUUCAUGUGACGGAGAGGUAUCUCGGGGCCCACUCGGUAAUACAACAUCACACACAAGCCUUGCAAGCAAUGUGACUUAGUGGAAGUCACGGGAUCUUGUAUUACGGAACGAGUAAAGAGACUUGUCGGUAAAUGAGAUUGAAAUAGGUAUGCGGAUACCGACGAUCGAAUCUCGGGCAAGUAACAUACCGAAGGACAAAGGGAAUGACAUACGGGAUUAUAUGAAUCCUUGGCACUGAGGUUCAAACGAUAAGAUCUUCGUAGAAUAUGUAGGAUCCAAUAUGGGCAUCCAGGUCCCGCUAUUGGAUAUUGACCGAGGAGUCCCUCGAGUCAUGUCUACAUAGUUCUCGAACCCGCAGGGUCUGCAAACUUAAGGUUCGACGUUGUUUUAUGCGUAUUUGAGUUAUAUGGUUGGUUACCGAAUGUUGUUUGGAGUCACGGAUGAGAUCACAUACGUCAUGAGGGUUUCCGGAAUGGUCCGGAGAUGAAAAUUGAUAUAUAGUAUGACCUCAUUUGAUUACCAGAAAGUUUUCGGCAUUACCGGGAAUGUACCGGGAGUAACGAAUGGGUUCCGGAUGUUCACCGGGGGGGGCAGCCCACCCCGGGGAAGCCCAUAGGACUUAGGGGUGCCGCACCAGACCUUAGUGUGCUGGUGGGCAAUCCCAAGAAGGCCCCUGCGCAGGAUAUAAGAAAAAUCAAAGAGAAAGAAAAAAAGGGGAAGUGGGAAGGAAGGGAAGGACUCCACCUUCCAAUCCUAGGUGGACUAGGAUUGGAGGCGGAUUCCUCCUCCCCCCUUCGGCCGAACCCCUUGGGGCUCCUUGAGCCUCAAGGCAAGGCCCCUCCCCUCCCUCCUAUAUAUACUGAGGUAUUAUGGCUGAUUUGAGACAACUUUGCCACGGCAGCCCGACCACAUACCUCCACGGUUUUUCCUCUAGAUCGCGUUUCUGCGGAGCUCGGGCGGAGACCUGCUGAGAUUAGAUCACCACCAACCUCCGGAGCGCCGUCACGCUGCCGGAGAACUCAUCUACCUCUCUAUCUCUCUUGAUGGAUCAAGAAGGCCGAGAUCAUCAUCGAGCUGUACGUGUGCUGAACGCGGAGGUGCCGUCCGUUCGGCACUAGAUCGGAGCGGAUCAUGGGAUGGAUCGCGGGACGGUUCGUGGGUCGGUUCGCGGGGCGGAUCGAGGGACGUGAGGACGUUCCACUACAUCAACUGCGUUUAUUAACGCUUCUACUGUGUGAUCUACAAGGGUACGUAGAUCGGAAAUCCCCUCCCGUAGAUGGACAUCACCAUGAUAGGUCUUCGUGCGCGUAGGAAUUUUUUUGUUUCCCAUGCGACGUUCCCCAACAGUUCCGCCUCGUGGCAGCGGCGAAACCACGAAAAAGCUCCUCCGUGAUUGUUUCCUGGACGAAACCCUCCAUAUAGCAAAAGAGGGGGGCCAGUGGGCUAGUGGGCUGCCCACAAGCCCCCAUGGCGCGGCAUGGGGGGUGGUCGCGCCGUGCAGGCUUGUGGGCACCCCCUAGUGCCCCUCUGGCACUUCUUUGGCCCAGUAUUUUUGAUAAAUCGAGAAAAAAACCGUUGAUUUUCACGGGUUUGGAGUUGCCCAGAAUAGGUAUCUCAACUUUGCUCCACUUUCAGGCCAGAAUUCCAGUUGCCGGUAUUCUCCCUCUUCAUAUAAACCUUACAAAAUAAGAGAGAAAAGGCAUAAGAAUUGUACCGUAUAGUGAAAUAACAGCCCAAGAAGCGAUAAAUAUCAACAUGAAAACAUGAUGCAAAAUGGACGUAUCAACUCCCCCAAGCUUAGACCUCGCUUGUCCUCAAGCGAAAGUCAAGCUCAAUAAAUAUGUCCACAUGUUUAGGGAGAGAGAGGUGUGGACAAAACAAGAUACGAACAUUCAUGCAUCAUGAUCAAGAUCACAACAGCAAUACCAACAUAUAAUCCCUGAUGCUAAAGUGAUAAUUCCUUCACAAAGUAAAGCAUGGAUCAAGAACCUUACCGAGAAGUAACAACCGAUAGCCUUUAGUCAUUGAAGCAAUUGCAAUUUAUCACAACAUCAGAAAGAGUCAAAUAAAAGCUUGUAAAGCAAAUCCACAUACUCGAUCAUUCUUUCGUUCUCUACAAUUGCUACAACUCACUUGGUACUCAUGGGAUCAAAGUUUCAGCUGGACACACAGAAAGAUAAGGGCUUACAGUUUUGCCUCCCAACUGCUUACCUCAAGGGUAAUGUCAACAAUAAUAAUUCAUGAAUGCCUACCUCCAAGUUGACAUAUGAAUAUAGAUCUUUCCCAAGCAUAUGACGUUAGCCAAGAUAAAGACAGAAUAAGGAAUUGGUGAAGAUCAACAUGACUCUUUCAAGGGCAAAAAGUAAAGGUACAAGAUAGGCCCUUCGCAGAGGUUGUCAUGCGCUUUUUAGGUUUGGAUGCGUGUCCUCUUAGUGCGGAGGAACGUCACUUUAUAUUGCCCCCUGUGAUAAAGAACUUUAUUAUCCAGUCUGUCGCUUUUAUGUCUUCCUCAUCACAGGUUCGUAUAAAGCUUAUUUUCCACACACUAAUAGAUCAUACGUAUUAGGGAGCAAUUUUUAUUGCUUGCACCGAUGACAACUUACUUGAGGGACCUUAUUCAAUCUAUAGGUAGGUAUGGUGGACACUCAUGGCAAAACUGGUUUGAAGGUUUAUGCAUGCACAAGUAGUAUCUCUACUUGGUGCGGGAGGUUUUGGCUAAUGUGAGGUGGAAGCAAUCGUCACAUGCCAAGGGAUCUCUAAUCAUAAAACAUUGUUUGGAACCAAGCAAACACAAUUCAUUAUGUUGUCUUCCUUGUCCAACAUCUACUUCUAGGCAUGUAAUAGUUUAGUGAGUGUUCACAAUCAUAGAUGGUGUCACAGAUGAUAUAUUUAUAUGUGAACCUCUCCUUCUUUAUCACUUCCUAUUAAUUGCAACAAUGACCAAGGUCUACAUUUGUCUACCCUCAACAAGUUUCAAUCCUCAUUCUUUUUAUAUGUGAAGCCAUCACUUCCCAUAAGAUCAUUACAUGAUCUUUCGGACUUUUGUUCUAUUCUCACUCUUUUGAUCAUGGCAAGAGGCAAAGCCCUUCAACUAAGAAACUCUUUAUUAUAUGGCUCACGAGCAAGAAUACAUCGGGGGUGACACAAAGCUAAACUCAAAACUGAAACACUAAGACUUUUAAUCUACUAGAGAAAGAGAAAACUGAAAAGGAAAACUAAAACAAAGGUAAAGGCAAAAUAUGUGAUGGUGAUACGAUACCGGGGCAACUCCCCCAAGAUUGGCACAAGCCAAGGGGAUUGCCCAUACCAAUGCUCAGUUGUCUUCCUUUGGUGGUGAAGGUGGAGGAUUUGUUGCAAUCUUUGACUCCAAGAGGGCCAUUAAUCUUUGAUUUAUACCUUGGAGAUCUUCGAUAUGUUUUUCUAGCAAAACAACUUCACGAGUGAGACAAGUAUUGCGAGCACGAGUUGUUUCACAAAACCUCAAGAGUUCAAUCAAAGAUGGAGACAGUAGGUGGAGGUAGGGUUGGAGGAAAUCCACUUCUUCAACUUCUUCCUUGUUGAGCACAGAUUGCACUUCGUCCCAUGCCUGAUCCUUCUCCUUAGCUUUGCCCUUGUUUUCUUUAGGUAGCCAUUGCUUAGCCUCCAUGACCUCCAUCCUUUUCAGAUCAGCAUGAACUUCUCCAUAGAUUUGACGGAGAUUGUUCUCCCCCACAGAUUCCUGGGAUGACAUCUUGCUCUAAAUCUGCGGCAGAAAACAGGCUCGAAAUGAAAAACAGAGGGAAUCUGCAUGAUGCACGGGUCAGACCAAACGGGAGUAUAUAUAAUGAUUUUUUCAGACCAGAAGGAGUAUCCCGCACGAAAACGGAGUCCGGGAGGCGCACGAGGUGGCCACAAGCCCUCACGGCGCGGCCAGGGGGUGGGCCCGCGCCGUGCAGGCUUGUCGCCUCCUCGUGCACUUUCCAGACUACUUCCAAUUUUUGUAUUUUUUUCAAAUAUUCCAAAACGGAGAAAAUUUCCUACUGGAAAAGUUUUGUACUCUGUUUUCUUACCGAAUCACAUACCUCUUCGUUUUGGGAGUCUGAAACAGGCUGAUAAAUAUCCCUUAGGUAUUCUUCCGGAGUAAUGGUAUUGAUAAUAUUGCUUUCAACAUUUAUGGGAGUACCUGAGAUAUAAUGCUUGAUUCUCUGCCCAUUUACAACUCUCGGACAAUUACCUUCCAUGUUGUUGAUCUUGAUAGCACCGGAACGAUAUACUUCCUCAACAACAUAGGGACCUUCCCAUUUAGAGAGAACCUUGCCUACAAAGAACCUUAAACGAGAGUAUUAUAGCAAAACCUAAUCACCUACAUUGAACUCACAAUUUUGUAUCCUCUUAUCAUGCCACCUCUUAACCUUCUCUUUGAACAGCUUGGCGUUCUCAUAUGCCUGAGUUCAACACUCAUCAAGCGAGCUAAUAUCAAAUAAUCUCUUCUCACCGGCAAGUUUGAAAUCAAAGUUGAGUUCUUUGAUUGCCCAAUAAGCUUUAUGCUCUAGCUCAAGAGGUAAGUGACAUGCUUUACCAUACACCAUUUUGUACGGAGACAUGCCCAUGGGAUUCUUAUAGGCAGUUCUAUAAGCCCACAGUGCAUCAUCGAGCUUCUUAGACCAAUUCUUUCUAGACCUGUUGACAGUCUUUUGCAGAAUCAGUUAAUCUCUCUAUUACUUAGCUCUACUUGACCACUGGACUAAGGGUGAUAGGGAGACACAAUUCUAUGGUUGACAUCAUACUUAGCAAGCAUUUUACAGAAAGCAACAUGAAUGAAGUGUGAACCACCGUCGGUCAUUAGAUAUCUAGGGACUCCAAAUCUAGGGAAGAUAACUUCUUUCAGCAUCUUGAUAGAGGUGUUGUGAUCAGCACUACUAGUGGGGAUAGCUUCUACCCACUUAGUGACAUAAUCAACAGCAACUAGGAUGUGAGUAUACCCAUUGGAUUUUGGAAAAGGUCUCAUAUAAUCAAAGCCCCAGACAUCAAAUGGUUCAAUGACAAGUGAAUAGUUCAUAGGCAUUUCCUGACGUUUGCUAAUAUUACCUAUUCUUUGACAUUCGUCACAAGACAAGACAAACUUACGGGCAUCCUUGAAGAGAGUGGGCCAAUAGAAACCUGAUUGCAAUACCUUGUGUCCAGUUCUGUCUCCCGCAUGGUGUCCUCCGUAGGCCUCGGAGUGACACUUCUGUAGGAUCUGGCCCAGUUCAUGUUCAGGUACACAACGUCUAAUAACACCAUCUACUCCUUCCUUAUAAAGGUGAGGAUCAUCCCAAAAGUAGUGUCUCAAGUAGGGAUGAAAACGGAGCAGAAAUGGACGGAACUGAGUGCUAUCACAUUUGUUUUCAUAUUGUUUUGCAGAAGUGGAAACGAAUACAGAAACCCCGGAAAUGAAUACGAAAACAGAUACUACCGGAAACAGACACGGAACAAAUACAAAGCGGAUACAGAAAUAGAAGUGGGCGUUGACCAGAACUUUAAAACCCCUUGAAUCAUAGAGUAAUACAGAAAACAACAAAAAUUAAUGAAUUGCUAACAUGUCUACAAAAUUAUUUGAUUAUGUUAGCAAUAUAUCCUAGUAUUGUAUUAGUACAUGACAAAUGUGUAUAGGGUCUAGCUGAGUAUAUAUAUGGUAGUAUAAGUUGGGUCUUAAAUGAUCCAUUAUGUUCAUUGUUUCAUUGGGUGUUAUUUGAUGGUUGGGCUACAAAGCAGUCGUAGGCCUAUAGUAAAAAUGGGAAAUUCCAUAUUCACGGAAACAGAAAGUUCCAUUUCCACAUAUGUUCCACCGGAAAACACUCUUCCGUUUUUGUUUCCGUUUUCGCAUUAAAAAUUCCAUUUCCAUUUCUGUUUUGCAAAUUUCCAUUUCCUCUUUCAUAUUUCCUCUCCGUUUUCAUUUUUCCUCCGGAAAAGCGGAAAGUUUCCACUCCAUUUUCAUCCCUAGUCUCAAGUCAAAGAAGAAUUUCUUCUUUUGCUGGUACGUGAAACUAGGUGGUAUAUAUUUGGCAACGGUAUAGUUUGCAUAAUCAGCAUACCACGGUGUGCUCCGUGAAGCAUUGAUGACAUUCAAUUGCUCAUUGGGAAAGCUAUAAUCAAUAGGUUGUGGGUCAUCAAGAACGUUCUCCAACCUAGAAAAGUUAUCUGCUACAGGGUUAUCAGCACCCUUUCUGUCAACAAUGUGCAAAUCAAAUUCUUGUAGCAAGAGAAACCAUCUGAUAAGUCUAGGUUUAGCGUCCUUCUUCUCCAUGAGGUACUUAAUAGCAGCAUGAUCAAUGUGAAUAGUGACUUUGGAAUCAACUAUGUAAGACCUGAACUUUUCACAUGCAAACACGACUGCUAAAAAUUCCUUCUCCGUAGUAGCAUAGUUUCUCUGGGCACUGUCUAGAGUUUUACUAGCGUAGUGAAUAACAUUCAACUUCUUAUCAACUCUUUGCCCUAGAACAGCACCGACAGCAUAAUCACUAGCAUCACACAUGAUCUCAAAAGGUAAGUUCCAAUCAGGUGGUUCAACAAUAGGUGCAGUUAUCAAAGCCCUCUUAAGUAUUUCGAAGGCUUCCUCACAAUCAUCGUCAAAAACAAAAGGAAUAUCCUUUUGCAAGAGAUUGGUAAGAGGCCUAGAAAUCUUAGAGAAGUCUUUAAUGAACCUUCUAUAGAAACCAGCAUGAAGAAGGAAACUUCUUAUACCUUUGAUAUCUGUGGGGUAUGGCAUUUUCUCGAUUGCAUCAACCUUAGCCUUAUCGACUUCAAUACCUCUUUUAGAAAUAUUAUGUCCUAAGACGAUGCCUUCAUUAACCAUAAAGUGGCACUUCUCCCAAUUCAAGACAAGAUUGGUGUCUUUACAUCUCUGUAAGACUCGAUCAAGGUUGCUGAGGCAAUCAUCAAAGGAAGUCCCGUAAACGGAGAAGUCAUCCAUGAAAACCUCAACAACCUUUUCACAAAAGUCAGAGAAUAUAGCCAUCAUACAUCUUUGAAAGGUGGCAAGUGCAUUACACAAGCCAAAAGGCAUACGUCUAUAAGCAAAGGUACCGAAAGGGCAAGUGAAUGUGGUUUUCUCCUGAUCAGAUUGUGCAACUGGUAUUUGGGAGAAACCAGAAUAACCGUCUAGAAAGCAGAAGUGUGUGUGUUUGGACAGCCUUUCUAGCAUUUGGUCGAUAAAAGGCAAAGGGUAAUGAUCUUUCCUAGUGGCUUUAUUCAACUUCCUAAAAUCAAUCACCAUCCUAUAGCCAAUAAUAAUCCUCUGUGGGAUCAACUCAUCCUUAUCAUUAGGGACAACAGUAAUGCCUCCCUUCUUAGGGACGCAAUGCACCGGACUCACCCAAUCGCUAUGAGCAACAGGAUAGAUAAUACCUGCUUCUAGGAGCUUUAGUAUUUCUUUUCUCACUGCUUCUUUUAUCUUAGGAUUUAAUCUCCUUUGAUGAUCAGCAAUUGGUUUGAAUUCAGGAUCAGUUUUGAUCUUGUGCUCGCAUAGAGUGGGGCUAAUGCCCUUAAGAUCAUCAAGAGUAUAUCCAAUAGCAGCACGAUGCUUUGUCAGAGUUUUUAGUAACUUCUUUUCUUCAUGCUCUGAGAGGCUAGCACUAAUUAUAACAGGAUAUAUCUCUUUUUCAUCAAGAUAGGCAUACUUAAGAGUAUCAGGCAACUGUUUAAGCUCGCACACAGGAUCACCCUUUGGUGGAGGUGGAUCUCCAAGCAGUUCAACAAGCAAGUUAUUCUUAAGGAUAGGAUAUUGUUCUAAGACAACUCUAUCUAUCUCAUCCCUUUCAUCCAUAUGCAUAUCAUUUUCAUGCUCAAGCAAGUAGUGCUCUAAUGGAUCAGUAGGAGGCACGGCAAUAGAAGCUAAGGCAAUAAUUUCAUCCCUACUAGGAAAUUCCUUUUCAUGAGGUUGUCUACCAAACUUAGAGAAAUUGAACUCAUGUGACACACCUUCAAAGCCAACAGUGAUAGUUUGCUUCUCACAAUCAAUAUGAUCAUUGACGGUAUUGAGAAAAGGUCUGCCAAAUAUGAUGGGACAAAAGCUAUCUUGUGCGAUAGCAAGAACGAGGAAAUCAGCAGGAUACUUCGUUUUACCACAUAAGACUUCAACAUCCCUAACAAUUCCCACAGGGCAGAUAAUAUCUCUAUUGGCAAGCUGAAUAGUGACAUCUAUAGGUUCUAUCUCAACAGGUGCAAUCUCAUCUUUGAUUUCAUCGUAUAAGGAUUGAGGUAUUGCACUAACACUAGCACCCACGUCACAUAAACCAUGGUAAUAAUGAUCUCCUAUCUUAACAGAAACCACAGGCAUGCCAACAACAGGCCUAUGUUUGUCUCUAAUGUGAGGUUUAGCAAUUCUAGCAGCAUCUUCACAGAAGUGAAUAUUAUGUCCCUCAACUUCUUCAGACAGAAGAUCUUUGAUAAUAGCAAUGCUAGAUUCAACUCUAAUUUGCUCAGGGGGUGUAGGUGUUCUAAUAUAGCCUCUACGUAUCACAGUUGAAGCUUUAGAAUAAUCCUUUAUCCUAACACGGAAAGGUGGUUCCUCAAUGUAAGCACUGGGAACAACAGGACCAUUAUAAGCAAUGACUCCCUCUUCAACUGGAGUGGGUUUAACUACAUUGACUUCUAAAGGAGGAUAAAAUUUAAACCACUUCUCUUAGGGGAGAUCAAUAUGGGCAGCAAAGGAUUCACACAAUGAAGCUACUAUCUCAGAGUCAAGUCCAUACUUAGCGCUAAAGUCACAAAAAGUAUUUGUGUCAACAAAGGAUUUAACGCAAUCAAAAGUGAAAUUCAUACCUGACUCCUUACCUUAUUCAAGAUCCCAAUCUUCAGAGUUGCGUUUAAUUCUCUCCAAUAAAUUCCAUUUGAAGUCAAUAUCUCUCUUCAUAAAAGAACCGGUACAAGAAGUGUCAAGCAUGGUGCGAUCAUCAUGAGAAAGCCGAGCAUAGAAGUUUUGAAUGAUAAUUUCUAUCGAGAGCUCAUGAUUGGGACAUGAAUAUAGCAUUGAUUUAAGCCUCCCCCAAGCUUGAGCGAUGAUUUCUCUGUCACGAGGCCAAAAAUUAUAAAUAUAAUUCCGAUCACGAUGUACUAAAUGCAUAGGAUAAAACUUUUGAUGAAAUUCCAAUUUCAACCGAUUGUAGUCCCAUGAUCCAGUAUCAUCACAUAGCCUAUACCAUGUCAACGCCUUAUCCUUCAAAGAUAAAGGAAAGACCUUCUUCUUGACCUCAUCCUCGGGCACACCUACAAGCUUAAAUAAACCACAAACCUCAUCUACAUAGAUCAGAUGCAAGUCUGGGUGUGAUGUUCCAUCUCCUGUAAAAGGAUUAGCCAGCAGUUUCUCAAGCAUACCCGAAGGAAAUUCAAAGAAAAUAUUUUCAGUAGGUGAAGCAGGUUGAUGAGAAACUCUUUGUGCUUCUGUUCGAGGUGAAGAUACCCCGAACAAGCCCCUCUAAGGAUUAGUAUCCAUAGUGACAAGUGAAAACAAAUUUCAGCACACUAUAUGAAUGUUUCCUUACCAAGUUCCACUUACCAAAGGCGCUUCACUCCCCAGCAAUGACGCCAGAAAAGAGUCUUGAUGACCCACAAGUAUAGGGUAUCAAUCGUAGUCCUUUUGAUAAGUAAGAGUGUCGAACCCAGUGAGGAGCAGAAGGAUCUGACAAGUGGUUUUCAGCAAGGUAAAAUCUGCACGCACUGAAAUUGUUGGUAACAAGUGAUUGUGUGGUGAGAUGAUUCGUAGCAAGCAACAAGUAACAAAAGUAGCAACGGUACAGCAAAGUGUCCCAAUCCCUUUUGUAGCAAAGGACAAGCCUGGACAAAGUCUUAUAGGAGGGAAAACGCUCUCGAGGACACACGGGAAUUUCUGUCAUGCAAGUUUCAUCAUGUUCAUAUGAUUCACGUUCGUUACUUUGAUAGUUUGAUAUGUGGGUGGACCGGCGCUUGGGUACUGCCCUUACUUGGACAAUCAUCCCACUUAUGAUUAACCCCUCUCGUAAGCGUCCACAACUAUGAAAUAAGAAUUAAGACAAAGUCUAACCAUAGCAUUAAACUAGUGGAUCCAAAUCAGCCCCUUACGAAGCAACGCAUAAACUAGGGUUUAAGCUUCUGUCACUCUAGCAACCCAUCAUCUACUUACUACUUACCAAUGCCUUCCUAUAGGCCCAAAUAAUGGGGAAGUCUUAUGUAGUCGACGUUCACAUAACACCACUAGAGGAAAAACAACAUACAACAUAUCAAAAUACCGAACGAAUACCAAAUUCACAUGACUACUAUUAGCAUGAAUUAUCCCAUGUCCUCAGGAACAAAAUUAACUACUCAAAAAUCAUAAUCAUAUUCAUGACCAGAGAGGUAAUGAGUAGCAUCAAGGAUCUGAACAUAAACUCUUCCAUCAAAUAAUCCAACUAGCAUCAACUACAAAGAGUAAUCAACACUACUAGCAACCUUAAAAGUACCAAUUGGAGUCGCGAGACGGAGAUUGGUUACAAGUGAUGAACUAGGGUUUGGAUAUGAGAUGGUGCUGAUGAAGAUGUUGAUGGCGACGAGUCCCCUCCAAUGAGAGGAGUGUUGGUGAUGAUGAUGGCGACGAUUUCCCACUCCGGGAGGGAAGUUUCCCUGGCAGGAUCGUCCUGCCGGAGCUCUAGAUUGGUUCUGCUCAAGUUCCGCCUCGUGGCGGCGGCGAAACCACGAAAAAGCUCCUCCGUGAUUUUUUUCCUGGACUAAACCCUCCAUAUAGAAAAAGAGGGGGGCUAGUGGGCCAGUGGGCUGCCCACAAGCCCCCAUGGCGCGGCCUGGGGGUGGUCGCGCCGUGCAGGCUUGUGGGCACCCCCUGUUGCCCCUCUCGCACUUCUUCGGCCCAGUAUUUUUGAUAAAUUGGGAAAAAAUCCCUGUUAAUUUUCACGGUGUUUGGAGUUGCGCAGAAUAGGUAUCUCAACUUUGCUCCACUUUGAGGCCAGAAUUCCAGUUGCCGGUAUUCUCCCUCUUCAUGUAAAGCUUGCAAAAUAAGAGAGAAAAGGCAUAAGAAUUGUACCGUGAAGUGAAAUAACAACCCAAGAAGCGAUAAAUAUCAACAUGAAAACAUGAUGCAAAAUGGACAUAUCAAUCUCCUCUCUAUUUUCCCUCAAGAACUAGCAAGAAUCAUUGAGGGAUUGAGAGUUAGCUAUCUCUAAGAAGGUCAACAAUGGGGGAAGAACACGAGCUCAACGGAUAGAUAAGGUCCAAUGGGCAAGAAGAACUCCUUUAUAUAGUGGGGGAACGAAUCUUACCGUUACCCCCACUCACAGCCCGACUGGAGCGGCACUACCGCUGCUCGUAGCAGUACUACGGCUCCCAGAAUGUCCGAGGGAGCGGUACUACCACCCGGGAGCGGUAGUAAAAAAUUACUACCGCUCGCACCAUGAGCGGUAUUACCGCUCGAUACUGAAAUUGCUCUAACUUUUGCAUACGAACUCUGAAUCAAGCAAACUCAAGCUUUUUGAAUUCACAAUGACAAGAGAUAUCCAACAGUGACAUAAAAUCUUAAGAACAUUUAGUUAGAAAAUUCCAAUGAUAUAGAGAAGUGAUACCUCUAUGAAUGAAGAAUUGGCAAAAACUUCCAACAUCGAAAACAUCAUAGAAGAUGCAUAUGGACUCCGUUUUCGAUGAACUUGAGCUUGUCAUGAAGAUGACCAUAAGUUCUAAAACUCACAAAGAGAAACACCAAACAAGAACCAAGAAAUAUGAUGCAAGGAUGCAAAUGGUUUGAGAUCUCAACGAACGAUACGAUCAAGCUACUCACUUGAGAGCCCCCCUUGACAGUACGACAAUCUAUCCUAAAAUAGAAAACCUAUCAAGGGAAAACCUAUACCUUGCACCUAGUCCUCUUGAAGUAGAUGAUGAUGAUCUUGGCUUCCUCAAGAUGGACCACCUUUCUUGAUUGCCUUGGUUUUACAAAGACUAGUUGAUUUCUCCCCCAUACUCACUAUGGGUGAGCCACUCUUCAGCACAUAUUCACAAGUCCAUUGCCACCACAAUGGACGGCAAGCUUCAAGCAUGAUAUCUUCGUGAAGCUCCACUUGAACUUGAACACCCCAAUCUUGAUGACGAUCACCACUUGAUGUCAUCCUUCAUAGGUUGAAUGAGAUCUUCCUCUUGACGCAAACCCAUGGAGACACACCUAACCCCACAUAGAAGUCUCACAAGGACCAUGGCUAAGUACACAAAAGCGUUAUGGACAAUGCUUACCAUACCAUGGGAUCACUUGAUCCCUCUCGGCACAUCUGGUACACUUUGUGUAUUGAUCAUCUUGAUUUACUCUUUGUUUAUUCUUGAUCAACCUUGUAUCUUUAUGACCAAUCUUUGGAUAAUAUCUAGAAUACCACCUUGGUCAUCAUAUAAACUCUUUGACACCAAUUGAUGGACUUCAAGAAGUGCCUAUGGACAAAUCCUUUGAAUAUAACUUAAGGCAACCAUUAGUCCAUAGGGAUUGUCAUCAAUUACCAAAACCACAUAUGGAGAAAUAUGCUCUAACACUGGGGGAAUACCUUGUGUGUAUCAAACGUCACAACGUAACUGGCUCACUACAAAGGUGCUCUACGGGUAUCUCCAAAGGUGUCUCUUGGGUUGGCCUGAAUCGAUAUUGGGAUUUGUCACUCUAUCUCGGGGCCCACUCGGUAAUACAACAUCGCAAUAAGCCUUGCAAGCAAUGUGACUAAGGAGUUAGUCACGGGAUCUUGUAUUACGGGAGUAUUAAAGAGACUUGCCGGUAACGAGAUUGAACUAGAUAUGGGGAUAUUGACGAUCGAAUCUCAGGCAAGUAACAUACCGAUGGACAAAGGGAACAGUAUACGGGAUUGAUUGAAUCCUUGACAUCGUGCUUCGACCGAUAAAGAUCUUUGUAGAAUAUGUAGGAACCAAUAUGGGCUCGAGGUCCCGCUAUUGGUUAUUGACCGUAGAGGUGUCUCGGUCAUGUCUGCAUAGUUCUCGAACCCGUAGGGUCUGCACACUUAACGUUCGGUGACGCUAGAGUAGUAUUGGGAUUUGUAUGUUGGUGACCGAAAGUUGUUCAGAGUCUCGGAUGAGAUCCCAAACGUCACGAGGAGCUCCGGAAUGGUCCGGAGGUAAAGAUUUACAUAUGGGAAUUCAUAUUUUGGCUACCAAAAAAGUUUCGGGUUUUUUCGGUAUUGUACUGGGAAGCUUCUAGAAGGUUCCGAAAACGUCUGGAGGAGUCCGAAAGUCCACCAAGGGUUCCACCACGUCCCAACGGUUUGCAUGGGCUGAGUGGAGAUGUCGUGGCCUUAUUGGGCCAAUCACACAAGUCCCUCAAGGCCCAUGUAGUUGGCAAAGGUGGAAAGUCCAACUUUGUAAGGAAGGGAAGGAAGGGGACUAGGUUUCCACCUCAUCCCCCCUUGGCUACGCCCUAGGGCUUGGAGGGGUUGUUCCCCACGCCCCUUCACCUAUAUAUAGAGAGUAGGGGGAACCCCAAAAGUACACAACAAACCACGACUGCUCUCUCUCUAGAUCGUUUUCUCCUCUAGAUUAGUUCCGUAGAGCUUGGCGAAGCCCUUCUGGAUUAGUUCACCAUCACCACCACCAUGCCGUCGUGCUGGAGAACUCAUCUACCUCUCCACCCCUUUUGCUGGAUCAAGAAGCCGGUGAACGUCAUCGAGUUGUAUGUGUGCUGAACGGGGAGGUGUCCUCCGUUCGACGCUUGAUCGGGAUUUCAUGGCACGGAUCGUGAUUGGAUCGCGAAGAUGUACCACUACAUCAACCGCAUUCUUUAACGCUUCUGCUUAGCGAUCUACAAGGGUUUGUAGAUACACUCACCCCUCUCGUAUAUGGUCAUCACCAUGGACAGAUCUUAUGUGCACGUAGGAAAAAUUUUGUUUCCCAUGCAACAUUCCCCCAAACAAUGGUGAAGAAAAGACUCUCCUAACCUAGCUUUGAACGACAACGCUGUUUUGGAGGAAGAAGAAGAAGAGGAAGGUUGUACCGAAGACACCAAAUAUGCUUAUCACGAGCAUAUGGCUCUUGCGUCAAGGCAAUUUUGGGGCAACAAGAGAAACUAAAGGCCUAACAUCUCCAAGAAUAACAAAAGUGGGUCCAAGGGCAAGCAACGUGUGAGGACUUGCUACAAUUGUGGCAAGGUGAAUCACUUUGUGGCAGAUUGUCCGUAUGAGAAGAUGGAAGACAACUGUGGAAAGCUCAUUCGCAAAGACAAGGCCAAGUCCUUCCCCAACAAGGAGAACUUAUCCAAGAAGAAUCCCCAAAAGGUGUUGGUGGCUCAAUAAGAGUACCUCUCCGCUGGGGAUGAAGAUGAUGAUGCAAGUGGUGAAGUAAUGGCAAUGGCCACAAUGGCCAUUGCAUCCUCUUCCCCAAGCAAGGUGUCCCGCUUCAACUCCCCCAACGAGAACCGCAUGGCCAAGUGCCUUACACCAAGGAAUCCAACAAGGUAACCUCCAACAUCAAAACUACCAUUUCCACUACCCCUUAUUCUAUGGAUAGUCGAGAUGAAAAAGAGGAGGUAAAAGUUAAGGAAAACCCCUUUGGUAAGUUCAUGAGAAGAAACAAGGCUGAGACCACAAAGCAUUUUUUUGCUCUCUUGGAACAACUAGGCGAGGCUAGCGAUCUCAUUAAGACCCAUGAGAAAACCAUCUAUCAAUUAGAGGGACAUGGUCGAGACUAUGACAAUGAUACUAGUAGAAAAGAGGGCUUUGGUCCACUUGAUAAAAUCCCAUUAGUCCCGGUUCACUCACGAACCGGGACCCAUGUGGGCAUAGGUCCCGGUUCGUGAGGCCAGGGCGCUGGCCGGGCCUCGUGGACCAUUUGUCGCGGUUCGUUUGUCACCUUCGGUUUGGUUCUAGACAUGAACCGAGACCAAUGUGCUUCGCUCCUGGCCCACAACCACUAGUCCCGGUUUGUGGUUGGAACCGGGACCUCGGGUUGUCCUUUGGUCUUGAUUCCAGCCAAAAACCGGGACCAACGGUUGGCCUACAUAUACCCUCGCGAGCAGAGCAGUGCAUUGCUCUAUUUUUUCGGUCGGCCGUGGGAGAGUUUGUGGUGCUCUAGCUCACCUCCUAUGCACAUGAGGUGUUCGAUGAGAUGCCCGAGCCAGACAUAAGCUUUCUCCUUUAGAAGCUCCUUGUCCAAGCUCCAAUUUCAUCAAGAUUUGUGUUGUUUUUAAUACACUUUGUUAUAUAACGCACACAGAUGAACCGUAAAUGGAUGUACGGUGACCGACACACCUCCGAGUAUAUUAAUGGCCUGUAUAAUUUUCUCGAAGCGGCUAAAGCAAACAAGCAGAAUGGUUUUAUGCAUUGUCCAUGUACUGUCUGUGGGAAUACGAAGGAAUUCUCUGACUAUAAAACCCUGCACUUCCAACUGCUUCAGAAGGGUUUUAUGCCACACUAUAAUGUUUGGACCAAGCAUGGAGAAAGAGGGGUUAUGAUGGAAGACAACAUAGAAGAAGAGGAUGAUGACAACUACCCGCCCCGUGAAUACGGUGAUGCUGCAAUGUGGGAAGCUGAAGAUCAAGAGGAACCAGACGAUGUGCCCGAUGAUGAUCUUCGUCAGGUCAUUAUUGAUGCACAUGGAGAAUGCGAAAGUGAAAGGGAGAAGUUGAAGUUUGAUCGCAUGUUAGAGGAUCAUAUAAAAGGGUUGUAUCCAAAUUGCGAAGAUGACAACACAAAGCUCGGUGCCACACUCGAAUUGCUGCAAUGGAAUGCAGACAAUGGUGUAUCUGACAAGGCAUUUAGUUCGCUACUGAAAUUAAUGAAGAAGAAGCUUGAUACGUCUCCGUUGUAUCUACUUUUCCGAACUCUUUUGCCCUUGUUUUGGACUCUAAUUUGUAUGAUUGGAAUGGAAUUACCCGGACUGGCGUUGUUUUCAGCAGAAUUGCCAUGCUGUUUUUUUGUGCAGAAAUAAAAGUUCUCGGAAUGUCCUGAAAAUUUACGGAGAUUUUUUCUGGAAUAAAAGAAAAAUACAUGCGCAAAGAUCCACCGGAGGGGGUGUGCCAGUGGUCCACAAACCCACAGGCCUCAGCCAGCCCCUAUGGGCGCGCCGUGAGGGCUUGUGGGGCCCACGUGGAAACACCUCCCCCAAACUCAGCUCUAUAUCUUCCGUUUCGCAUGGAAAAAAAUCAGAGAGAAGGUUUCAUCGCGUUUUGCGAUACGGAGGUGCCGCCACAUCCUGUUCUUCAUCUGGAGGGCAGAUCUGGAGUCCGUUUCGGGCUCUAGAAAGGGGAAAUCGUCGCCAUCAUCAUCAACCUUUCUCCAUCGACAAUUCCAUGAUGCACUUCAUCGUUCAUGAGUAAUCUCAUCGUAGGCUUGCUCGACGGUGAUGAGUUGGAUGAGAUCUAUCAUGUAAUCGAGUUAGUUCUUGACGGGGAUUGAUCCCUAGUGUCCAUUAUGUUCUAAAUUGAUGUUGCUACUACUUGGCUAUGCUUAGUGCUUGUCACUAGGGCCCGAGUGCCAUGAUUUAAAAUUUGAACCUAUUAUGUUGUCGCCAAUAUAUGUGUGUUUUAGAUCUUAUCUUGCAAGUUGUAGUCACCUACUAUGUGUUAUGACCCGGCAACCCCGGAGUGAGAAUAGCGGGAACCACUCCUGGAGAUGACCAUAGUAUGAGGAGUUCAUGUAUUCACCGCAUGUUAAUGUGUUGGUCUAGUUCUUUAUUAAAAGGAGUACCUUAAUAUCCCAUAGUUUCCAUUAGGAACCUGCUGCCACGGGAGGUAUGGACAAUAGAUGUCAUGCAAGUUCUUUUCCCUAAUCACGUAUGACUACAUACGGAAUACAUGCCUACAUUAGAUUAACGAUUGGGAGCUAGUUACAUAUCUCUCCGUGUUAUAGCUGUUACAUGAUGAAUCACAUCCGUCAUACCCAUCCAUCACCGAUCCACUGCCUACGAGUCUUUUACUACUAGUUCUCGCUGCGUUACUUUGUCUAGGCUUGUCCCUUGCUACAAAAGGGAUUUGGCCACUUUGCUGCUAUUGUUGUUACUUUGCUGCUUCUGCUACUAUAGUUCCUUGCUACUCCGUUCUUACUUGUUGCAAGACUUUGUUGGAGCCGUAGUCGGGGAAGCAUUCUUCUCAAGAAUAAUCCCCCGUCAACGUGUUGGCGCCAUUGAUACAACAGUUAGGAAUAGUUUGCCGUCAAUAGUUCUGUUUCUGACACCGUUGCUAUCAUACUACCUUGCUACUGAUACUUUGCUUGCAGACACUAAUCUUUCAGGUGUGGUUGAAUUUGACACAUUCAGCUGCUAAUACUUGAGAAUAUUCUUUCGCUUCCCGUCUUGGCGAAUCUACAAAUUUGGGUCGAAUACUCUACCCACGAAAACUGUUGCGAUCCCAUACGCUUGUGGGACAUCAAGGCUUUUUUCUGGCGCCGUUGCCGGGGAAGCACAGCUAUAUUCUCUGAGUCACUUGGGAUUGACGUCUGUUGAUCACUAUGAGGAAUCCGAAAGAUCCAAGAACUAAAAUCCUACCUUCCACUACGAGGAGAGGUAAGGAACUGCCAUCUAGCUCUGCACUUGAUUCACCUUCAGUUCUGAGUAAGUUUGCGACUUCGCCUCCUGCUAGAAAUCUUGAUAUGUCCCUUGAUGAUGCUACUUCUGUUGCCCAUGAUGCUUAUGAUGCUAUGCUUGAUACUAUGCCUGAUGAUGCUAUGCUUGAUACUAUGCCUGAUGAUAUUAUGCUUGAUACUAUGCCUGCUAUGUCUGAUACUGCUUUGCCACUUGGUGCAUUCCUUGAUGCACAUAUUGCUAGAGUUGCUGUUAGAUGUGAUGAUACUUCUGAAACUACUGAUACUAUUGAAGUAGAACCUGCUAGUAUGCCUGAAUUGCCUAUUAUGCCUGAUACGCGCUAUGUUAUGGAGGGAGAGAUAGGUGAGGACUUUCUUGCGUGUAAGGAUAGCUAUGAUGUUGAGAAACUUCUGCGCAAGUGGAAAGAAAAAUCUCUGAACGCUAGGAUGAAUUACGACCCGAAGUUUGCUACUUCGCCUAUCUUUGUGACCGAUAAGGAUUAUGAAUUCUCUGUCGACCCUGAGUCAAUCACUCUUGUCGAAUCUGAUCCUUUUCACGGUUAUGAGUCUGAAACGGUUGUAGCCCAUCAUACCAAACUGCACGAUAUAGCCACCCUAUUCACUAGUGAGGAAAAGAUCCACCACUACUACAUACUCAAGCUGUUUCCUUUCUCGCUAAAGGAUGAUGCUAAGACCUGGUUCACUUCUCUUGCUCCUGGUUGUGUGGGUAGCCCCUAGGAUAUGGUCUACUACUUCUCUGAAAAAUAUUUCCCUGCCCAUAAGAAGCAAGCUGCCUUGCAGGAAAUAAACAACUUUGCUCAAGCUGAGGAAGAGAGUCUCCCACAAGCUUGGGGGAGGCUUAUCCAGAUACUGAAUGCUUUGCCUGAUCACCCUCUUGAGAAGAACGAAAUACUUGAUAUCUUCUAUAAUGGACUUACCGAUGCUUCUAAAGACCACCUAGAUAGUUGUGCCGGUAGUGUUUUUAGGGAACGAACCGUAGAACAAGCUGAGAUUCUAUUGAAUACCAUCUUGUGCAAUGAGAAUGCUUGGACUAUUCCUGAACCACCUCCUAAGCCAACUCCGAGGAAAAGAGGUAUUCUAUUCCUCGGUCCUUAAGAUAUGCAAGAAGCCAAGAAAUCUAUGCGAGAGAAAGGCAUUAAAUCUGAAGAUGUCAAAAAUCUACCACCUAUCGAAGAGAUCCAUGGUCUCGAUAACCCGAUACAGGUAGUAGAAGCAAAUUCUCUGUAUAGGUUUCAUGAGAGUGAUAUUCCUUUUGAUAAACCUGCUAGCUUAUGCAUGGAUGAAUUUGAUAACUUCGUUGCCAAACAACAAAGUUUCAAUGAUUAUGUUAGCAGACAAUUGGAAAAGAAUGCUCGUAUGCUUAGUCAUUUAAGUGCUUGUGUGGACAGAAAUGUCAAUGAUCUUAAACUUCUGAGUAAACAUGCCUCUAUGGUUACUACUCAGGUAGAACAAGUACUUAAAGCUCAGAAUGACUUGCUCAACGAGUUGAAUGACAAUUCUGUCAGAGUCGUUACUAGAGGCGGUAGAAUGACCCAGGAACCUCUGUAUCCUGAGGGUCAUCCGAAGAGAGUUGAACAAGAGUCUCAAGGAGUUAGCACUGAUGCACCUAGUCAUCCUAGAAAGAAGAACAAAGAUGAUAGGGACCUGCACGCGAGCAACCCUGUUGCUGCUACACCUGAGAGUCCAAACGAUGCCUCUGUCUCUGAUGCUGAGACACAAUCUGGUGAUGAACAUGAGCCUAAUGAUGAUAUCAAUGGUGAUGUUCAUGUUGAUGCUCAACCUAGCAAUGAAAAGGAUGUGGAGAUUGAACCAGUUGAUCUUGAUAACCCACAUCCUAAGAAUAAGAGAUACGAUAAGAAUGACUUCGCUACUAGGAAGCAUGGUAAAGAAAGGGAGCCAUGGGUUCAGAAACCUAUGCCCUUUCCUCCCAAACCAUCCAAGAAAAAGGAUGAUGAGGAUUUUGAGCGCUUAGUUGAGAUGAUCAGACAUGUCUUUCUACAAAUGCGUUUGACAGAUAUGCUCAAAAUGUCUCCGUAUGCCAAGUACAUGAAAGAUAUUGUGACUAAUAGGAGGAGGAUACCUGAUCUUGAGAUCUCCGCCAUGCUUGCCAAUUAUAUCUUCAAGGGUGGAACUCCUGAGAAACUAGGUGAUCCCGGUGUGCCCACUAUACCUUGCUCCAUUAAAGGUAACUAUGCUAGAACUGCUUUAUGCGACCUUGGAGCCAGUGUUAGUGUUAUGCCUCUCUCUCUUUAUCGUAGACUUGAACUAGAUAAGUUGACACCCACUGAAAUCUCUCUGCAAAUGGCCGACAAAUCAACUGCUUUCUCUAUCGGCAUUUGCGAGGAUGUGCCUGUUGUGGUUGCUAACACCACUAUCUUAACAAACUUUGUUAUCUUGGAUAUUCCCGAGGACGAUGCCAUGGUUUUCAUCCUCGGAAGACCCUUUUUAAACACUGCAGGGGCUGUUAUAGAUUGCAACAAAGGCAAUGUCACUUUCCAUGUCAACGGUAAUGAGCAUACGGUGCACUUUCCGAAGAAAUAAUAUCGAGUACAUUGCAUCAAUGCUAUCGAAAAAACUUCAUCGAUUCUUAUCGGGAGCUUUGAAUGCCCUAUUCCUUGUGUCAAGAUGAAGUAUGAUUUGCUUGUUGGGGAGAUACACAUCCCCAUUGAGGUGACUUAGUGACUAUUCGGAAAUUCUCUGUUCUCUUUUGCGAUCCGAGAAAGUUUUGUCGAGGGGAUUUGAUCAACCCCAUUGACGGAUUUCUUUCGAUGACCAUGAGAUGGAUGAAUCAAGGAGUCACAAACCUCUGUUCUAAGCUUUCACUUUAGGUUGCUUAGAAGAAAAAUGAUAGGUUUAGUUUAGUUUUCCCUGUUUUCUGUUUUAGCGUCCGGUAGAAAAAUACCCCGAAAAUAAAAGUUCUCCGAACGCUGUGAAAAUCUAGUAUGAUUUUUUCUGGAAUAUUUGAAAAAUACUGGGACAAAGAGUCUGUCUGGGGGCCACACCAGUGGGCCACAAGCCCUAGGGGCGCGGGCACCCCCCUGGCCGCGCCACCCAGGCUAGUGGGGCCCACAGGCACCCCCUCCACUCAUUCUUGCUCUCAUCCGCUUCUCCUAUCUCCAGAAAAAAAAUCGUUUCGCAGCUCAAACCCGUGUUCUUGCUCCUCUUGCUGGGAUUUUCGAUCUCUUUGCUCAAAUCACCGUUCUCCAAACUGGUUUGGGGAAAUUACUCCUUGGUAAGUGACUCCUCCAUUGGUCCAAUUAGUUUUUGCUCGAGUGCCUUAUGCUCCGCGUAUUUUUGCUGCCUUGGUGACCAUGUUCUUGAGCUUUGCAGGCUGAUUCUAGCUGGUCCCCAGUAGUUUUGAUGCGUAAUAUGGUCUCUAGGCACUUGUGGGAGUAGUUGCCACGAGUUUCGUUGAGCCUUAUUCACUUUUCCUUAGAAUCACUAAAAAUUUCAGAAAUUUUCAGAGAUAGAAAAGGGAAAAGAUGAGGAGGUUCUUGAGAGGCUCGUCAAGUCGUGACCCCAAGGAGGAUGGGAGUGAGAAGAAGCCCAAGUAUCCGGUCCCUCGAGUCGCGGAAGUUCGAGCGUGCGAGUGGCCGAGCGACGUGUUCUUACGCGCCGCUGGAAUUUAUGAGGACUUUUAUCACUUGGUGGAAAACGCAGGCCUUACCGCCUUCGUUGAAGAUAAGUGUUCGCAAUACCUCCUCCUCACUAAUAUCUUCGUACAAAGCUUUAACUUCUAUCCGAGAAAGAAUCCUCCGAUGGUUGAGUUUAAACUUUAUGAUAUCCCCCAGCGCAUGUCACUCCAGGACUUUUGCAAUGUUUGCAAAUUACCUUACAUUGGAGAUAUUCAUGAACCUCAUCCACGGGAUUUGGAAGCUUUUAUCGGAACCAUUGCUGUAGGAGAUGAGAGAGGAGUGUCUUGCGCUAGAGCUGCUAGCAUUCAUUUUCCCGUGCUUCGGAACUUCUCACUUUUUAUGGGAAAAAUUUUGAUUGGCUGUGGGAAAGCUGGGUCACUUAGUUCCCUAGAUCUUGCGGUAUUGCGCGACGCCCUUUAGAACGAUAAAACUUAUAGCUUGGGCACUAUAGUAGCUCAACGGUUGAACCUGAACCGUUCUAAAGGUGUUGUCUAUGGAUGUAUCUAUGCUACCCGUCUUGCCAGACACUUUGAGAUACCCAUUAGACUGGAGGAAGAAGAAGAGGUUCUUCUUCCCGAGAGAUAUCUAGAUUACGAUAGCAUGGUUUGCCAUGACUUUCUUGAUAGAGAUAUAGGUGGAAGGAUGAUUUAUAACCUGGUAUUUAGUCAGGGUACUCGUGAGACUAUUACUUUGCCUAUUCCUUCUUUGUUCAACCUUCAUGCAGGAAGGUACACUAUUAUGCCCUCGGACAUCUACGCAUAUUGGGGCCUAGCCCAACCACACGUGCCCUUGACCGAGCCGCCAGUCGAGUACCAAACGGCAGUUUAUCAGUGGGAGCCAGAGGAGGUCACACAACAGUGGAUCCACAGCCCACUCCGAAGUAUCCCGGAGCUGGUUAUUUCCCUCCUUGGGAGUAGACCAAGUUAGGACAAAAGCCUAAGCUUGGGGGAGUACGUGUUCUCACCGACUUUACAUUCUUGCGUAUGCUUUCACUUUGUUAGCCGGUGUUCACACUUUGCCACUGUAUCAUCCAUGCUAGUUUAUUUUCUUUUUCUCGUUUUCUUUUCGUGUGUCUGUCUAGUUUGAGAAAACCCAAAAAGAUUUUCUUUUUCUUCUUGUCUUUUUUCUUGUUGGGAUCUUUCCGUGUAGAUAGUUUUCUUUUUCUUUGGGUCAAGGUAGAAGAUAUUGGUUACAAUGUUUAGUGGCUCUUGCAUGCAUACCUGUUUAGCUUUCAAAGAGACAUAUUACUUUGUCUUCUCCUUUGUGUUUGCCUGCAGAUUCCAGCUUUAGUCCAAUGCACAAGCACGCUUAUUAUUGUUCACAUCGUUCGGUCGUGCAAGUGAAAGGCAAUAAUGACGAUAUAUGAUGAAGUGACUGAGCCUGGAAAAGCUGGUAUGAACUCGAUCUAUUUUGUUUUUGUAAAUAUGACUACCUCAUUAUGCCUGAUUCAGCUUUGUAGUGAGAGAAACAUGCUUGCAAUGACAACUUAGAGAUCAUAGUUGCUUAUGCCAUGCUUAUUUAGCUAGGAGCUUAUAAUGUUUGUCUUGGUUGCCCACAUGAAUGUUGAGAUGACUAUGAUGUAGUAUGAUAGGAUGGUAUCCUCCCUUGAAUGAUUCAAGUGGCUUAACUUGGCGCAUGUUCACGCAUGUAGUUGAAACAAAAUCAACAUAGCCUCUAUGAUAUUCAUGUUCAUGGUGAUUUAUGUCCUACUCAUGCUUGCACUCAAUGUUAGUUAAUCUCAAUGCAUUUUGAUGACUGUUGCUUCUCUCUAGUUGGUCGCUUCCCAGUCUUUUGCUAGCCUUCACUUGUACUAAGCAGGAAUAAUGCUUGUGCAUCCACCUCCAUAUCCCCAAAGUUGUGCCAUAUGAGUCCACCAUACCUACCUAUGUGCAGUAUCUACCUGCCAUUACAAGUAAAUUUGCAUGUGCCACUCUCUAAACCUUCAAGAAAUAAUCUGUUUUGCAUGCCCGAACCGCUCAUGUGGUGACAGAGGGCUAUUGGUAUCUUCCAUGCUAGGCGUGUUAUCCUCGAUAUGUGUUUAUUCACUAUCAUUCACGAGAAAGGGGUCGGUAAUUGGAAUUCCCAGUUCCAUGCUCAAAUCGGAGAGAUAAUUGCAAGCAAAACUCCCCCAGGAUUGAAGUUGGUAUGGACGGUACCCGAGGAUUCGGCUAGCCGUGGAGUGUGAUUGAUUGGUGGUGGGGGAGUCAAAACUUUACUUUUCUGUUUGGGAAUCGCCUAUAGCAUGUGUAGCAUGGAAGAUGUUGAGAACUCUUAGUCAUUGCGUUGAUAAUAAAAGCAUGCCACCCAAAAUUAUUAUCUCUGUUUUCAAAGCUUGAGCUCUGGCACCUCUAAAAUCAAUGCUUCCCUCUGCAAAGGGCCUGUCUAUUUAUGUUCCUGUUGAGUCAUCCUCCUCUUACAAAAGCACCAAUUAGAGAGCACCUCUGUUGUUUUUAUGCUUUGCUUUUAACUGUGUUGAGUAUGACUAUGACUGGAUCUUCAUUGCUUUGAAUUACAAUGUUUAGUCAGCCCUUGGUCUUUGAAGGUGAUCUGCAUUUAUGUUUUGCGGUCUCAGAAAGAGCUAGCGAGAUACCAUCUAUUCGUACUGCUUCAUGUUGUUUUGAUUGAAGUGUUGACGUUUGAGACUUAUUAUUAUUUGCUCGCUAGUUGAUUAUGCCAUUGAUAUGAGUUUACCGUGAGACCUAGAUGUCAUUUGCUUAUGUGGUUUGAUUGUGAUCUUGCUGAAAUUCUGGUUGUGAGUUAGACAUACUUGCAGCAACAAGAUCAAACAGAGUUCGUCAAAGUUUUACUUUUGUCUCUCUCAGUUUGUCAACUGAGUUGCUUGAGGACAAGCAAGGUUUUAAGCUUCGGGGAGUUGAUACGUCUCCGUCGUAUCUACUUUUCCGAACUCUUUUGCCCUUGUUUUGGACUCUAAUUUGCAUGAUUUGAAUGGAACUAACACGGACUGACGCUGUUUUCAGCAGAAUUGCCAUGGUGUUGUUUUUGUGCACAAAUAAAAGUUCUCGGAAUGUCCUGAAAAUUUACGGAGAUUUUUUAUGGAACAAAAGAAAAAUACCUGCACAAAGAUCCACCGGAGGGGUCGUGCCAGUGGGCCACAAGCCCACAGGCCGCGGCCACCCCCUAUGGCCGCGUUGUGAGGGCUUGUGGGGCCCACGUGGCACCACCGCCCCCAAACUCAGCUCUAUAUCUUCCCUUUCGCCUGAAAAAAAUCAUAGAGAAGGUUUCAUCAUGUUUUGCGAUACGGAGGCGCCGCCACAUCCUGUUCUUCAUCUGGAGGGCAGAUCUGGAGUCCGUUUCGGGCUCCGGAGAGGGGAAAUCUUCGCCAUCGUCAUCAUCAACCUUUCUCCAUCGACAAUUCCAUGAUGUUCUUCAUCGUUAGUGAGUAAUCUCAUCGUAGGCUUGCUAGACUGUGAUGAGUUGGAUGAGAUCUAUCAUGUAAUCGAGUUAGUUCUUGACGGGGAUUGAUCCCUAGUAUCCACUAUGUUCUAGAUUGAUGUUGCUACUACUUGGAUAUGUUUAAUGCUUGUCACUAGGGCCCGAGUGCCAUGAUUUCAGAUCUGUACCUAUUAUGUUGUCGCCAAUAUAUGUGUGUUUUAGAUCUUAUCUUACAAGUUGUAGUCACCUACUAUGUGUUAUGACCCGGCAACCCCUGAGUGACAAUAGCCGGAACCACUCCCGGAGAUGACCAUAGUAUGAGGAGUUCAUGUAUUCACCACGUCUUAAUGCGUUGGUCCGGUUCUUUAUUAAAAGGAGAACCUUAAUAUCCCGUAGUUUCCAUUAGGACCCCGCUGCCACAGGAGGGAUGGACAAUAGAUGUCAUGCAAGUUCUUUUCCCUAAGCACGUAUGACUACAUACGGAAUACAUGCCUACAUUAGAUGGACGAACGGGAGCUAGUUACAUAUCUCUCUGUGUUAUAGCUGUUACAUGAUGAAUCACAUCCAUCAUACUCAUCCAUCACAGAUCCACUGCCUACGAGUCUUUUACUACUGGUUCUCGCUAUGUUACUUUGUCUAGGUUUGUCCCUUGCUACAAAAGGGAUUGGGCCACUUUGCUGCUACUGUUUCUAUUGUUGUUACUUUGCUGCUGGGCUGCUACUGCUGUUCCUUGCUACUCCGCUGUUACUUGUUGCAAGACUUUGUUGGAGCCGUAUCCGGGGAAGCAUUCUUCUCAAGAAUAAUCCCCCGUCAAUGUGUUGGCGCCAUUGAUACAAUAGUUAGGAAUAGUCUGCCGUCAACAGUUCUGUUUCUGACACCGUUGCUAUCAUACUACCUUGCUACUGAUACUUUGCUUGCAGACACUAAUCUUUCAGGUGUGGUUGAAUCUGAAACAUUCAGCUGCUAAUACUUGAGAAUAUUCUUUCGCUUCCCGUCUUGGCGAAUCUACAAAUUUGGGUCGAAUACUCUACCCUCGAAAACUGCUGCGAUCCCAUACGCUUGUGGGACAUCAAAGCUUCCAAAGGAUAACGAAUUGCCCGGCAGUACGUACGAAGCGAAGAAGGUUCUAUGGCCUCUAGGAUUGGAGGUGUAGAAGUUACAUGCAUGCCCUAAUGACUGCAUCCUCUACCGUGGUGCGUACGAGGAUUUGAACGCAUGCCCGGUAUGCGGUGCAUUGCGGUAUAAGAUCAGAAGAGAUGACCCUGGUGAUGUUGAGGGCCAGCGCACCAGGAAGAUGGUUCCUGCCAAGGUGAUGUGGUAUGCUCCUAUAAUACCACGGUUGAAACGUCUGUUCAGAAACAAAAAAGCAUGUCGAGUUGAUGCAAUGGCACAUAAAAGACUGUAAGAAAGACGUGAAGUUGAGAGCACCCGCUGACGGGUCGCGGUCGAGAAAGAUCAAGAGAAAGUGGAGCGACUUUACACGUGACCCAAGGAACGUAUGGUUUGGUUUAAAUGCAGAUGGCGUUAAUCCUUUUGGGGAGCAAAGCAGCAAGCAUAUGACAUGGCAUGUGACUCUAUGUAUGUAUAACCUUACUCCUUGGUUGUGCAUGAAGCAGAAGUUCAUUAUGAUGCCACUGCUCAUCCAAGGCCCUAGGCAACCCGGCAAUGACAUUGAUGUGUACCUAAGGCCAUUAGUUGAUGAACUUUUACAGCUAGGGAAUGGAAAUGGUGUACGUGUGUGGGAUGAGAACGAACAGGAGGAAUUUGACCUACAUGUGUUGCUGUUUGUAACCAUCAACGAUUGGCCUGCUCUCGGUAACCUUUCAGGAAAGACAAACAAGGGAUACAAUGCCUGCACACAUUGUUUAGAUGACACCGACAAUAUAUAUUUGGACAAAUGCAGGAAGAAUGUGUACAUGGGGCAUCGCCGAUUUCUUCCGACAAACCAUCAAUGUUGAAAGAAAGGAAAGCAUUUCAAAGGUGAGGCAGAUCACCGGAAGAAGCCCGCCCUCCGUACUAGUGAUCAGAUACUUGGUAUGGUCAGUGAUUUACAAGUAAUCUUUGGAAAGCGUCCUGGCAGACUAUCUGUUCUGAAUGACGAUGCGGGACACGCACCCAUGUGGAAGAAGAAUCUAUAUUUUGGGACCUACCCUAUUGGAAACACCUAGAGGUCCGCUCUGCAAUCUACGUGAUGCAUGUGAUGAAGAAUCUUUGCGUGAACCUGCUCGGCUUCUUGGGAGUGUAUGGGAAGACAAAAUAUACACCGGAGGUACGGGAGGAAUAUCAACGUGUGCAUGAAAAAGACGACAUGCAUCCAGAGUAGUAUGAAGGUCCUGCCACCUACGCUCUUACCAAAGAAGAGAAGGAAAUCUUCUUUGAAUGCCUGCUCAGUAUGAAGGUCCUGUCUGGCUUCUCAUCGAAUAUAAAUGGAAUAAUAAAUAUGGUAGAUAAAAAGUUCCAAAACCUAAAGGCUGAUGACUACCACGUGAUUAUGACCCUACUGCUUCCGGUUGCAUUGAGGGGGCUUCUACCGGAAAAUGUUUGAUUAGCCAUUGUGAAGUUAUGUGCAUUCCUCAAUGCAAUCUCUCAUAAGGUGAUUGAUCCAGCAAUCCUGCCAAGGUUAAGGAGUGAUUUGGUGCAAUGUCUUGUUAGUUUCGAGCUGGUGUUCCCACCAUCCUUCUUCAAUAUCAUGACGUGCGUCCUAGUUCAUGUGGUCGACGAGAUUGUCGUUCUGGGCCCUCUAUUUCUACACAAUAGGUUCGUGGGAGUCUUAAAGAAAUAUGUUCGUAACCGCGCUAAGCCAGAAGGAAGCAUCUCCAUGGGCCAUCAAAUAGAGGAUGUCAUCGUAUUUUGUGUUGACUUCAUUCCUAACCUUAAGAAGAUUGGUCUCCCUCAAUCGCGGUAUGAGGGGAGACUGAUUGGAAAAGGCACAGUAGGAGCAGAGUCAAUAAUGUGUACGGACGGGCAUUCUUGGUCUCAAGCACACUACACAGUUCUAUAGAAUUAUACCUUGCUGACCACGUAUGUCGAUGAACACAACAAUAUUCUGAGCUCCAUACACCCGGAGCAGUGUGACGACUUGAUUACAUUUGAACACAUUAGGACUUUCAGCAGUUGGUUGCAAAAACAUCUCAUGUGUGACAACAUUGUUUCUGAUGAGUUGUACUCGUUGGCCAGGGGACCAUCUUCGACUGUAUUGACUUACCAACGGUACAAGAUAAAUGGGAAUAUAUUUUACACGAUCACCCAAGAUCAGAAGAGCACCAACCAAAACUACAAUGUCCGCUUUGACACAUCAACCGAGAGGGGAAAGGACACAUAUUAUGGUUACAUAGUGGACAUAUGGGAACUUGACUAUGGACUUGAUUUGAAGGUCCCUUUGUUUCAUUGCAAAUGGGUCAAUCUGUCAGGAGGCGGGGUACAGAUAGACCCACAGUACGGAAUGACAACAGUGGAUCUGAACAAUCUUGCGCACGCGGAGGAACCGUUCGUCCUAGCCAAUGAUGUGGUGCAGGUUUUCUAUAUAAAGGACAUGUCUACCCAACCGAGAAAAAGAAAAUAUAAGGAAGCGAAUACAUCAUACGAUGAGCCAAAGCUCCACAUAGUUCCUCCAGGAAAAAGAGACAUCGUAGGAUUGGAGGGCAAGACAGACAUGUCUAAAGAUUAUGAAAAGUUUCAUGAAAUUCCUCCCUUCAAAGUCAAGGCUGACCCAAGCACCCUGUUCAACGAUGAAGAUUAUCCAUGGUGAUGGUGCAAUAAUCAAGGAACACAAGCGAAGAAAAAGUGAAGAAAUGAAAUGCCCUUUGUAACAGAUGAGUUUUCGUAUGAAAUCCUCAUACUUCGAAAGAGAUUGUCCGUUUUGUACAUGAAGUGCAUCCAGUUUUUGCCGCAACCCUCUCAACUUUUCAGCACAUGUUAUGUGGGUGAAAUGAUGAUACCAUGCCAACUUUCAACCUUUUCAGAGUUCAUUUGUAGUGCUUUUCAAUUUAAGGGUCAUUUUCAGCUCAGUGCGGAGCUAUUGUCAGGGACAACAUCCCGAUCAGCAUCAAGCAAUGGAAUAAGCCUAAGGGCGACAACGUCCCUGAAGGUGAUUAUGUCACCGAUAGGCUGAAAGAUGAUCUUUGGACCGUGUUGAAGGAAAGUUUCACCCUACCGCCAGAGGAGGAUCCGAAUAAGCCAGUUAUAGAGCCACUGGUUAAGGCGUAUGCUCUUACGAAGAUAGAAGAACUAUUCAGGAGGUUUAAGAAAGAGUUGAAAUCAAAGUAUGUCGACCAAGGGAAGACUCCAGAAUUCGUCGGACGAUUUGAGAAGAUUAGAGAUCACUGGCCCGCAUUUGUGGCCUACAAGUCAUCGGACAAGAGUAAGGAAAUGUCAGAGAGAAACAAGAAUGAUGUUGCAAAGAAGAAGUAUCACCAUCACACGGGGUCAGGUGGCUACCUCAAAGGCCGUCCGUUGCGGGACAAAGCUGAGAAUGACCUGAUUGCUAAAGCGGUCCAACCACAGACAUUGAACUGGCCCGACCGUUCCAGGAAUUGGUUCUUCCGAGUUGGGGGAACUUUGGACCCUGAAACAGGGGAGUGUCGUUGGACGGACGAGCAACUUGCAACACCCAUCAACAAGCUUCAGCAGUGUAUCACUUCAGCGCAGGAAGGGGCGUUCUUUCCCGAAAGAGAGAAGGGCGAGCUGACUGAGGCCCUAGGGAAUGUUGAGCACCCUGGACGAACACGAGGCACACCAGGCUCCGUUCCGUGGAAGGUUGGGUUCCCAACGCAAACGGUUACAGAAGUCGAGCGAGAAAGAGGAAAGCGGAGCUGAGCGACAUGAAGAAGAUCAAUGCAAGAAUACAAAUUCUAGAGGAACUUCAAAGCCAGCGAGAUGUCGACCAACCUUCUCAGGGGCACAAAACUACCCCAGAAUUUACCCCGCCAUCUCAGCGGAGAAGCAGUGUGGCUUCCAAGGAGCUCGUUCAGCCUCACUUCACGACUUCUAGCUACCCCGUGGAUACUAUCACGGAGUCUCAACCUUGCGAGCUUUUGACGAAAUGUCGGAACCUCUCUUUCAAGGCUACUAUCGGCGUUGUUGCACCUCCUCAAUCCAACGAAACUUUUCACUGCCGUCUGAUUCCACGUGCUUAUGCUCUUGUGAUGGUGGAUGAAGUAAAGAAGGAUUUUGAGCAGCUCGAGCUUGACCACCCUACAGGUGAAGAUGAGAAUAAGUUGGUUCAUGCUUUGAGGAGUACAUGUAUAUGGCCGAAGGAGUACAUCAAUCUUCCAAACUGGACGCCUCCUCCUCCUCCAGCGAGUGAUCAGGGCACUCCUCAUCCUCCUCCGGCGACUAAUCAGGGCACUCCUCAUCCUCCUCCGAUGAAUGAUCCUCUCCCUAUAGNNNNNNNNNNNNNNNNNNNNNNNNNNNNNNNNNNNNNNNNNNNNNNNNNNNNNNNNNNNNNNNNNNNNNNNNNNNNNNNNNNNNNNNNNNNNNNNNNNNNCGCACGAAGACCUAUCAUGGUGAUGUCCAUCUACGAGAGGGGAUGAGUGAUCUACGUACCCUUGUAGACCGUACAGCAGAAGCGUUAGAGAACGCGGUUGAUGUAGUGGAACGUCCUCACGUCCCUCGAUCCGCCCCGCGAACAAUCCCGCGAUCAGUCCCACGAUCUAGUACCGAACGGACGGCACCUCCGCGUUCAGCACACGUACAACUCGACGAUGAUCUCGGCCUUCUUGAUCCAGCAAGAGAGACGGAGAGGUAGAAGAGUUCUCCGGCAGCGUGACGGCGCUCCGGAGGUUGGUGAUGACCUUGUCUCAGCAGGGCUCCGCCCGAGCUCCGCAGAAACACGAUCUAGAGGAAAAACCGUGGAGGUAUGUGGUCGGGCUGCCGUGGGAAAGUCGCAUCAAAUCCGCCCUAAAACCUACGUAUAUAUAGGUGGGAGGGAGGGGGCCUUGCCUUGGGGUCCAAGGACCCUCAAGGGGGUCGGCCGAGCCAAGGGGGAGGACUCUCCCCCCCCAAACCGAGUUGGACUAGGUUUGGUGGGAGGGAGUCCUCCUCCCUUCCCACCUCCUCCUUUUUUUUCUUUUCCUCUUGAUUUUUCUUCUCUUGGCGCAUAGACCACUUGUGGGCUGUCCCACCAGCCCACUAAGGGNNNNNNNNNNNNNNNNNNNNNNNNNNNNNNNNNNNNNNNNNNNNNNNNNNNNNNNNNNNNNNNNNNNNNNNNNNNNNNNNNNNNNNNNNNNNNNNNNNNNCCACAACAUAAGCCCCCUGUUUGCCUGGCUCCCUUUUAACCCCCCAGUUGUGCUAACGAUGUUGCUAAUGGCCCCCUUUGAGUUGAUUAUUUCUACGUUAAGCAAAUAAUAGCACAGACUAGUCUAAUUAUUUUCUGAAAUGACAAAACUGCCCACCCUCAUCUAGUAUAAGUCACAUGAGCUGGGCAGAAGCUACUCCCGUUCUCUGCUCGUUCCCCUCCCUCACCUAGCCGCCCCAAGCGCUGGGGCGCCUCACCUCCGCCGCAUCUGCCCUAGCCGCCCCAUCUCCAUUGAUGCUCCAAGGUAAGGCAAGCCUCUUCCCUUCCCUAGCCGCCCCAUUGCUGCUACACCAACAAAGUCUCCAGCAAAAGGAAAGAAGAAGAAGAUGACUCCAAAGAAGAAGAAAUUAAGUGAACUGUGAACUCGUUUGUGCUGCAUGAACUACUUUUGCUGCUGCUACACCAACAAAGUCUCCAGCAAAAGGAAAGAAGAAGAAGAUGACUCCAAAGAAAAAGAAAUUAAGUGAACUGUGAACUAGUUUUGUCUAUUGAUGUACCCAUUUGUUAUUUAUCCAUUGAAAAAUCUGUUAAACAUUGCAAAGGGGGGCAUCAGCUACAGCAUGGUGAAAACUGGGGGGUUAAAAGGGAGCCACGCAAACAGGGGGCCUUAUGUUGUGGNNNNNNNNNNNNNNNNNNNNNNNNNNNNNNNNNNNNNNNNNNNNNNNNNNNNNNNNNNNNNNNNNNNNNNNNNNNNNNNNNNNNNNNNNNNNNNNNNNNNACCUUCGGAGAUACCUGUAGAGCAUCUUUAUAGUCACCCAGUUACGUUGCGACGUUUGAUACACACAAAGCAUUCCUCCGGUGUCAGUGAGUUAUAUGAUCUCAUGGUCAUAGGAAUAAAUACUUGACACGCAGAAAACAGUAGCAACAAAAUGACACGAUCAACAUGCUACGUCUAUUAGUUUGGGUCUAGUCCAUCACGUGAUUCUCCCAAUGACGUGAUCCAGUUAUCAAGCAACAACACCUUGUUCAUAAUCAGAAGACACUGACUAUCAUCGAUCAACUGGCUAGCCAACUAGAGGCAUGCUAGGGACGGUGUUUUGUCUAUGUAUCCACACAUGUAAAUGAGUCUUCAUUCAAUACAAUUAUAGCAUGGAUAAUAAACUAUUAUCUUGAUACAGGAAUUAUAAUAAUAACUAUAUAUUUAUUAUUGCCUCUAGGGCAUAAUUCCAACAGUCUCCCACUUGCACUAGAGUCAAUAAUCUAGCCCUCACAUCACCAUGUGAAUUACAUUGUAAUAAAUCUAACACCCAUACAGUUCUGGUGUCGAUCAUGUUUUGGCCGUGGAAGAGGUUUAGUCAGCGGGUCUGCUACAUUCAGAUCCGUGUGCACUUUGCAUAUAUUUACGUCCUCUUCCUCGACGUAGUCGCGGAUGAGGUUGAAGCGUCGUUUGAUGUGUCUGGUCUUCUUGUGAAACCGUGGUUCCUUUGCUAAGGCAAUGGCACCCGUGUUGUCACAGAACAAGGUUAUUGGAUCCAGUGCACUUGGCACCACUCUAAGAUCCGUCAUGAACUGCUUCAUCCAGACACCCUCCUUAGCCGCCUCCGAGGCAGCCAUGUACUCUGCUUCACAUGUAGAAUCUGCUACGACGCUUUGCUUGGAACUGCACCAGCUUACUGCACCCCCAUUAAGAAUAAAUACGUAUCCGGUCUGCGACUUAGAGUCGUCCGGAUCUGUGUCAAAGCUUGCAUCGACGUAACCUUUUACGGCGAGCUCUUCGUCACCUCCAUACACGAGAAACAUCUCCUUAGUCCUUUUCAGGUACUUCAGGAUAUUCUUGACCGCUGUCCAGUGAUCCACUCCUGGAUUUACUCUGGAACCUACCUGCCAUACUUAUGGCCAGGCUAACAUCCGGUCUAGUGCACAGCAUCGCAUACAUGAUAGAACCUAUGGCUGAAGCAUAGGGGACGGAGCGCAUAUGCUCUCUAUCUUCAUCAGUUGUUGGGCACUGAGUCUUACUCAAUCUCGUACCUUGUAAAACUGGCAAGAACCCUUUCUUGGACUAUUCCAUUUUGAACCUCUUCAAAACUUUAUCAAGGUAUGUGCUUUGUGAAAGUCCUAUCAGGCGUUUUGAUCUAUCCCUAUAGAUCUUAAUGCCUAGAAUGUAAGCAGCUUCUCCUAGGUCCUUCAUAGAGAAACUUUUAUUCAAGUAACCUAUUAUGCUCUCCAAAAGCUCUACGUUGUUUCCAAUCAGUAAUAUGUCAUCCACAUAUAAUAUUAGAAACGCCACAGAGCUCCCACUCACUUUCUUGUAAAUACAUGAUUCUCCAACCACUUGUAUAAACCCAAAUGCUUUGAUCACCUCAUCAAAGCGUUUGUUCCAACUCCGAGAUGCUUGCACCAGUCCAUAAAUGGAUCGCUGGAGCUUGCACACCUUGUCAGCCCUUUUAGGAUCGACAAAACCUUCGGGUUGCAUCAUAUACAACUCUUCCUUAAGGAAACCGUUAAGGAACGCUGUUUUGACAUCCAUCUGCCAGAUUUCAUAAUCGAAAAAUGCAGCUAUUGCUAACAUGAUUCUGACGGACUUAAGCAUCGCUACGGGUGAGAAAGUCUCAUCGUAGUCAACUCCUGGAACUUGUGCAAAACCCUUUGCCACAAGUCGAGCUUUAUAAACGGUCACAUUACCGUCAGCGUCCGUCUUCUUCUUAAAGAUCCAUUUGUUCUGAAUAGCCUUGCGGCCCUCAGGUAGUAUCUCCAAAGUCCACACUUUGUUCUCAUACAUGGAUCCUAUCUCGGAUUUCAUGGCUUCUAGCCAUUUGUUGGAAUCUGGGCCCACCAUUGCUUCUUCAUAAUUUGCAGGUUCAUUGUUGUCUAACAACAUGAUUGAUAAGACGGGAUUACCGUACCACUCUGGAGCAGCGCGUGAUCUCGUCGACCUGCGUGGUUCAACAGAAACUUGAACUGGAGUUUCAUGAUCAUCAUCAUUAACUUCCUCCUCAACCGGCGUCGCAACGACAGAGGUUUCCCCUUGCCCUGCGCCACCAUCCAAAGGGAUGAGAGGUUCGACAACCUCGUCAAGUUCUAUCUUCCUCCCACUCAAUUCUCUCGAGAGAAACUCCUUCUCGAGAAAAGCUCCGUUUCUAGCAACAAACACUUUGCCCUCGGAUUUGAGAUAGAAGGUGUACCCAACUGUCUCUUUUGGGUAACCUAUGAAGACGCACUUUUCCGCUUUGGGUUCCAGCUUUUCAGGCUGAAGCUUUUUGACAUAAGCAUCACAUCCCCAAACUUUUUAAGAAACAACAACUUUGGCCUUUUGCCAUACCACAGUUCGUAUGGUGUCGUCUCAAUGGAUUUUGAUGGUGCCCUAUUUAAAGUGAAUGCAGCUGUUUCUAAUGCAUAACCCCAAAAUGAUAACGACAAAUCAGUAAGAGACAUCAUAGAUCGCACCAUCUCUAACAAAGUACGAUUACGACGUUCGGACACACCAUUACGCUGUGGUGUUCCAGGCGGUGUUAACUGCGAAACAAUUCCACAUUGUCUUAAGUGAGCACCAAACUCGAAACUCAGAUAUUCACCCCCACGAUCAGACCGUAGGAACUUGAUCUUCUUGUUACGAUGAUUUUCCACUUCACUCUGAAAUUGCUUGAACUUUUCAAAUGUUUCAGACUUGUGCUUCAUCAAGUAGACAUAACCAUAUCUACUUAAAUCGUCAGUGAAGGUGAGAAAAUAACGAUAUCCGCCGCGUGCCUCUACGCUCAUUGGACCACACACAUCGGUAUGUAUGAUUUCCAACAAGUCACUUGCACGCACCAUUGUUCCGGAGAACGGAGUCUUAGUCAUCUUGCCCAUGAGGCAUGGUUCGCACGUGUCAAGUGAAUCAAAGUCAAGUGACUCCAAAAGUCCAUCAACAUGGAGUUUCUUCAUGCGCUUUACACCAAUAUGACCCAAGCGGCAGUGCCACAAAAAUAUGGCGCUAUCAUUGUUUACUCUAACUCUUUUGGUCUCAAUGUUAUGUAUAUGCGUAUCGCUAUCAAGAUUCAAUAUGAACAAUCCUCUCACAUUCGGUGCAUGACCAUAAAAGAUGUUACUCAUAGAAAUAGAACAACCAUUAUUCUCAGACUUAAAAGAGUAACCGUCUCGCAAUAAACAAGAUCCAGAGAUAAUGUUCAUGCUCAACGCAGGCACUAAAUAACAAUGAUUUAAGUUCAUCACUAAUCCCGAUGGUAGCUGAAGUGACACUGUGCCGACGGCGAUUGCAUCAACCUUGGAACCAUUUCCUACACGCAUCGUCACUUCGUCUUUCGCGAGCCUUCGUCUAUUCCGCAGUUCCUGUUUCGAGUUGCAAAUGUGAGCAACAGAACCGGUAUCGAAUACCCAGGCACUACUACGAGAGCCGGUUAAGUACACAUCAAUAACAUGUAUAUCAAAUAUACCUGAUUUUUCUUUGCCCGCCUUCUUAUCUGCCAGAUACUUGGGGCAAUUGCGCUUCCAGUGACCCAUACCCUUGCAAUAGAAGCACUCUGUUUCAGGCUUAGGUCCAGCCUUGGGUUUCUUCGGUGGAUUGGCAACAGGCUUGCCACUCUUCUUCGAAUUGCCCUUCUUGCCUUUGCCGUUUCUCUUGAAACUAGCGGUCUUGCUCACCAUCAACACUUGAUGUUCUUUACGGAGUUCAGACUCUGCGACUUUCAGCAUUGCAAACAACUCGCCGGGAGACUUGUUCAUCCCUUGCAUGUUGUAGUUCAACACAAAGCCUUUAUAGCUUGGCGGCAGUGAUUGAAGGAUUCUGUCAGUGAUAGCUUCUUGCGGGAGUUCAAUCCCCAGCUCAGCUAGAUGGUUUGAGUACCCAGACAUUUUGAGCACAUGUUCACUGACAGACGAGUUUUCAUCCAUCUUGCAAGCAUAGAAUUUAUCGGAGGUCUCAUACCUCUCGAUCCGGGCGUUCUUCUGAAAGAUAAACUCCAACUCCUGGAACAUCUCAAAUGCUCCAUGACGCUCAAAGCGACGUUGAAGUCCCGGUUCUAAGCCAUACAAGACUGCACAUUGAACUAUUGAGUAGUCCUCCUUACGUGCUAACCAAGCGUUCUUAACAUCCUGAUCAGCCGUAGCGGGUGGUUCAUCUCCUAGCGCAGCAUUAAGGACAUAAUCCUUCUUCCCAGCUUGUAAGAUCAGCUUAAGAUUACGAGCCCAGUCUACAAAGUUGCUUCCAUCAUCUUUCAACUUAGCUUUCUCUAGGAACGUAUUAAAAUUCAGGAUGACUGUCGCGUGAGCCAUGAUCUACAACACAAAUAUAUUCAAAGUGGACUUAGACUAUGUUCAAGAUAAUUAGAGUUCAACUUAAUCAAAUUAUAUGCUAAACUCCCACUCAAAAAGUACAUCUCUCUAGUCAUUUGAGUGGUUCAUGAUCCACUUACACUAUCCCAAGUCCGAUCAUCACGUGAGUUGAGUAUAGUUUCAGUGGUAAGCAUCCCUAUGCUAAUCAUAUCAACUAUAUGAUUCAUGAUCGACCUUUCGGUCUCACGUGUUCCGAGGCCAUGUCUGCACAUGCUAGGCGUGUCAAGCUUAACCCGAGUGUUCCGCAUGCGCAACUGUUUUGCACCCGUUGUAUGUGAACGUUGAGUCUAUCACACCCGAUCAUCACGUGGUGUCUCGAAACGACGAACUGUAGCAACGGUGCACAGUCGGGGAGAACACAAUUUCGUCUUGAAAUUUUAGUGAGAGAUCACCUCAUAAUGCUACCGUCGUUCUAAGCAAAAUAAGGUGCAUAAAAGGAUUAACAUCACAUGCAAUUCAUAAGUGACAUGAUAUGGCCAUCAUCACGUGCUUCUUGAUCUCCAUCACCAAAGCACCGGCACGAUCUUCUUGUCACCGGCGCCACACCAUGAUCAUCCAUCAACGUGUUGCCAUCGGGGUUGUCGUGCUACUUAUGCUAUUACUACUAAAGCUACAUCCUAGCAAAAUAGUAAACGCAUCUGCAAGCACAAACGUUAGUAUAAAGACAACCCUAUGGCUCCUGCCGGUUGCCGUACCAUCGACGUGCAAGUCGAUAUUUCUAUUACAACAUGAUCAUCUCAUACAUCCAAUAUAUCACAUCACAUCGUUGGCCAUAUCACAUCACAAUCAUACCCUGCAAAAACAAGUUAGACGUCCUCUAAUUUUGUUGUUGCAUGUUUUACGUGGUGGACAAGGGUAUCUAGUAGGAUCGCAUCUUACUUACGCAAACACCACAACGGAGAUAUAUGAGUUGCUAUUUAACCUCAUCCAAGGACCUCCUCGGUCAAAUCCGAUUCAACUAAAGUUGGAGAAACCGUCACUUGCCAGUCAUCUUUGAGCAAAGGGGGUUACUCGUAACGAUGAAACCAGUCUCUCGUAAGCGUACGAGUAAUGUCGGUCCAAGCCGCUUCAAUCCAACAAUACCGCGGAAUCAAGAAAAGACUAAGGAGGGCAGCAAAACGCACAUCACCGCCCACAAAAACUUUUGUGUUCUACUCGAGAAGACAUCUAGGCAUGAACCUAGCUCAUGAUGCCACUGUAGGGGAACGUCGCAUGGGAAACAAAAAUUUUCCUACGCGCACGAAGACCUAUCAUGGUGAUGUCCAUCUACGAGAGGGGAUGAGUGAUCUACGUACCCUUGUAGACCGUACAGCAGAAGCGUUAGAGAACGCGGUUGAUGUAGUGGAACGUCCUCACGUCCCUCGAUCCGCCCCGCGAACAAUCCCGCGAUCAGUCCCACGAUCUAGUACCGAACGGACGGCACCUCCGCGUUCAGCACACGUACAACUCGACGAUGAUCUCGGCCUUCUUGAUCCAGCAAGAGAGACGGAGAGGUAGAAGAGUUCUCCGGCAGCGUGACGGCGCUCCGGAGGUUGGUGAUGACCUUGUCUCAGCAGGGCUCCGCCCGAGCUCCGCAGAAACACGAUCUAGAGGAAAAACCGUGGAGGUAUGUGGUCGGGCUGCCGUGGGAAAGUCGNNNNNNNNNNNNNNNNNNNNNNNNNNNNNNNNNNNNNNNNNNNNNNNNNNNNNNNNNNNNNNNNNNNNNNNNNNNNNNNNNNNNNNNNNNNNNNNNNNNNCGGAAGGUUUUCGGAGUUACCGGGAAUGUACCGGGAAUGACGAAUGGGUUCCGGGAGUUCACCGGGGGGGCAACCCACCCCGGGGAAGCCCAUAGGCCUUGGGGGAGACACACCAUCCCUUAGUGGGCUGGUGGGACAGCCCACAAGUGGUCUAUGCGCCAAGAGAAGAAAAAUCAAGAGGAAAAGAAAAAAAAGGAGGAGGUGGGAAGGGAGGAGGACUCCCUCCCACCAAACCUAGUCCAACUCGGUUUGGGGGGGGAGAGUCCUCCCCCUUGGCUCGGCCGACCCCCUUGAGGGUCCUUGGACCCCAAGGCAAGGCCCCCUCCCUCCCACCUAUAUAUACGGAGGUUUUAGGGCUGAUUUGAGACGACUUUCCCACGGCAGCCCGACCACAUACCUCCACGGUUUUUCCUCUAGAUCGUGUUUCUGCGGAGCUCGGGCGGAGCCCUGCUGAGACAAGGUCANAGGUUUUAGGGCCGAUUUGAACCGACUUUCCCACGGCAGCCCGACCACAUACCUCCACGGUUUUUCCUCUAGAUCGUGUUUCUGCGGAGCUCGGGCGGAGCCCUGCUGAGACAAGGUCAUCACCAACCUCCGGAGUGCCGUCACGCUGCCGGAGAACUCUUCUACCUCUCCGUCUCUCUUGCUGGAUCAAGAAGGCCGAGAUCAUCGUCGAGCUGUACGUGUGCUGAACGCGGAGGUGCCGUCCGUUCGGUACUAGAUCGUGGGACUGAUCGCGGGAUUGUUCGCGGGGCGGAUCGAGGGACGUGAGGACGUUCCACUACAUCAACCGCGUUCUCUAACGCUUCUGCUGUACGGUCUACAAGGGUACGUAGAUCACUCAUCCCCUCUCGUAGAUGGACAUCACCAUGAUAGGUCUUCGUGCGCGUAGGAAAAUUUUUGUUUCCCAUGCGACGUUCCCCUACAAACUGAUGAACGGCCCAUUGAUCCUUCUUGUCCAUGUAUGGUAUGGCUUCAGCACCACUAGGAACAAAGUGGUAAACCGAUUGAUAUAAUUACAAUCUUUGGAGUUUUGUAUAAAAUACUAACAUGGUGUUCUUCUUGUUCAGGUCUGCAAAAACUGUACACGUGCAUACUUGCAUUGUCUUGUCACGAAAGAUCAUAGGGGCUCUCAACUGUUGUCAUAUCACAAUUUAUCGUUUAUGAUGCGGGUACCCUGUCAAUAUUUUUUCCGAUUAGUUCAUUUUGAGCACCGUCAGCUAUUGUUUGAUCACUCUGAUUUCUGUUUCAGUUAAGUAGAGAUCUCCACAUGUCGAUUCUUGAAGGACGAUUUCCAGAGUAUGUUGUCUCAUUCGACAUAAAUCUGCCUGAUUUGUCACUGAAAUAGUGUGUUGGUAAAUAACGAAAUUCUGUAACAUGUUGCAGAUUCAUGAGAGGAUUCUUGAGGGUGCAGGUUUGUCUUGUUCUCCAAUCUCUACUCUAUGAUAUAUGCUUGAACCAAAAAUAGCUGAGCAACAAACUACCCCCUUGUUUCAUCUGCUACCCAAUCAUCUACAAAGCCAAAAAUCAUACCAUGUUUUGUUAUUAUGUUUCUUAGUAGUUUGAGUUACCCGUAAACGCUAAAAUCAUGAUGAUGACAGUUCCCGAAGGGCGACGUGCCAAAGUGGGUUCACAAUGCAAUGGAGGUUGCCCGCAUUGACAUAUCGGAGUGCUGCACCCCGACCAACUGUCAGCAUGACGCAAUGGAGUCCGCUGGCGUCGACAUAGCGGAGUUUUGCCCGCCAACCAAGUGCCCGUGACGCGGAACGCUCGGGGGCAUUCAUUACAGAUACCACGGUACCGUUGACUAUAGGAAGGGUUGCCGCGUGGAAGUGAUCGUUCAUACUUAACAUGACGCGUUUUCAUGAGGUUUUGCUUUAGAUUGGGUUUCAGGUAAACAUAAGGUAUAACUGUAGGAGUGAACACAAUAUUCUGCCUGAAUAACUUUUGUGGCAUUCGUCUGCUUUUGUUAUGCAAUGUGCAUUGCUUCUAUUGUGGUCUUAGAAGGGGAGGUGGAUGCUUGAGCUAUAGGUGCUAAAUUUCUUUUGAGAACUGAAAAAGUGAGUGUCUGGUUGUAAAAAUGUUGUUGACAUAAGAAGCUUCAUGACUCAUCUUCAUAGGAUGUUCUAAUCUUCUAGCCAUGUGAUGGUGGUAGUAUAGUGAGUGAUGAUUGGCAUGUAUUGUGUGAGUGCUUGGUUCAAUUUAUUUUGGUUCAGAUACUUAUUAUGUUGAUAUUUGAAGUUUCAGGAGUGCUAAACUUAGCAUCUUGAUUAUUGAGUAUGGUGUUGUUAUUGUCAUAAAUUCUAUCAGUCGGUACCUUUCAUGCUUUUAGUGUAAUUGAGGUGUUGGAUCGAACAUACAAUUCCUUACAUAUGAAUCUAUUUACUAGCACCGCUAUGGGUCUCCUCUUACAUUAUCGGAUCACUUUUGACAUCAUAACUGUAUUUUGUUUUUGUAAUGUGAAGACCGUGAAAAGCAGUCGUUGCCAUUGUAGUAAUGUUACUAUUUGUGCACCGCACUUCUUUUAUUGUAAGAAUUUGUUGAUGAAAUUUCAGGCAUGCAGCUGCCAAUGAAGUGAAGAAAGCAGUCAAGACCUUUGAUGUGAUCCAGAGGUUUAAAGUGGAAGCGGACCAAACUGUAUUUUAUUCCCUUCUUCGUGCUCUUUGCACAAGUAAGAACAUAGAAGAUGCUGAGGAGUUGCUUCUUGCAAGAAGAAAUUUUUUUCCUACUCACAACAGAAGGUUUCAAUAUAAUACUUGAUGGUUGGUGUAACAUAUUCACCGAUCUGGCCGAAGUAAAGAGAAUUUGGAGAGAAAUGUCAAAUUGCUGCAUUACUCCUGAUGGUACAUCUUAUGCUCUCAUGGUCUGUUGUUUCUCUAAGGUAGGGAACCUUUUUGAUACUUUGAGGGUUUACGAUGAGAUGAAGAAGAGGGGUUGGAGUCCUCGUAUUGAUGUCUAUAACUAACUUAUUUAUGUUCUGACAAGAGAGAAUUGCGUGAAGGAUGCAAAAAAUGUUCUCAGUAAAAUGGUAGAUGAAGGUUUCCAACCGGAUGUUGAAACAUACAAUAGUAUUAUAGUUCCACUCUGUGAAAGUUGCAAGCUUGAGGAAGCGCGGAAGAUAAUGGAAGACAUGAAAAUGAAGGGCAUUGUUCCAACCAUUUCGACGUACCAUGCAUUUUUGAAACAGGAAGGCAUUGACGAAACACUCCAGCUACUGAAGAAAAUGAAAGAAGAUGGCUGUGGCCCUAACAGUGACACAUUUCUCAUACUCAUUGAUAAGUUUAUCCAACUGAAUGAGUCUGGAAAUGCUGUGAGGGUGUGGACUUAAAUGCAAAGAUACGACAUUAGGCCUGGUUAUGCACACUACAUGGCAGUGGUCCAAGGUUUGGUUAAACAUGGAUGUAUACCACGAGCUUUGGAGUAUUAUGAUGAAAUGAAGGCAAAUGGUUUUGCUUCUGAUCCGAUACUUGAAAAGGAAUUCAAAAAAAUUCUAUUGGCCAACAGAGACCAUUGGCGAGGAGCAGGCAGAUACAAUCUUAUUCCACAUCGUACCAAACAUUUUACAAGCAUGACAAGAAUUCCGUAACACAUGUGUCACUGUUAAGGGGCUUCUUUGUACGGCAGAAGUAAAUGUGAAAAAAUGUGAUUGUGAGGUAUGUUGACUUACCAAGUUGCACUUGAAUCCUAUAUUAAUGAGCACUGAACAGCUAAAGUUAUUGCUUCCCCUGAAACAAUUUGCCUUUGAGGGCCGUUUCCAUGUCCCAUGUACACGGUGUAGUUUCGACAUUGUUUAUGGACCGAAAAAACCAUUAAGGUGUACAACGAGUGUGCGGUGGAGCUUUGGGUGGGCGUGGAGGGGGCGUUCCACGUGGGGCGGGAGAGCGUGGACGAGUACUGCGGCGGGGCCUGCUUCGCCGAGACAGAGAUGGCGCUGCGGUGCGUGGAGGAGGUCGGUGCCUCGCUGUUCGCCGUGAAGCAGGCGCUCGGCAGCGGCUGCAGCUACACGCCCGAAAGAGGAACCUUCGACAUACGUGAGCACAGGGAGUGCCGCGACGAGUACGGCUACGGCUACCACGGCACGCACGAGCAGCUCGGCUACGGCGAAGAGGGCGGCGACCGGCAGUACGAGUACCCGGGCGGCGCGUUCGACAACUACUGCUCCGGCGGCGGCCCGGUGCGAAUGCUCCUCCUCGCCUCCUUCAUUGCCUCCGCGUCGGCGGCACUGUUUCUUGCCGUCUGAGCGGUAGCGAUUUCACCAUGUACCAUCUGUAACUAUAGAAAGGACGAGUAUUUGUCCAUCAUGUUUGACAUACACUUCUGAAUAACAAUUAUUUGAUCAAUGUAUAUAUAUAUUUUUUCUGUUCCGUGGCAACGCACGGGCACUAAACUAGUAGAGAUAGCUUAGCUAGCUUAAGUUCCCCUCCGUGGUCAGGUGUAUUGACGUAGCAUAGUGGUGUUCCUGUAGCAAUAGAGAUAGUUUAGCUAGCUUAAGUUUCCCUUGGUGGUCAGCUGUACUGAAGUAGCAUAGUGUUGUGGUGUUGUUUGUGUGGUGCGCCAGGUGCAGGGUUCGAUCCCCCACCUACACCUUUUCUUUUAUUUUGGGUGGUUGUGUGUGUGUGAGUGCACGGGAUCCCAUGUGGCCAUGUGUGGGAUGCCAUGUGCCCUGUGUGUGUGCAACUGUGUGUAUGUGUGUUGUGGGGCAUGGCCCACUUGCAUACACACACUAGGGGGGCAGGUGCAAUGACCAGUGGGCCCAUGCCUUCCCCCCCCCCCCGUUUUGAGUUGUUCUCCAUUUUAGGUAUAGUCCAAAUAGGUUAUAGCCAGAUUUGGCCUAUGCCAAAUUAGGCAGUUUUGGCUUACACAUGUUUUGGACCCAUAUUUAUUUCUCUUCUUAUUUGUGGCUGUGAUAUUAUAUUUUGUGGAUUAAUUCUAGAAGUUUAAUUGCCUAAUCUGGUUUAUAGCAGAUAUGGUAGGGCAAGAACAGCUCCUGUUCUUGGCAGAGUUAAUUUUAAUCUUGUGUAGUAUUUCUUUUGCUGUUUGUGGUGUUUUUUUGCAUGCAUAUAUAGCAGUGUGAUAUAUGGAUUUGGGGUAGGAGAACCCAAGGAAUCCAAUGGUGGCACUGGAUUCUAGUUUUGAGAAGUUCUGCAGAAGUGUAACUUUGUGAUGAGGUGGCAUUUGUUUACCUACGUAGGCUGGUUUAAGUGCAUAAUUUAGGGGGUUGAGCAUCCAUGCAUCAUAUUAGUUAGUGCAUCAUGUUGUGCAUGUGAUGUGGUGUAUAUCGUGUGUGAUUCUUGUUUCCGGUUUGCUUCGUCUCGAUAGUGUUCCGCAAGCAUGUCGGAAUGUGAGGAUCCGUUCGACUAAGUCGGUUCGUCUGCUUCACGGAGUCGUUCUUCUUCCAAGCGGGAUCUCAGGCAAGAUGAUCAUUUCCCUAGAUACCAUUACUAUCAUUACCAUGCUAGUUGCAACCUAGCAAACCAUAUAGCAUGGUAAAGCAAGCGGUAACAUAGCUCGGUUGUAGACAUGUUGAAGGUUUUCAUGGCAAUGUUGGGAGGCUGAUAUUUAACACGUGGUAAAAGGUGGAAGGCUCGGCUUUCUAGCCUGGUGUUUUGUUCCACCUUUGCCCCCCUGAGUUUCGGCUACCGGUGUUAUAUUCCAUACUUGAGCGCUCCUAACACGAUCGGGGUUGUUAUGGGGACCCCCUUGAUAAUUCAUUUUAGAUUAAGACUGGUCUGGCAAGGCCCUACUUUGGUACUACAUUUGCCUAAUAGCUAAUGAACCAUAUAGGGAGUAAUUAACCCGAGGAAACUUAAUCAACCCCCAAGCCAGUGCUCCUCAUGAGUGUUGGUCCAGCCCAAAGCACUAUGUGGGGCCAACCCAGGGCAACUUGGCUGAUUUCUAUCAGGCCACCGUACGCGUAGCUUCGUGCCCUCAGAACGAGAUACGCGGAUCCUAUCGGCAUCGUCGACACGUGGGGUGGCCUUGCUAGAUUAGUUUUACCUUUGACGAAAUAUCUUGUGCAUCGGGAUUCCGGUGAUGCUUUGGGUUAGAGUUGAGGUUUUCCACUAAGGAGUUGGACGAGAUCGCGAGUUUCAUGAUCGAGGAUUUCUAUGCGGCUUGUGCUAACUUGUGAUGGACUAUUUGGAGCACCCCUGUCAGGAUUAAAUCUUUCGGAAAGUCGUUCCCGUGGUUAUGUGACAACGUGGAAACUUGGUUUAAGAUCCGGUUCUAGAUAACUUGAAGUAAGCUUAAUUAAAAUAUGACAACCGGGUGCGUAACCGUGACUGUCUCUUUGAGAGCUCCUUCUCCGGUCGAGAACACGGUGGAGUUAUGUUUGACGUAAGUAGGUGUUCGGGAUCAUUCAUUUGAUCAUCAGUAAUUCGCGUCCGCUAUGCAUAGAUCUUCCCCCUCUUUUUCUUGUACUCGUAAUUUAGCCACCAAAAAAAAUGCUUAGUCGCUUGCCGCAGCCUCACCACUUAACCAUACCUCACCCAUUAAGCUUUGCUAGUCUUGAUACCUUUGAAAAUAAGAUUGCUGAGUCCCCUAUGGCUCACAGAUUACUACAACACCAGUUGCAGGUACAUGUAAAGUGGUAUUAAGACGUGAGCGCGAUGAUUGUUCAUUUGGAGUUUUUUCUUUUUCUUCAUCGAUCUAGGAUGGGUUCAAGACUGGCAGCCUGGGAUAGCAGGGAUGGAGGUCGUUCUUUUAUCGUUUGUUUUUGUCUGUAGACGGACCCUACUCUUCUUCAUGGUGAUUGUAUGAAAUGUACUGAUGUCACUCUGAUGUAGCUUGUGGCGAGUGUAAGCCAAUUUCAUAUACUCAUCUUUUCAGUACAUGUACUUGUAACGAUAUUAAUUCUUGCGAAACGACGAGAUGUGUUUAUAUCCCUGUCGAGGCCCUCGCGCCAAAAUAAGGAUAGGAUCGCAUCUUGGGCGUUACAGCUUAACUCCUUUAUAUCAUGACUUGGGUGUGUGCAUAUGUUACAAUGGCGUUCGUUUCUACUGGAUUGUUGAUGAUCGUUGAUUUAUAUAUAAAAUGAGACAAAAGCUUUUUUCAUGAAAAUAGAGAAAACAUUGGCCGACGAGGCCCUGCUCAGAGCCGUUCUUUUCAUGCGUGCGUUGUUUUGCUAUAUAAUGAAGGUGUUUAUCUCUUUUUUGUGGCAUUUCCUUUCCACUACUUAGAUUUUCUCAGCCUCUUACCAAGUUUAUCGAGAUAAUCUUGUAGAGUGUGCAGAGAGGUUGGACCAGCAUAAGCUGGAAUAGGCAGACGGCGCAGUCGAGGCACUCCUCUAUUGAUGCAUCUUUUUGUCUAAGAAAUCUUUAAGUCAAGUUUUCUUCACACCACCAGUUUGUUCAUCCUCCCACCUUUCAUCGAUUUUCCGGUUUUCCACCUCUUUUUGGUUUCAUCAAAUCAAUCUUUGGUAACCUAAGGGCAUCUUAAAGAUGGACCCGCAAAUGUUCCGAAACCAUCCGCACGUACGGUCCGUACUGCAGAAGUCAUCCAAUGAGGUUCUAUAUAUAUCGGUCAGUGGUUUCCCGUAAAUGGAAGACAUGUCUGGUGGAGGUUUGCGGAAGUGUGAACCGCUACUUUGCCCGAUUCUGAGCGCCCUGGCCCACCGAAAACUCCUCCCCCUCCCGCCUGUGCUUCCCGGCUGGUGCUAAUUUCCUGCAUUCAUGCCACUAUAGAAUUGACACUCCCUAUUGAACAGCGGACCCGACCUCUCACUAGCGCCCACAUUGAAGCAGCUCGCCGAUCGAGGGCGCCGUCCGCGAUGCGUCUCUGCUGUCCGCGCCUGUUCAUUGCGGAGACGCGUGACUGGACAAUGCAGGACCAAUGUUUACCAGGCCCGUUUAAUGCCCCGUCCGUCCGUAUGCCGCUAUUAAACAGGCUCAUCGGUCGAGAAACACACUCCGACAUCCCACACUGACACCUGGCCUCACCGGAAUCCCCUAUUUAAGUGCAGCCACACCCAGCUAUCUACAUAGCAUAAUGUAUCCGCUCCACAUCCUCCUUCCUUGCACCACAUCCGCCAUGACUGCAGGCGGCGAAGCUCUAUGGGAAAACCUUUCCCUAGAGAAGAAGCAGGAGGUGGCCACCCAUGCCACCGCUUAGAAGAGCGGUCUUGCCAAGCGGAUCAAGGCCGAUUUCCCGUCCAGCUCGCCCGAGGUCUCCGACUACGAUCAGGACACCACGAUAGAGAAGGGCUUCGAUGACACCGCCCUGACUCUCACGCCUCCUGUGCACUCCGGCUAUACCAUGGUGCAUGCGCACGUGCACUACAAUGCCGCAAUGGUGGAGGGGCAGCCUGUGUCGGAGCAUACGUUUUAAUUAGAGCGGGCACUAGAGCAACACCGCACGAGCGAAGAGGCCCUGGUGGCCAUGGCUGCGAAGAACACGAACUUUGUCGCGGAGCAGCGUGCCAUCUACUAUGCCAUCCGCGCUCAAGUCGCGGCUCACCAGGAAGCGGGCGUCACGGAGGCGCGGUUCUAGACGACCGCGGGAAAAAAUUAUGAGUUGUGCCUCCUACGCGUCGCUGACGAACCAUCACGCGGCACGGUGGGACAACAACAUCCAAGGCACCACCAUUUCCCUCGUAGACCAAAUGUCCAUUGGCGACGGACUAGGCGCGGAGUCCUCCGAUGAUUAGUAGGGAAUGGGAGGCGGCAGAGUCAUGUGUCCCAUGUGGGCCGGUCCGUCUCCCAUGUUCCACUCUUCCUCCCUGGAGACCACACCUUCACUUUAUCGGUCUUAUCACCGGUGCUCAUGGAUACGGCGAAUGGAGGAUGAUAUAGGCUUGGACUCUGGGCGCCACCGACACAGGAUAGGUUUAGGGGUGGGUCUUUUUUUUAUGUUCCUCAUGUAAUGAGAUCAGUCAUGUUUGUAUCAAAUCCAUCAUGUUUGCAUGAAAUUCACCCAUGUUUGCAUGAAAUUCACCCAUGUUUGCACGAAUUUUGUCCGGUUGGUUCGAGUUGUUGUCAAAAUGUUUGCGGCUAGUGUUUGAUGGCGUUCUCCCACUUCUGUGUCCGUGGACAGCCCCCCUCCCCCUGUCCGCGAACAGAUGUGGUAGAAAAUUUGCGGGUUGCUUUUGAAGAUGCCCUAAUAAACCAGAUAAAUCUAUGGUAAAACAACAAAUUUAGUAUCCAUAAAUAAAUAUUUUUAUGGUAAAACCUAUUAGCAGUUAGACAUUUUUGGUAACCCAAUAAAUUAUAAUAAAUUCACAUCCAUAAACAAAUAAAUGUCAAUCAAUCUUUUAUCUUCGAUAACUCAAUAAACAGAUCAAAGACACACACAUAACUAUUUUAUUAGUUUUGAAAUGGUAGCGAAUUUGCACUUUAAAACCAAAAGAUAAUCUUAUUACGUCUAUUUGUUUUGCAUCAUGAUUUUCAUAUGAUCCUCUUAUUGUGUUAAAUAUAUCUCGACCCGUGGCAACGCACGGCCACAUACGUAAUACAAAGAUUAUGUCGUUCGCCUGGUCGAUCGUCCAACAUUUCCCCUUCCCUCUUGUCUUUUAUUAAAUUACACUACAAGAAAUCUGUUAAUACAUAACGGAUUCCGCUUGACGUUUUUUGGCAUGAUAAUAAGUGAUUAACAAAUAAAAUCCUAAAAUCCAUAUAGAUAGGUAAAUCACGGUUAUUAUUUCAUAAACAAUUAUUUAACUAAUUACACUAAUAUGAAAAGUAAUCAUGGGCUAACAUACUAUCGAACAUUUACACCUAUUGCAAAGCCCGAGCAAUUAUCUAGCACUUCAAAAAGUUACUUAAGGUCCUGUCAUCCAUCCUUUUUCUGUCCUCCAUCCGCACCACUCCCCAUCCAAUUUAGGUAUAGUCAAUUUUUGGCAGUGGUAUUCCCUAAAACUAUCUCAACUGGCCCACAUUUUAUUUACUUGCCAAAUAUAAUAAUAUUUUCUUUGGUAAGUCAAUUAAUAUUGAUUCUAUUUCCAUUUUGGUAGGUAAUAUCAUUGUUAACAAUAAAAAUACCAUGUAAAUCACGUACGGUGAUUGCAUAUAAAAUAUCUGUGCUCCGUUCCAAUGCACGUACAAUUAUGUAGUGUGUACUCUUUGCGAUCACACACACAUGGAUCCUAUGGGGUUAGAUAUUCUUAACAAUUGACAAUCAUAUUUCAUCUUAGAUAUUCUUAUUUGUUUGACAAAAAAGACUGGGCAGAUUUUCAUCGCGAUUCGCGAAUGAGUUCAAGCUACUUGGGAUGUUAGAUCCCUAAAACGGAAGAAAACUAUGAUAAAUAGGAUAAGAAUUGGGCACGACACAAUUGCGCAUCAUGCACCAAUCAAAUUAACAUCGACGACGGUGCCUUUCAGUCUGGCUCAAGAUUGAUGAGUGUCUUGCGUUGUCCUCCGGCCUUUAUGUAUGUCGGGAGUACCAUUGUAGGAUGACUUAUCCAAGUAGGCUUUUUUAUUAACUUUGCUGUGGUAGCUCAUGUGGCCACCAUAUGCUUGUGAUGUGCUGAACCUGAUGUUACACUGCUUACAUGUGUAGUCAUCCAAUCUUAGUCGAGCCACUGUUGAGAUGGCAUAUGGUGCAGGAUUCUGUUGAAACAUAACACUUAGGCCAUCCAUCAUCGUUUUCUGCAUGGCUAUUUGCCCGUGGGUAGAUUCUGGGACUGUACAAGGUGUCUGGUUAACAAGUGGUAGGACGCCACAAAGUUGUUCAUAUGAUGAUGGCCCCAGGAUUGUAUAUGGCUUCUGCUCCUGCACAUAGUUGGAUGCGAAAGAAAGUGUAAAAAAUAGUUGGAUGUGAAAGACUAUAGAAAAAAGAAGGCAAUGGUAGUGAGUUUACCCCGUAGACUAGCCAAUCAGGGUACUGCAAGAACGGAGAGAUAUUGAAAACUCCACUAGAGUUAAGGUCGGCAUCCAUGAUGGCAAGCGGACUUCCUUGGAUCUCGGAAUGGGUCUCCAUGGUAUAGAUCUAUAUAUAUUACCAAACAAGGAAAGGAAACGUAUUUAAUUACGCACCAGGGAAUGCAUGCACGAACAUGAUGUUGUGCUACUAUAUAUAACAUCAAAGUGUCUCUCAAAAAAAAUAUAUAACACCAAAGGAUGGACUAACCAUGAGGUUGUCCAUGAAGGGACUAACGAUGAAGUCGUCCAUGAAUGUACUUGCGCUAUCCGGUGGUGCAACAAGAACAGAGCUGGACGAGAGUGUUGGUGGAAGAAGCGCAAGUGCAUUCGUGGAGUCUUCAUCAAAUGGAAACAAGGACUCUCCGGGCUCUGGGUUGAUGGACAUACAAUCCAUAUGUGGAGUUGAAAUUGGCAUUGGGUUUAUCUUCGGGAAUUCUUCCAACGUUGGCAUCACAGUUGUACCUCUAAGCGCUUCAUGCAAUGGGGAAAUGUACGAAAUGUAGUCCUCAUCACUUGUGAAACUUCCUUUAUCCUUGGUCAAAGAACCAUUUGGAUCCAUGGAAGGCUAAUCUAAUAUGAGAAUGAUAAGUUCUAUGUGUGUGUUUCUUGUGUAGAAGAAGCGUCUGCAGGUGGUUUUUGAAGCAGCUUAUGGGGGCUCUUUAUAGCAAUCAGGUUGAAACAGAAACUUAUUUUUCCAUGCGGUCGGAUUAAUUAGCCGUAUCUAUAAUAUAUUAUCGACAUUACAUGCUUACAAUCUAGAAGAUACGAUUCACACACAGGUAAAAGUAUUUCGUUAACGUAAAUCUUUCUGAUUUAUUGUAUUAUUAAAAAAUCAACCGUUACAUAUAAUGUGGAAAGACAAAGUACGCCACCCUUGUACAAUUUGAUAUUGCACGUGCUACGUUCGUUAAACAAUGCAUGUAGUCAUAUUGGGGUGGACCAUCUUUCUCUUCACGUGCUCACGGAUGGCUAUCAAAUCAGGCAAGUAUCUGCAUGCGUUAUUUAUAGUAUUUGGCAAGAUGAUAAAUAGGGACACCGGGCGGUCCAUCAGACUGGUAACUGAAAAUUAGGAAGAUCUCAGCCAUUUAUUUUUUAGCCUUCGGGCUUGCAUCCAAUAGUUGACAUUUGCUUUCUCGAUUUUCAAUUGCCUUCGGCUGGCUGUGGGUUGAUAUUGGGUUGUCGAAUAUGGGCCUUAUCUUUCAACGUGCUUAAGGCCCUGUUUGUUUCAGAAGUUCCGGAACUUUUUUUUAGUCUCAACUAAAAAGUCCCUAGUCCCUAUUCGUUUGUUUUCAUGGACUAAAUAGAGACUAGAGGUCAUUAAAUGACAUGCAUAAAGACCAUGUUACCCACAGUAAUGUAGUAGUAGUUAUUAAAUGACAUAUUAAAAGUAGGGGCACUGUUGGAAAAAGUGUCAAAAAGUCCCAAAAAGACCCUCCCAUAGGGACUUCUUCCUUUAGUCCCAAAUACCCCCUUUUAGUCCCUAAAAGUCCUUCCUGUUUGUUUCACAUGGGACUAAAAAGGACAUUUUUUAGUCCAUACACCAAAAAGUCCCUGGAAACAAGCACCCCCUAAGAGAUUGCCACAUGUCACUGAGUAAGGAUACCACGCUUCUGUAUCAAAUGGUUUUACCUUUGCGGCUGACACAUUUAGCAGCAAGUGAAUCCUGGUUUUACCUGCUUUGGAAAUCCUCUCGAAGGUUUUGGUUCGGUUCAAGUCCGGUUUUUUUAGGUUUUCCAUUUUCUGGUUGUUGUUUUCUUCAGUUUUCCUUUGGUUUCUUCUUUUUCUUCUCUUUUUCUUUUUUCUCUCUUCAAGCGUAAUUUUCUAAUUAAUUAUAAAUAUUUAUGCCUUUAUUUAAAAGAAUUUAUGUUUUCAAAAAAUGUUUCUGUUUUCAAAAAGUGUUUGUGUUUUCCUAAAAAAUAUCCUUGUUUCGAAAAAACAUAUUUCGGAGAAAAAUCUUAGUUUUCCGAAAAAUGUUCCCAUUUUCAGAAUGUUCGUAUUUCCAGAAUAAUUCUUAUUUUCAAAAAAUAUUUGUAUUCUCAACAGAUAUUUUGUAUUCUAUCAUAUUUNNNNNNNNNNNNNNNNNNNNNNNNNNNNNNNNNNNNNNNNNNNNNNNNNNNNNNNNNUAAAAAAUAAAUCAAAAACUAAACAAAGAACCAAAAGUGGAAAAAGAACACUCUGCAGCAUGUUUGGGAAGGCCGCUGCCUACGAUGACUAAACUGGGCCAGCCCAGAACGCACAAGUCAGUGCACUUACCACACAUCUUCAUGCAAUAUGUGUUUAAUAGGAGCUUCCUAUCUAGCCAUAAACACAUUUUUGACGAGACCACAACCCGAAGGCUGCGGGCCAAGUUAGAAGGGGAAACAACCUCCUCGGAGGACACAUCAAGGAUUUGAACGCCCUCCAGGCUAAACCAGAAGUGUGGAAUGCAGCCUCCCCGAAGGCCAUCUUGUGAACAAGUUGCCAAAGCUCGCAUUCGAGAGCCAAACCGGGGACACCCACAAAUAAUUUAGCCCCCACACAUUGUCGGUUUGUGUAACUCCUUGGUAGAGGCUAACAUUGUGGACCCACCAUCUUGAGGCUACCAAGGGCAUUGUCAAUGAAGUCAAAAUGUCUAAAGCAGUAAGAAAAGGAUAUACAUGCAAGAUUUUUUUCCUUGCAUUGUGAGGAUGACAAUUACUCUAUACACAACCAUUUGGUUUCAUUUAUUGAAUGGUCGAUGUCUGAGGUCUACUCCAAAUACUCUUCCAGCCUCACCACCAAAAAGAGUCGCGGGGAUCCGAUGCAUGUGGAAUUUUUUAUGUGUAGUAUGUAGACUAAAGGAGUUCAACAGAGGGGAGGUCAAAUCGAUUGUAGAACAUGUGUAAGUAUUCGAGAAACAAUGCACCACUUUGGACUCCAAGAUUAAUAAUUCCAAGCCCUCAAUGUAGCCAAAGAAUUGCCCUUUCCACCUUCGUCAGAUAUCUUAGUACAUAAACAUCGUCCAUGUUUUUUUCCAAGAGGUCACGAUCUUUGGUGAAAAAAUAAGAGUGCAAAGUACAAAUAUGGUUAGGAAGGUAAUCACCGAGUUCAUUAGUGAUAGUUCUGCACCAUAGGAAAUCAUGGAAAAGGUUUAUGCUAGUCGUCUCUCAACCUGGCAAAAAAGGGGCAUGAGGUCUUGGAUAGUUUUUUUUUGUACCGAGGGGAAGUCCAAGAUAAGUGAAGGGCAUUCCUCGAGUGUUACAUCAACAGAUAUUUGCAAUGCUUAUGGUUAUUGUGUCAUCAAAGUUGACCAGGACAAAUGUGGAUUGUGAAAGUUUAUUUUAAGACCAAUGGUAGUGUCAUAAUCCAAGAGUAUAUAUAUUUUAUCCAUUUGGAUCGUCCCGGGUAAGGCUGACCUUACAAAGUUUGAGUCGUGCGCGUAUUAAGUGACCAGGUAAUAAAUUUGAUUAUGACGUGGGAAAGGGUGGCUGAUUUUCUCUUGUCUAAAAGCAUCCUUAGUAGCAACUUGGAGGAGAUCGACCACCAGCAGAAAUAUGAGUGGCGACAACGGAUCCCCUUCUUGGCACCCAUGUUUACAAUGGUAUUGUCGUUUAGGGACACCAUUUGAUAGCAUUCAAGGUUUCCCCAAAGUGAAAACACAUUUAAACCAUCCAAGCAAUUUAUCACUAAAUCACAUCUGCUUUAUAAUCUCAAUCAUCGCUUCAUGCUCAAUCGUAUUGAAUGCUUUGAUGAAGUCAAAUUUCACGAUUAGAAUCUCCAAAUAUGCAGCUUGUCACUGGAAAAUACAUUCAAAUGCCCAUGCUAGGUAGUCCUUGAUAGAUAGACCUUUAAUAAAAUUGUAUUGAUUGUGAUGGAUGAUCUUGACAAUAAUUUUUUUGCAAUCGGUUGACUAAGAGCUUGCUAAUGACCUUAAGACAACAAUUAAUAAGAAUGAGGGGCGUGAAAUAAUUUAAUAUGUCUCGGGAGAUGACCUUGGGUAUAGUAUUUAUGAAUCCAUCAUUGAAGCUUUUGAGGUUUAAAACAUCAUCAAAGAACUGAGAGGAUAGUUGGUAAAAAGUCCCCCUUCAUUUUGGGAAAACUUGCUUUUUGAAAUACCCUAGUAAAGCAUUUGUCCUAGGGACUGGCAUUUCAGUGAUAACCUUGUAAAGUAUUUCACGCGUGAAUGGAAUGGUGAGCUGUUGAAGCCCCUCAAUCUUCUUAAUGAUGUUUGGGAGAUAAAAUCACAUUUCAUGAGGAGCAAAAGUCCCAAGUCUUUUCUUAAAUGAUUAGUAUAUAAUGGAUUCCUUGCCACCAUGAUCUUCCACUAAAGUACCCAUCCAUAAAUUUCAAUGGAGCAAGUAUGGUAUUCCUAUACCUCUCUGAGGUCGUCACUUGGAUUUUUUGAGUUUCCAUCACCAAAACGCACCCAUCGGAUGGUGCAUUUCUUUCCAAUACUUCUUCUUAUAAGAUAAGAGCCUUAGUAGGUUAUAUGCUAGGAUUACUCGGAAUUUUGAUCUCGGUGUUGUUACGUGUCUUUUAUUAGCAAGUGCAUCUAUCUCAAUGAGGGUUUUAUUUGAAUUUCAAUUGCAAUAGAUAACUUACAUAAGUUCAUGCUCUAAUUUUUUACCUCACACCCUGAGUGAUUUAAACUUUGUGCCAAGAAGUGGAGAUUGGUAUUUAGAUCAUUGUCUAAUAGCAUCAUUAAUAGGAGCUUGUAUAAGAUCAACUGCUAGCAGAGAGAUAAGUGGCGAUAACGGAUCCCCUUGUUGGGCCACACAUUUACAAUGGAAUUGUCGUCUAGGGACGCCAUUUAAGGGCACUGAAGAUUUAUCUGAAGUGUAAAUACAUUUACUCGAAGCAAUCCAUUUAUCAUUAAAUCCCGUCUUUUUUAUAAUUUCAAUUAUCACUUCAUGCUCAAUCGUAUUGAAUGAUUUGUUGAAUUUAAGUUUAAGGAAUUCAAUUUGCCGUUUGGAAGCUUGACAUUUUAAAAUAUAUUAAAGAUCGACCUUUAAUAAAAUUAUAUUGAUUGCGAUGAAUGAUCUUUAGAAUAAUUUUUGUAAAUAGUUAGCUAACGGCUUGCUAAUGACCUUGAGAUAGUAAUUAAGAAGUGUGAUGGGCGUGAUUACGGCUCGGAAGAGGACCUUGGGUAUGAUAUUUAUGAAUCCAUCAUUAACGAUUUGGAGGUAUAUACCACACCAUCAAAGAACUGAGAGCAUAAUUUGUAAUCCCCCUGCAUUAUGGGCCAACUUUCUUUUAGAAAUACCCUAGUAAAUCGAUUUGGACCGGGGCCCUAUCAGUUGUCAUUUCACUUAUCACCUAGUAAAUUACUUCAUGGGUGAACGAAGUGCUAAGCUACUGAAGCCCCUCUAUCUUCUUAAUGAUGUUUGGUGGAUAAACUCUCAUUUUAUGAGGAGAAAAAGUGGCAACUCUUCCCUUAAAUGAUUAGAGUAUAAUACAUUCCUUACCAACAUUAUCUUCCCUGAAGUACCAUACAUAGUAUUGAGCGAACCAAUAUUGUUUCUCCUACACCUUUGUGAGCCAUCAUUUUUUAGUUUUCAUCACCUAAACGCACCCACCGAAUCAUGCAACGUUUUUCCAAUACUGCUUCUCGUAGGUGGGAUUCUUGGAUUUCUCUAAAGUUGGAUCUUGUUGUUAUUAAGGGUCUUUUAUUCUCAAGUGCAUCAAUCUCGACAACGGCGUUAUUUGAACUCUCAGUGGCAAUAUUUAACUUACAUUUGUUCAUGCUCUAGUUUUUAGAUCACACUUCAGUAUUUUAAACUAUGUGUAAAGAACUCGAGAUCGACCAUUAUAUCAUUUUCUAAAAGCAUCAUUAAAGAAACUUGAAGUAGAUUGAUGCCAACAAAUCAUAUGAGUGGCGAUAAUGCACCCCCGUGUUGCGCCCCAUGUUUACAAUGGAAUUUCCAUCUAGGGGCGCAAUUUAAGGGCACUAAAGAGUUACCAGAAGUGAAAAUACAUUUAAUCCAUCCAAGCCAUUUAUCAUUAGAUCCCAUCUUCUUCAUAAUAUCAAUCAUUGCUUUGUGCUCAAUCGUAUUGAAUGCUUUGAUGAAGUCAAGUUUAAUGAGCACAAUCUCCCGUUUGGAAGUUUCACAUUGGAAAAUAUAUUCAAAUGCUCAUGCUAGGCAGUCCUAGAUAGAUCGACCUUUAAUAAAACCGUGUUGAUUGCGAUGGAUGAUCUUGAGAUUUUGUUUUUGUAAUCAGUUAGCUAACAUCUUGGUAAUGACCUUGAUAGAGCAUCUAAGAAGUGUGAUUGACCAGACAUAAUUUAUUAUGGAUCACGAGGGUACUUUGGGUUUAAUAUUUAUGAAUCCGUCAUUGAUGCUUUCGAGGUUUCAACCACCAUCAAAGAACUAAGAGCAUAGUUGGUAAAAAUUCCCCUUUAUUAUGGUCAACCUUGGUUUUAGAUAAACACUAGUAAAUCAAGUUGUCCUAUGGACCUAUCGAUCAACUAGCAUUUCACUAAUAACCUAAUAAAUUAUUUCAUUGGUGAACGAAGCGUUAAGCUUCUCAAGCCCCUCUAUCUUCUUAAUGAUGCUUGGGAGAUCAAUCUAAUUUUGUGAGGAGUAAAAGGUACCAAGUCUUUCCUUAAAUGAUUAUAAUAUAAUGAAUUCCUUCCGAGAAGGAUCUUCCACUAAAGUACAACCCAUAGUAUUCAACGAAGCAAUAUUGUUUCUCCUACACCUCUCUCGGGCCAUCGCUUGAUUUUAUUUUUCGAGUUUUCAUCAACAAGACACACCCAUCGAAUGGCACAUUUUUUCCAAUACUACUUGUUGUCAGUAAGUACAUUGGGUGAGAUUUUACGAUUACUCUAAAGUAGCAUUCCGGUUUUGUUAAGGGUAUUUUAUUCUGUCGCCACGAGGCUGCCCCCGUCUCUGAUCGGCACCGCGCUGUCCGAACCCAACGCCGCGACGCCCUCCGACGCCCUCGCCAACGCGCCCCCGACGCCCUCCGACACAUCCCUGCGGCCACCCCCUCCCCCACAAUUCCGGCCGGCCCCUUCCCCAUCGCCGGCACCACCCCGGGCCCCUUUCCCACCACGACGCCACUCCCUUCCACACCGUGGCGCUACCCCCCUUCCACACCGCCGGCGCCUACUAUCCCACGGACAACAGCGCCAGAAAUUGACACGUUGACAGAGGUUGGGCUUGCGUUGGUUUUUCCCUUGAAGAGGAAAGGGUGAUGCAACACAGGAGCAGUAAGUAUUUCCCUCAGUUUGAGAACCAAGGUAUCAACCUAGAAGGAGGGUCUCGUCAAGUCCAGAGUACCUGCGCAAACACAAACAAGCUUGCACCCAACGCUUCAAAGGGGUUGUCAAUCCCUUAAAGAUUGUUUGCAAAGUGAGAUCUGAAGGCGGAAAGUGCAACGAAGUAAAAAGUGUAAGCCUGAAAAUAUGGUGUGGAGUAGACCCUGGGGGGCAUGGUGUUCACUAGAGGCUUCUCUCAAAAUAGCAAGUAUUACGGUGGGUGAACAAAUUACUGUCGAGCAAUUGAUAGAACCGCACAAAGUCAUGAUGAUAUCUAAGGCAAUGAUCAUACAUAUAGGCAUCACGUCCGAGGCAAGUAGACUGAUACUUUCUGCAUCUACUACUAUUACUCCACACAUCGACCGCUAUCCAGCAUGCAUCUAGUGUAUUGAGUUCAUGACGAACAGAGUAACGCUUUAAGCAAGAUGACAUGAUGUAGAGGGAUAAUCUCAAACCAAUGAUGAAAACCCCAUCUUUUUACCCUUGAUGGCAACAACACGAUGCGUGCCUCGCUACCCCUUCUGUCACUGGGUCAGGUCAUCGCACGGUAUGAACCCAAAACCAAGCACUUCUCCCAUUGCAAGAAUCAUAGAUCUAGUUGGCCAGACAAAACCCACAACUCGAAAAGAAUUACAAGGAUAUGAAAUCAUGCAUAAAAGAGAUCAGAAGAAACUCAAAUAAGAUUCAUAGAUAAUAUGAUCACAAAUCCACAAUUCAUCGGAUCUCGACAGACACACCGCAAAAGAAGAUUACAUCGGAUAGAUCUCCAUGAAGAUCAUGGAGAACUUUGUAUUGAAGAUUCAAGAGAGAGAAUAAGCCAUCUAGUUACUAGCUAUGGACCCAUAGGUCUAUGGUGAACUACUCACGCAUCAUCGGAGAGGUAAUGGUGUUGAUGGAGAAGUCCUCCGUGUCCGAAUCCCCCCUCCGGCAGGGCACCAGGACGUGCCCCAGAUGGGAUCUUGCGGAGACAGAAGCUUGCGGCGGCGGAAAAGCGAUUGCGAUGAUCUCCUGAUUUUUUCUGGAAUUUUUGGGAUUAUAUAGGCGAAAGAUCUAGGUCAGGGGACCUGCAGGGGGGCCACAACCCUUGAUGGCGCCCCCCUGGCUGGGGGAUGGGGGCUUGUGGGCCCCUGGGGCUCCUAUGGCUUGGCUCCCAAGUUCUCCGAUCUUCUUUCGUUCCAAAAAGAAUCUUUUCGGAGAUUUUCUUCCGUUUGGACUCCGUUUCAAAAUCUUCUCUGAAAAGGGUCAAAAACAUGGAAAAAACAGGAACUCGCACUUGGCACUGAGUUAAUAAGUUAGUCCCAAAAAAUAAAUAAAAGGCAAGCAAAAGAUCCAAAGUUUGACAAGAUAAUAGCAUGAAACAAUCAAAAAUUAUAGAUACGUUGGAGACGUAUCAAGCAUCCCCAAGCUUAACUCCUGCUCGUCCUCCAGUAGGGAAGUGAUAAAGAAUGAAUUUUUGAUGUGGAAUGCUACCUAGCAUAGUUUUCCUUUGCAACUUCUUUCACGUGACAUGAACGUUCAAAUCCGUAAGAUUCAAAAAAAUAGUUUGCUAUUGACAUGAAAAUAGUAAUACUUCAAGCAAACUAGCAAAGUAAUCAUGAACUUUCAAAAUAACAAGGCCAAAGAAAGUUAUCCCUACAAAAUCAUAUAGUCUCGCUAUGCUCCAUCAUCCUCACACAACUAAUGUAAAUCAUGCACAACCCCGGAAUUGGCCAAGUAAUUGUUUUCGCACUCUUACUUUCUCAAACUUUUUAUAACUAUCACGCAAUACAUGAUCGCGAGCCAUGGAUAUAGCACUAUAGGUGGAAUAGAGUGUGGUGGUGGUUGUGAGACAAAAAAGGAGGAGAUGGUCACAUUGACUUGGCGUAUCAAUAGGCUAUGGAGAUGCACAUUAAUAGAUAUCAAUGUGAAUGAGUAGGGAUUGCCAUACAAGAGAUGCACUAGAGCUAUAAGUAUGUGAAAGCUCAAAAGGAAAACUAGUGGGUGUGCAUCCAACUUGCUUGCUCACGAAGACCUAGGGCAAUUGUGAGGAAGCCCAUCAUUGGAAUAUACAAGCCAAGCUAUAUAAUGAAGAUUCCCACUAGCAUAUGGUAGUGACAAAGCAAGAAGCUCUCAAUCAUGAAGAACAUGGUGCUAACAUGAAGCACAAGUGUGGAAAAAGAUAGUAGCAUUGUCCCUUCUCUCUUUUCUUUUUUUUCAUUUGGGCUCUUAGGCCUCUUUUUUUGGGCUCUUUGGCCUCUCUUUUUUAUUUCCUCCCAUGGGACAAUGCUCUAAUAAUGAUGAUCAUCACACUUUUAUUUACUCACAGCUCGAAGAUCACAACGAUGAUGACUCCAUAGGAAAUGCCUCCGGCAGUGUACCAGGAUGUGCAAUGAUCUAGCAUGGCGUAUGACGUUGAAAACAUCUCGCUAGCUAUCUUACGAUCAUGCAAUGGCAAUAUGAGAAUGACGGCGCAAGUCAUGAGACGGAACGGUGGGAGUUGCAUGGCAAUAUAUCUCGGAAUGGCUAUGAAAAUGCCAUAGUAGGUAGGUAUGGUGGCUGUUUUGGGGAAGGAAUUUGGUGGGUUUGUGCACCGGCGAGAAUUGCGCGGCACUAGUGAGGCUAGCAAUGGUGGAAGGUGAAAGUGCAUCUAUACCAUGGACUCACAUUAGUCAUGAAGAACUCACAUACUUAUUGCGAAAGUUUUUAUUAGUAAUCGAAACAAAGUGUUAAACGCAUACUCCGAGGGGAACAGUUGGUAGGUGUGAACCAUCGCGCGAUCCCGACCUCAACACAAAGGAUGACAAUCAAUAGAUCAAUUAUGCUCCGGCUUCCUAACAUAGCGGUUCACCAUACGUGUAUGCUACGGGAAUCACUAACUCCAACACAAGUAUCUCUAGAUUCACAACACCCUACUAACAUAACUCUCAAUAUUACCGAAUCCUUGUCUCAAAACUAAUUGAGAGGAAUCGAAACUUCUCUUUCUACUCAAUGCACAUGAAGAUGGAGGUUUUUGCAUCCUCUUUGGGUACCUAGCACAUGGGACUACUUUCCUAGCAUAAGCCAACUACCAAAUCACGCACCGCCGUGCUCUAAAGAUAUAAGUGAAGCACAAGAGCAAAAGUAUCUAUCUCAAAAGAUAUAAGUGAAGCACUAGAGCAGAAGUAUCUAGCUCAAAAGAUAUAAGUGAAGCACUAUGAGCAUUCUAGCAAAAUCACGAUGAGUGCAUGUCUCUCUCUCUCAAAAAGGUGUGCAGCAAGGAUGAUUAUGACACAACAGAAAGAAAAGACUCCUAUGAUACAAGACGCUCCAAGCAAAACACAUAUCAUGUGGUGAAUAAAAAUAUAGCUCCAAGUAAGGUUACCGAUGGAUUGAAGACGAAAGAGGGGAUGCCUUCCCGGGGCAUCCCCAAGCUUAGGCUUUUUGGUGUCCUUGAAUUUGGCUUGGGAUGCCUUGGGCAUCCCCAAGCUUGAGCUCUUUCCACUCCUUAUCUCUUUGUCCAUGAGAACAUCACCCAAAACUUGAAAACUUCACAACACAAAACUUAAACAGAAACUUGUGAUAACAUUAGUACAAGAAAACAAACUACCACUUCUUUUGGUACUGUAGCAAACUUGAAUUCUAUCUAUAUUGAUGAUGGGCUACUGUAUUCUCACUUUCUCAUGGCUAUUACCCCCCCCCCGAUACUAACCAUAGUUUCAUCAAAACAAGCAACCAACUCAACAAAAACAGAAUCUGUCAAAAACAUACCAGUCUGUAGCAAUCUGUAUACUUCGUAUACUUCUGGUACCUCAAAAAAUUAGAAACAUUACGACGGCCUGGGCAAAAAAUCAUACCAAUCAUCAUCAAAAAGAAUCAACUCAAAAGCUCUUUCUGAAUAAAAAUGAAAAAUCAUCUCGUGAGCGAAAAGUUUCUGUCUUUUUCCAGUAGGAUCAAACAACCAUUACCAAGACUAGUCAUAAAGGCUUUGCUUGGCUCAAACACAAAAAGAGACACAAAAACACAAUCACAACAGAAUUAUGAAAGUGUGGACGCAACAAAGGGGGGGGGGGGGGGGGGAAAAAGAUAAAUUCAUUGGGUUGCCUCCCAACAAGCGCUAUUGUUUAACGCCCUUAGCUAAGCAUUGAUAAUUCAAUGAUGCUCACACAAAAGACAAGAAUUGAAGCACAACGAGAGCAUCAUAAAGCAUGUGAAAAUCACAUCUAAGUCUAACAUACUUCCUAUGCAUAGGCAUUUUAUAGGAAAACAGAUUGUCAAGACAACCAAUAGUUACCAUAUGCAAGGAAGAAGAAGAGACAAUAGCAAUCUCAACAUAACGAGAGGUGAUUUAGUGAUAUGAAAGUUUCUACCACCAUAUUUUCCUCUCUCAUAAUAAUUACAUGUGGUAUCAUAUCCGAAUUCAACAAUGUAACUAUCACAUAGGAUAUUCUUUUCAUGAUCCACAUGCAUCCAAAGUUGACGCUCUUCAAAAAUAGUGGUAUUAUCAUCAACUAAGUCAUGACUUCUCCAAACCCACUUUCAAUAAUAUUGCAAAUAUCAUAUUCAUCAUGAGGCUUAGACAAAUUUUCAAGAUCAUAAGAAAAAUCAUCGCCCCACUCAUGAUCAUUGCAACAAGUAGUGGACAUAGCAAAACUAGCAUCCCCAAGCUUAGGGUUUUGCAUAUUCUUAGCAUGAUUGUCACUAAUAGAAUUUAUAGUGAAACCAUUGCAAUCAUGCUUUUCAUCGAAGGAGCCCUCGUGAAUCACUUCAUAAAUUUCUUCCUCACAAUUUUCAUAUUCAUGCAUCUCAAGCAAAACUCCAUAAAGAUAGUCAAGUGCACUCAACUCACUAGCAAUUGGAUCAACAUAAUUGGAUCUCUUAAAGAGAUUAGCAAGUGGAUGAGGAUCCAUAUCACUAGAUUUUCAGCAAGCAAAGAUGCAAGCAUAUUCAAGGCACAUGGCACACAAGCGAACGUAAAGCAAGAGAGAGAAAAGGGCGAACGAAAAGGCAAACGAAAAAGGCCAAUUGGUGAAGUGGGGGAGAGGAAAACGAGAGGCAAUUGGCAAACAAAGUAAAUGCAAGAGAUGAGUUUGUGACACCUACUUGGAAGAGUUAUUGACUUGAUCUUCCUCCCCGGCAACGGUGCGAGAAAUCCUUCUGCUAUCCCACAGACAACAAUGCCAGAAAUUGACACGUUGACAGAGGCUGGGCUUGCGUUGGUUUUUCCCUUGAAGAGGAAAGGGUGAUGCAGCACAGGAGCAGAAAGUAUUUCCCUCAGUUUGAGAACCAAGGUAUCGAUCCAAAAGGAGGGUCUCGUCAAAUCCAGAGUACCUGCGCAAACACAAACAAGCUUGCACCCAACGCUUCAAAGGGGUUGUCAAUCCCUUCAAGAUUGUUUGCAAAGUGACAUCUGAAGUAAAAAAAAGUGUAAGGCUAAAAAUAUGGUGUGGAGUAGACCCUGGGGGCCAUAGUGUUCACUAGAGGCUUCUAUCAAAAUAGCAAGUAUUACAGUGGGUGAACAAAUUACUGUCGAGCAAUUGAUAGAACCGCGCAAAGUCAUGACGAUAUCUAAGGCAAUGAUCACACAUAUAGGCAUCACGUCCGAGACAAGUAGACCGAUACUUUCUGCAUCUACUACUAUUACUCCACACAUCGACCGCUAUCCAGCAUGCAUCUAGUGUAUUGAGUUCAUGACGAACAGAGUAACGCUUUAAGCAAGAUGACAUGAUGUAGUGGGAUAAUCUCAAACCAACGAUGAAAACCCCAUCUUUUUACCCUUGAUGGCAACAACACGAUGCGUGCCUCACUACCCCUUUUGUCACUGGGUGAGGUCACCACACGGUAUGAACCCAAAACCAAGCACUUCUCCCAUUGCAAGAAUCAUAGAUCUAGUUGGCAAGACAAAACCCACAACUCGAAGAGAAUUACAAGGAUAUGAAAUCAUGCAUAAGAGAGAUCAGAAGAAACUCAAAUAAGAUUCAUAGAUAAUCUGAUCAUAAAUCCACAAUUCAUCGGAUCUCGACAAACACACCGCAAAAGAAGAUUACAUGGGAUAGAUCUCCAUGAAGAUCAUGGAGAACUUUGUAUUGAAGAUCCAAGAGAGAAGAAGCCAUCUAGUUACUAACUAUGGACCCGUAGGUCUAUGGUGAACUACUCACGCAUCAUCGGAGAGGUAAUGGUGUUGAUGGAGAAGCCCUCCGUAUCCGAAUCCCCCCUCCGGCAGGGCACCAGGACAUGCCCCAGAUGGGAUCUUGCGGAGACAGAAGCUUGCGGUGGUGGAAAAGCGAUUGCGAUGAUCUCCUGAUUUUUUAUGGAAUUUUUGGGAUUAUAUAGGCGAAAGAUCUAGGUCAGGGGACCUCCAGGGGGGCCACAAGCCUGGAUGGCUCCCCCUGGCCGUGGGGUGGGGUCUUGUGGGGCCCCUGGGGAUCCUCUGGCUUGGCUCCCAAGUUCUCCGAUCUGUUGGGGAACGUCGCAUGGGAAACAAAAAUUUUCCUACGCGCACGAAGACCUAUCAUGGUGAUGUCCAUCAACGAGAGGGGAUGAGUGAUCUACGUACCCUUGUAGAUCAUACAGCAGAAGCGUUAGAGAACACGGUUGAUGUAGUGGAACGUCCUCACGUCCCUCGAUCCGCCCCGCGAACAAUCCCGCGAUCAGUCCCACGAUCUAGUACCGAACGGACGGCACCUCCGCGUUCAGCACACGUACAGCUCGACGAUGAUCUCGGCCUUCUUGAUCCAGCAAGAGAGAUGGAGAGGUAGAAGAGUUCUCCGGCAGCGUGACGGCGCUCCGGAGGUUGGUGAUGACCUUGUAUCAGCAGGGCUCCGCCUGAGCUCCGCAGAAACGCGAUCUAGAGGAAAAACCGUGGAGGUAUGUGGUCGGGCAGCCGUGAGAAAGUCGUCUCAAAUCAGCCCUAAUUGCUCCAUAUAUAUAGGAGGAGGGAGGGGGCCUUGCCUUGGGGUCCAAGGACCCCCAAGGAGUCGGCCGAGCCAAGGGGGGGAGGACUCCCCCCCCCCAAACCGAGUUGGACUUGGUUUGGUGGGAGGAGUCCCCCUCCCUUCCCACCUCCUUCCUUUUUUUUUCUUUCCUCUUGAUUUUUCUUCUCUUGGCGCAUUGGGCACUUGUGGGCUGUCCCACCAGCCCACUAAAGGCUGGUGUGGCUCCCCCAAUGCCUAUGGGCUUCCCCGGGGUGGGUUGCCCCCCCCCCCCCNUACAGCAGAAGCGUUAGAGAACGCGGUUGAUGUAGUGGAACGUCCUCACGUCCCUCGAUCCGCCCCGCGAACAAUCCCGCGAUCAGUCCCACGAUCUAGUACCGAACGGACGGCACCUCCGCGUUCAGCACACGUACAACUCGACGAUGAUCUCGGCCUUCUUGAUCCAGCAAGAGAGACGGAGAGGUAGAAGAGUUCUCCGGCAGCGUGACGGCGCUCCGGAGGUUGGUGAUGACCUUGUCUCAGCAGGGCUCCGCCCGAGCUCCGCAGAAACACGAUCUAGAGGAAAAACCGUGGAGGUAUGUGGUCGGGCUGCCGUGGGAAAGUCGUUUCAAAUCGGCCCUAAAACCUUCGUAUAUAUAGGUGGGAGGGAGGGGGCCUUGCCUUGGGGUCCAAGGACCCUCAAGGGGGUCGGCCGAGCCAAGGGGGAGGACUCUCCCCCCCCAAACCGAGUUGGACUAGGUUUGGUGGGAGGGAGUCCUCCUCCCUUCCCACCUCCUCCUUUUUUUUCUUUUCCUCUUGAUUUUUCUUCUCUUGGCGCAUAGACCACUUGUGGGCUGUCCCACCAGCCCACUAAGGGCUGGUGUGUCUCCCCCAAGGCCUAUGGUCUUCCCCGGGGUGGGUUGCCCCCCCGUGAACUCCCGGAACCCAUUCGUCAUUCCCGGUACAUUCCCGGUAACUCCGAAAACCUUCCGGUAAUCAAAUGAGGUCAUCCUAUAUAUCAAUCUUCGUUUCCGGACCAUUCCGUAAACCCUCGUGACGUCCGUGAUCUCAUCCGGGACUCCAAACAACAUUCGGUAACCAACCAUAUAACUCAAAUACGCAUAAAACAACGUCGAACCUUAAGUGUGCAGACCCUGCGGGUUCGAGAACUAUGUAGACAUGACCCGAGAGACUCCUCGGUCAAUAUCCAAUAGCGGGACUUGGAUGCCCAUAUUGGAUCCUACAUAUUCUACGAAGAUCUUAUCGUUUGAACCUCAGUGCCAAGGAUUCGUAUAAUCCCGUAUGUCAUUCCCUUUGUCCUUCGGUAUGUUACUUGCCCGAGAUUCGAUCGUCAGUAUCCGCAUACCUAUUUCAAUCUCGUUUACCGGCAAGUCUCUUUACUCGUUCCCCCCCCCCCCCCCCCGCAACUUACACUAAGUUACAUUGCUUGCAAGGCUUGUGUGUGAUGUUGUAUUACCGAGUGGGCCCCGAGAUACCUCUCCGUCAUACGGAGUGACAAAUCCCAGUCUUGAUCCAUACUAACUCAACUAACACCUUCGGAAAUACCUGUAGAGCAUCUUUAUAGUCACCCAGUUAUGUUGCGACGUUUGAUACACACAAAGCAUUCCUCCGGUGUCAGUGAGUUAUAUGAUCUCAUGGUCAUAGGAAUAAAUAUUUGACACGCAGAAAACAGUAGCAACAAAAUGACACGAUCAACAUGCUACGUCUAUCAGUUUGGGUCUAGUCCAUCACGUGAUUCUCCCAAUGACGUGAUCCAGUUAUCAAGCAACAACACCUUGUUCAUAAUCAGAAGACACUGACUAUCAUUGAUCAACUGGCUAGCCAACUAGAGGCAUGCUAGGGACGGUGUUUUGUCUAUGUAUCCAGACAUGUAAAUGAGUCUUCAUUCAAUACAAUUAUAGCAUGGAUAAUAAACUAUUAUCUUGAUACAGGAAUUAUAAUAAUAACUACACAUUUAUUAUUGCCUCUAGGGCAUAAUUCCAACACGAUCUUCUUCCGUUCCAAAAAAAAUCUUUUCGGGGAUUUUCUUCCGUUUGGACUCCGUUUCAAAAUCUCCUCUGAAAGGGGUCAAAAACAUGGAAAAAACAGGAACUGGCACUUGGCACUGAGUUAAUGAGUUAGUCCCAAAAAAUAAAUAAAAGGCAAGCAAAACAUCCAAAGUUUGACAAGAUAGUAGCAUGAAACCAUCAAAAAUUAUAGAUACGUUGGAGAUGUAUCAGCGCCUUCCUCCCCCAUCGUAAGUUCGUUUUUUUGGCUUUUUCAUUUCAUUGCAUAUAUAUAUAUACAUACAUAUAAUUAGGUUAAUUUAGUUAGUUUAGGGCUCUGUUAGUGUUAGUUUAGGUCAAAUAGGUUAGUUUAGGGCUUUGUUAGUGUAAGUUUAGGUCAAAUAGGUUAGUUUAGUGCUAAAUAGGUUAUUGUUAGUUUAGGUUGACAUAUAAAUGAUUUAGGUUUUAGAGUAGAUUUUACAUAUAAAUAAUGAUUUGACAUAUAAAUGGUUAAGGUUUUCCUUUUAUUAUUUUAAGUUUGCUACUCGUAUUUCUUUGUUAACAUUUUAUAACUAUUUGCAAAAGUUUGAUGAGUGACAUUUGCAAAAGUUUGUUAUGUAUUUGCAAUUAAUUAGUAUAUAUAUGUAGACAAUAGAUUCUCUUAGUCCUAUAAUAACAAAUGGAUUUAUCAAGAAUGCCACAUUAUGUAUGUGCACAAAUUGAUCCAAUUUCUUUUAUGAUCUCAUCUAUGUAACCUAGCUAGCUAGUUUCUAUAUGUCACGUUGUUUGUCCAAGUAUUGAAGAAAUCCAUGGCUUCAUCAUUACCUCGUAGUAAUAGACGCAUGAUGCUAUGAAUCUCUCGAACGUUAUUUUGGAACGGAGUUCCAGAUAGGAUAAUUCGCUUUUUGGUACGAAGUUGAGGAAAGUCCUUCCAAAUAGUGAUAUUCGGAUGGCUCUUUUUGAACUGCAUACCAAAAACCAAAUUAUCCUAUUCGGGAUUCCAUUACAAAACAACUUUGUAAAGCUUCAUAGCAUCAUGCGCCUAUUACUACCAGGUAAUGAUUGAUACGUCCCAAACGUAUCUAUAAUUUCUGCUUGUUCCAUGAUCUUUUGGGUGACAUUGUUACAUAUUUUGCUACACUUUUAUAUCAUUUUACACAUAUUUGGACUAACCUACUAACUCAGUGCACCCAGUGCUAGUUUCUGUCUGCUAAUGUCUAUUUUGCAGGGGCUUUUACCCAAUUUACCGAAGCCCGAAAAAAUCCAAAAAAAAUAUAUAAAAAAUCAGCGAAACAGAAGCUUCGGGAUUACCAAAGGACGGCCAGAGGUGGGCCAGGGGCCUCCCAGGCGGCCUGCUGGCGCGGCUAGGCCCUAGGCCGCGCUAGGAGGUCGCCUGGGUGGGUCCCACCUCCUCCGGUGCCCUCCUUUGUCCUAUAUUUAGAGAUUCGUGAGGAAACCGUCGCAGACUUUCUGGAAUCACGAAUUUCUCCAUCGUUCCGCCGCCGCAGCGCUUCCGAGAUCGGGAGCGUCAGGAGACCUCUUCCCGGCAACCUGUGGGAGGGAGGAUUGACCUCCGGAAGCUUCUCCACCACCAUGGACGCCUCCCGGAUAUGACGUGAGUAGUUUCCCUUGGACCAUGAGUCCGUGACCAGUAGCUAUGUGAUGUUUUCUCUCCAAUCUUGUGCUUCAAUGGUUAGUCCUUGUGAGCUGCCCUAGAUGAUCAAGGCAUCUAUGUAAUUCUCUUGCUAUUGCUAUGCUCGUUUUGUUGGGAUCCGAUGGAUUAUGAUAUUAUGUUCAGAUUGUUAUGAGUUAUAUAUUUGAUUAUCCUUUUAUAUUAUGUUCCUUAGUGAUUCAUGCAUGUUCUCCGUUGCUUUAUAUUGCUUUGGCCAAGUAGUAGAUCUUGACUCCAGGAGGGGGUGUUAUGCAUGAUUGUGGGUUCGGGCCCCUCGAUGUCUAGCUUCAGUGACAGAAACAUGAGACUAUGGGAUGUGCUUGUUGCCACUAGGGAGAAAACAACGGUGCUUGUGACCACGAUUGCAAGGAUUGUCUACCUUACGCAUAGUUCGUUAAUGCAGUUGCCCGUUGCUUUGACUUUACCCUUUGGGUGGGGCUCGCAACUUAAUACUGGAGAGAUGUUCUGGAUAGAUAUCUCAAGGUGGAUGAUUAGUAAGUAGAUGCUGAUGCAUAAACAGUCUACUUGUCUCAGCGUAUUUCCCAUUACUAUUGAACCUCUAACUAUCAAGGAGCAUAAUUAGCAUUGCGGUGCGAUCAUAAUUCUGUCAAUCGCCCAACCGUGAUUUGUUUACCCUAGCAUAGUUGUUUAUCGUCUUUUGGGAGAGAGACAUCACUAGUGAACGUCAUGUGACUCUGGUCCAUAUCACCAUCAUUGUUUACACGUCCAUCAUUUACCGCUUUCUUUACUUUUCCGUUGCAAUCACUAUUACCUUCCUGCUUGUGUUUUGAUCCUUUGCAAACUACAAGGCCGGUGAGAUUGACUACCUCUCUGUACUUGUUGGGAGCAAAGUUAUUUGUUAUGUGUGCAGGUCCACAUCUUCUUCUAGAGCCAGGGUGGAACACACCUACUUGUUGUGCCUAGGAUUCUCCUGGUUCGAUAAACCUUACAGUCUUCGUGUAAGGGAAAUUUGUUGCUGGCUACAUCUCCACCUUCCACUUGGGGUAUCCAACGAGGGGCAAGAAGUAUAUACAUCACCUCGUCAUCAAUGAUGAAGUCAUGGUUUUAUUGAAUCCUUUGACAAUAGACAAUGUGACAUAUAGAAGGGUAGAUGAGAUCAGGAAAAUAUGGAUCAUUUUCUGCACAUCCAGAAUGUCGCCAUUUUGUUAAAUCUCUUAAAGGUUAAGAGAAUCCGUUUAGACAUAUUUACAGUAAAGAUUCACUCAUUUUGCUCCGUAUGUAAUUUUCUGAUGAAAUCUUUAAAAGGUCUUAUAUUUUGGAACAGAGGGAGUACAAGUUUAGAAAAGUUUAUUAAAUAGUUGGAAUUUAAAUAGUAGGACAUACAAUGCCCGGCACGCAUCCUCGUCGUCGACUCGGUGGCGACCACCUACUUGAUAGGCCAAGCAUGUGCGGGACUGGGCUCCGCCGGGCUGGCACUGGGAGGAGUUACCUUCCAUGGCGCGCAGCUUCGUGAGGAACCGGGCUCCCGUCAUCGACCCGGGGUUUCUUGGUGGCUGUUGCGGGGGCCACUUUCGGUGCCUAGGGUGCCGGGCCCCGAGGAGGAGGUACGUCGCCGUGUCAUGGAGGAGGACGAGCAUGUCCGUCACUACAUGGAGGCGUUGGAUGUCAGGUUCUCCACUACUUGGCAGGUUCUUCAAGGAUCUCACUCGAGCUAUGAUCCGGUGAUGGUCCCUACCCUUUGGGUGUCCACCGCCCGCGUCUCAGUACAGCGACGGCUCUUUGUUGGUUGAUCAGUUAUAUAUUAUUCGAGAGAUGUAUUACUGUAUUCGAGAGAUGUAUUAUUUAUGUAUUCCAAAUUAUAUAUUCGAUAAUAUUAAGUGCAUUAUUUGAUGAUGCAUUAAUUAAGUCGAUUAUUCAAUGUAUAUAAGAGGGAGUUUUAGUUGUUAGUUAAUUUAGUUUUUUAUGUUUAAUUAAUUUGUAGAUACUAUGGAUCCAAUACACGGCAUAGACGAACAUCACGAAGAUGUGAUGCAUGGUGUCAUCCGCGGGGAUUAUAUUUUAAUUGGCGAUAUCGAUGUCACCAAUCAGUUUUUGAACGAGUCCGGCGAAGGAGAUGAGUCUCUCAACACAGGAGGUAGAAGCUCCGGUGAGGUAGACGCCCACGCCUCGGGCGAGGGAGGAAUCAGCGGCUCCAAUGAGGAAGAGGCCGACGAGGGAGAAGCCGACCGCUCCGUCGAGGUGCAUAUAUAUAUUAGUAAACUAAUCCUCUGCUAUAUACAUAUAUUAACGCUCUUUCUUUUAGCCCUUCGGAUCAAGCAAAACUUCAGUACGGACGAAACGAGGCCCAACCAAGAAGAUGGAUGACGGUGAGAGAUACAGGAUCGAAAGCGUCUCAAAUGUCGGGCAACCAAUUGCUCCCACAGAUGUAAAGCAGAAGUUUGUGAAGCCAUGCGGAGUUGUUGUUAGGGACCACAUCCCUAUCACCACUCGAGGAUGGAUUAAGCCAAGGGAGGAAGGAGUCUCAUAUGUCAGCACAACAGCCAAAGAAAACCUUUGGAGAAAGCUCAUGCUUCAUUUCACCCUGUCGGCGCCAGAGGUGGAUCCAGAUGAGGAGGAAAUGAAGAGGCGAAAAGAGGCCCUAGAGAAAAAAAAUCAAGGAGUAGGAUCCUAAAAAGAUGGCGAUCUAUUCAGGGGCUGGAAAAAAAGAUUGCACCAGGAAUUUAUCUUGAAAGAUAAGACUCCAGAUUUCGAUAACGACUAUGAGAAGAUAAAAGACUACUGGGCCGAAUUUGUGGCGUACAAGAAAUAAGACGAAUGCACGUAAGAAGAAGUACCACCAUAUUAUGGGGCCUGGUGGCUACGGCGGUCACAUGGCUAAGUGGGAAGCACUUGAGGCAUCAUUUCUGGUAAAACAAUAUCACUCCAGAGCCUUUAAGAUGGCUCGAACGGGGAAGAAACUGGUUUUACGGGCAUGUGGGCUUGUUGGACGAAGAAGGGAAGGCAAUAUAUAACCAAAGACACAAAGAUAAUCCCCUACCCAUCGAGGACAUUAGACGUGCAGUACAGGAUGUUGAAGAGGGACGGUUCAUUCCCAAUAGAGAGAACGAUGAGCUCACACGCGCCCUUGGGAAUGAUGAACACAAAGGGCGAGCACGAGGCUUACCAGACUCCCCGUCGUAGUUGCUUGCGUUUUGCAAGGAAAGGAAGAGAUUUCCCGAUAGAAGCCAUCAGAGGAGAAAGGAAAAGGAAGCAGCUGAGAAAGCGGCUGCUCCAGACCGGCUGCAUAACAUAGAAGAAGAAGUAAAGCGGUGCAGCAGCAUCAAAUCGAUAGACAACAAGGUAGCGGCCAAUCUCAGCAGCUCAUGAUAGAAGUUGCAUCGUAUCGGAAAAGCAGUGUCUCUUCCACGCAGCUCCAAGAUGAUGGUGAUGAUGCACUAACAACGGAUCCUCCUCGUCGCUACCCAGUGGAUGAUAUCACAGAGAGCACACCUUGUGAGCUAAAGGUGAAAGUUGCUAACUUAAGGUUGACGGUGGCGGUCGGCAUGGCCGUACCAAUUGGACAUAUUCCAACUUGGCAUUGCUCUUCGGUUCUAGAAGGGUAUGCUGUCGUCGCGGUGGAUGAAGUGUUGAAAGAUUAUGAGGAGCUGAAGCUCGACCACCCUGCAGGUGAAGAUAGGGAUUUGACUCAACUUGGAGAAGUCAAGAAACAAACCAUUGUAUGGCCAAAGGAGGACAUCUUGCUUCCAAAUUGGCCGCCAAGGCCACCGACUCCUCAAAGCAGCAAUCCUUCUUCGCCUCCACCUCACCAGUCUCCAGCGCAAUCGUCGUCUUUACCGCCUCACCAGUCUCCAGCGCAACCGUCGUCUUCGCCGCCUCACCAGUCUCCAGCGUAGCCGUCUCCACUGCCGCAUCAGCCGUCUCUGUCCACUGAGGAUCAGAGCAAAAACCAGAAACGUACCACCGCUAAUAGUGGCGGAAGAAAGGGGAUCCAAUCACCGAAACGUAAGUUGUCACCCCUCCCAAAAGUACCUCAUAAGGAUAUGGAGAAGAGACCUUGGGACUAUACUGGAGAGGACAAUAUUAAGAGGGUAGAUGCCCAGCAUCAACAAUGGAUGGCUGACAAGGCUAACAAGAAGAAGCCGAAAGAGCCAGAAUUCCCGGUCACGCAGAAGAUCACGCCGCGUGUGUCAAAAUGCUGAAAACCCUUGUAGAUCCCCCGCCACCGUUGCCAGCAGACUAUGAAUGCUCUACUCUCAAGUUGGCUCACACAAAAAAGCAGUGGUUGAAGAGUAGUACGUCCAGCGGGAAAUCAGUUGCCCAGCUCGGACAACAGAAAAACCAAUCGUGUCCCCCUCUCAAAGUGUAUUCCGAUUCAAAGGUGUGCUCGAGCGGAGCUGCGGUCGAGCAGAGGAAUGAUGGAACAACUCGUAUCAAUCCGGAGUUUGUUGCACUAUACGGAGAAGCGGCCAAGGCUCAUGGCAUGUCUAUUGAUGAGUACAUAAACCAUAUGCAGGAAUUCUCUGACAUAACAUACGUGUAUCGGUGCAGGGCUCCUCUCAUCAAACCUGAGUUGGUCAAUGAGCUACCAACAAAAAUGCAAAGAUUGCAUGACUGGUACAUGCGAGCAUGUGCUGAACAACAAAACUGGAUCUACAUUGCAUAUAAAACGAGCAUUACGGGCAUGGAGAAUGCGUGCUAAUGAUUGAAUUCGAUGAAUUAUUUCAGUUAUACAAACAAGACACCCUCGAAAAAUCUAUCAUAAGUGCCUAUUGUUUGUAAGUAUUAUUAAUUUAUGUCAUUAAGUCUUACUCACCUCGUUCUUGCAAUUUUGCAGAAUGAAGAUUCUCGAAUGCAAAAGAGGAUGAAUCUAUGACAUUGGGUUCAUUGACCCAUAUUUCAUUCAUCACCAAAGUCUUGCAACGAAUCCCCGCGAGAUAGAGAAUAACUUGGUACAAGGGUUAAGGUUUUCCGCUACCAAAAGGGAAAUACUAUUUCCUUACAACUUCAAGUGAGCGUUACUACACACAUUCUAUUUUUUGCAUACUCGAUGUUAUUAUAAGUGUAUAAUUGACUCGUUAUGCAUGCGCAUGUUCCACUAUAUUCUGUUAAUCAUUGUACCUGACGAGGGACUAGUAAAAUUCAUGGACCCGAAACGCACACCCCUCGCAGAAUGGGCAAACAUGCAGGAAUGCCUCCAGAGGUAAUUUCAAUCAUUAUGGCACUAUAUCGGCAACUUCUCAUUCAUUUCCUGAUAGCAAGGAAUUAAUAUAGAACUCCUUUAUUCAUUUUGUUUUCUUGGCAGGUCUUGGAAACGGUUCACCGCCAAGGCUCGGGGUGUUUGGAAGUGAGGGCUUACAUUUAGACAAAUGGAUGUAAGUAACUACUAGCUAGAUCCGCGCAUCUCUUUAUUCUAGUUUCAAUACCAUUAUCAUUCUUGAUUAUGUUUUUGAUUGAACUCUGUUCUUGUAAAGUGCUUGAGGCAGGAACAGGGGAACAAUUUAUGUGGAUACUAUGUUUGCGAGUUCAUUCGCCAGACGACCCAUGAGAGGGGCAAAAACCGGGACAUAAAAAAAUUGAAGUAUGAUAAACAAUACUCACAACUUUAUUUUAUUACCGUCAAUUGUGUUCGGUUUCAUUGAUAUAUAUUGACCCCUUCUUCAAAUUAGAUCGGACGAUUGCGGGACGAUCUUCUACCACAGGAACAUGUACGAGCAAUUCAAGAGGAAAUUGUCGGAUUCUUAGAUGCAGAGGUCCUAGAUGUGAAGGGAGAAUAUUAUUGCCCGUCGAUGCAAUUCAAAUGAAAUGUUAAAGUGUAAAAGAGAUGCAUAUGUGCAUGUGUAACUUGUAUCUACAUUUUGUAAUAUGUUCGACAAAGCACGACGGAUGAGAUGGUGUAAUAUAUUCGUGGCAAUGAUGUGCAAUAUAGUUGUUCCUUUAUUGUUGUGUAUGUACCAUCCAAUUUAGUGCAAAACAAGAAUUAAAAAGUGCCCAAAACAAAUAAAUGGGAAAAUAGGGGGCAGGAAAAUAGCCCCAUCCAAUUUAGUGCAAAACCCUAAACCCUAAAAAGUGCUCAAGAGAAAAGAAGAGAAGCAAUAGCCCCGGUUCGUAAUAAGAACCGGGACUUAUACCCCUCCCCCUCGCUCCAAGCCCCGCCACGUGGAGGACCAUUAGCCUCGGUUCGGGGCCGAACUGGGGAUAGCAUUAGUCCUGGUUAUUUAGUCUCGGUUCGUGAACCGGGACUAAUGUCCCAACCAAACCGGUGCUAUAGGCCCUUUUUCUACUAGUGUAUGUCUCAAACUACCCGAUGAUGAUGAGAUGGCAUGUGGUGACAUCAACAAUGCAUUACGGCAUGUCCCAUUAUUCCUUACAGGUUCGACAUGGUUUUAUUUGAACAUAGUCAACGCACUCCCGCAAAAGUCCAUACACACGUGGGUAGACUUCGAACACGCGUUCAUCAACAACUUUGAGGGAACAUACGUGAGGCGUAGAAGUGUUGCAGACCUCUUCUACUUGUAAAUUGCGUUGGGUUUUCCUCCGAAGAGGAGAGAAGAUGCAGCAUAGUAAAGAUAAGUAUUUCCCAUAAUAAAAACCAAGAUUAUCGAACCAAUAGGAGAACCACACAACUUUUCGUCUUCAACACCUACACACAAAAGAGCAAACACUUACAUCUAAUGCGAUCAACAGGAUUGUCGGGCCUCUUGAACUCAUUACUUGCAAGUAUUAAGUAGUGAUAGAUAGAUAAUAUAAAUAUAAAACCCCAAUAACAAAAGAAAAAUGGCAGCAAUAUUUUAGUGUUUUUGUAAUAUAUUUUGUGAAGACCUGGGGGCACAGUUUUCGCUAAAGUCUUCUCUCUCAAAGAAAGCAAACGACGGGUAAACCAAUUACUCUUGGGCAAUGACGACCCACAAGUAUAGGGUAUCAAUCAUAGUCCUUUUGAUAAGUAAGAGAGUCGAACCCAACGAGGAGCAAAAGAAAAUGAUAAGUAGUUUUUAGGAAGGUAUUUUCUUCAAGUGUUGUGAGUAACAGUGGUGAAUAGUUUUGCAGCAAGAUAAUGCAUAACAAGUUGCCGGGCUUCUCGGACCGGGUACCCAGGCCCGUAGGCCUACAGCCCCGUGCGUGACAUGGCAGGAUGAGCUUGGUUCGGCCCACCAGCCAGCUCGGCAAGGAAGACCCUCGUGAGGCAAGCGUCAAGGUUUCACCUUCGAGGAUCACGAGGGGUCACCCGCAGCAAGGGCGCGUCCCGAGGACACCCCUAAGGCUCUCAUGAGGUGGGCUCACCGAGGGCAACAUAGCAGGGCCCCACGGCCCUGCGCCUCCGCGUGAGUGACACAGGUUGGACAGGUGGCGCAAGAGCGAUGCCAGCAGGCACGGAUAGGGAGGAUUCGAUUUCCCGUGCUAAGGGAGCGAGACCAGCUAGCGUGCCCCCGAAGCGACUCCCAAAUGUUUCCCGUUUGAAGCAAGAAGACUAAGAUUGGGGGCUCGGCAGGACGGAGGUCACCCCCGAGCCCACUAGCGCAUCAUGAAGGGAAGCUUUUGCAGGUGAAGACCACCUUUGUCAGGGCGGACUGUAGUCCUCUCCCCUUUCAAAAUGGUCGCUGUGGCAACCCUUCCUGUCAAUGUUUUCGAGGGGAAGAGGACCGAGGUCAGUAUAAAAGAGAGGCCCGGCCUCCGUAGUAGGGACCCCGAAACCCCAUCGUCUCUAAUAGGGCAAGAACCCACCUUUGUACUCGUCUCCCACCUCAAGCAAUCCCAAAACAAGCAAAAGUAGGGUUUUACACCGCAAGGUGGCCCGGACCUAGGUAAAUUGUCGUGUGUUCUAGUUAGCUGCCCUGAGCUCAUGCAGCCGGAGAGUCACCAUGAAGUCGAGAGGUAGAACAGGGUAGGAGAGCGAGCGCACCCAAGAGUUUGAACCUUUUCUUGGGUGUGUAGAGCCUAGAUUCCGACACAUGUGACAAGUAACAAUAGUAGCAAGUAUGCAGCAAGAUAGCCCAAUCCCUUUUGUAGCAAAGGACAGGCAUGUAAUUACACAUAUAUGAAGCAAAGCGCUCCCAAGGACACAUGGGAACUUAUGUUCAUCAUGUUGACUUGAUACGCGUUCACUACUUUGAUAAUUUGAUAUGUGGGUGGACCAAUGCUAAGGUGAUGUUCUUACUUGAACAAGCAACCCACUUAUGAUUACCCCCUCUCUCAAGCAUCCGCAACUAUGAAAGAAGAAUUAAGAUAAAUAUAAUCAUACCAUGAAAUUUGUGGAUCCAAAGCAGCCCCUUAUGAAAUAACGCAUAAACUAGGGUUUAAGCUUCUGUAACUCUAGAAACUCAUCAUCUACUUAUUACUCCACAAUGUCUUACCUUAUGCCCAUAACAUGGUGAACUGUCGUGUAGUCGACAUUCACACGACACCACUAUGAGAAACAACAACAUACAUAUCAUCGAAAUGUCGAAUGAUACCAACCUCACAUGAUUACUUAUAACAUGAAUUAUCCCAUGUCCUCGGGAACAUAUAUAACUACUCACAACUUAUCACCAUGUUUAAGACCAGGGGCAUAAUAAUUGUGAUUAAGGAUCUGAAAAUAUUAUCUUUCACCAAAUAAACCAACUAGCAUCAACUACAAGAUGCAAUCAACACUACUAGUUACCCACACGUACCAAACUCAGGUUUUGAGACAAAGAUUGAAUACAAGAUAUGAACUAGAGUUUGAGAUGCUAUGGUAUAGGUGAGUAUGUAGAUGAGGAUUGGUCCUCCCACGAAGGAGGAAGCGUUGGUGAUGACGAUGGCUUUGAUUUCCCCCUCCCGAGGGAAGUUUCCCCUGUAGAAUCGCUCUGCCUGAGAGCAAAAGGGCCUCCGCCCAGGUUUCCGCUUUGAGAUGGUGGCGCUCUUUCCCGAAAGUAAAUUCUUAUUUUUUUUUCUAGGUCAAAAACCAUCUUAUAGUUGAAGAGGGACGUUAGGGCACCUCGGAGGUGGUCCCAAGCCAUUAGGACGUGCUAGGGGGUGGGCACGCCACGUAGGCUUGACACCAACAGGUGCCCCCCCCUCUGGUAUAUUUUUCCUCCAUAAAUUACCAUAUAUUCCACAAAAAUUCUUUGUGAAGUUUCAGGUAAUUUGGAUUUGAGUGAAUUUUCAGUCUUUCUCUUGGUUUUCAUGUCCAGAAUUCCAGUUUUCGACAAUUUCCCUCUUUGUGGCGUGCUACGGCAGCAGACAACAGCGCCAGAGAUUGACACUUUGACGAAGGCUGGGCUUGCAUUGGUUUUUCCCUUGAAGAGGAAAGGGUGGUGCAGCACAGGAGCAGUAAGUAUUUCCCUCAGUUUGAGAACCAAGGUAUCAAUCCAGAAGGAGGGUCUCGUCAAGUCCAGAGUACCUGCGCAAACACAAAUGAGCUUGCACCCAACGCAAUAAAGGGGUUGUCAAUCCCUUCAAGAUUGAUUGCAAAGUGAGAUCUGAAGGCGGAAAGUGCAACGAAGUAAAAGAGUAAGGCUGAAAAUAUGGUGUGGAGUAGACCCGGGGGCCAUCGUGUUCACUAGAGGCUUCUCUCAAAAUAGCAAAUAUCACGGUGGGUGAACAAAUUACUGUCGAGCAAUUGAUAGAACCGCGCAAAGUCAUGACGAUAUCUGAGGCAAUGAUCAUACAUAUAGGCAUCACGUCCGAGACAAGUAGACCGAUACUUUCUGCAUCUACUACUAUUACUCCAGACAUCGACCGCUAUCCAGCAUGCAUCUAGUGUAUUGAGUUCAUGACGAACAGAAUAACGCCUUAAGCAAGAUGACAUGAUCUAGAGGGAUAAUCUCAAACCAAUGAUGAAAACCCCAUAUUUUUACCCUUGAUGGCAACAACACGAUGCGUGCCUCGCUACCCCUUCUGUCACUGGGUGAGGUCACCGCACGGUAUGAACCCAAAACCAAGCACUUCUCCCAUUGCAAGAAUCAUAGAUCUAGUUGGCCAGACAAAACCCACAACUCGAAGAGAAUUACAAGGAUAUGAAAUCAUGCAUAAGAGAGAUCAGAAGAAACUCAAAUAAGAUUCAUAGAUAAUCUGAUCAUAAAUCCACAAUUCAUCGGAUCUCGACAAACACACCGCAAAAGAAGAUUACAUCGGAUAGAUCUCCAUGAAGAUCAUGGAGAACUUUGUAUUGAAGAUCUAAGAGAGAGAAGAAGCCAUCUAGUUACUAGCUAUGGACCUGUAGGUAUCUGGUGAACUACUCACGCAUCAUCGGAGAGGUCAUGGUGUUGAUGAAGAAGCCCUCCGUGUCCGAAUCCCCCUCCGGCAGGGCACCAGAACGUGCCCCAGAUGGGAUCUUGCGGAGACAGAAGCUUGCGGCGGCGGAAAAGUACUUUCGAUGAUCUCCUUAUUUUUUUGGGAUUUUUAGGGAAUAUAUAGACGCGACACCUAGGGCAAAGGGCGUCCAAGGGGGCCCACAAGCCUGUGGGCCGUGGCCUCCCCCCUGGCCGUGGGGUGAGGGCUUGUGGCACCCCUGGGGCUCCCCUGCCUUGGCUCUCAAGCCUCCUGAUCUUCUUCCGUUACGGAAAAAUUCUUUUCGGGGAUUUUAUUCCGUUUGGACUCCGUUUCAAAAUCUCCUCUGAAAGGGCUCAAAAACAUGGAAAAAUAGGAACUGGCACUUGGCACUGAGUUAAUAAGUUAGUCCCAAAAAAUAUAUAGAAGGCAUGCAAAACAUCCAAAGUUUGACAAGAUAAUAGCAUGAAACAAUCAAAAAUUAUAGAUACGUUGGAGACGUAUCAGCGUCUCCUGCGAGGAUUGCAUGAAGAGAGACUUUUUGCAAUCAGCCGUAGGACGUUGCGGCUCUGGCAAUUCAGGCAUCAUCAAAUCACCUCCACGCUCAUAGUUCGAGUCAUACUCCCGAGCAUCAUCAUAGCCGGCAUUGAUAGGAAACACGUAUUAUACCAAUCCAAGAUCUUGUUUCCUUCCUACGAAUCCAAUCAAGUGGUUCACCAAUACCAUCAAUCAUCACUUGACCCAUCACCCCUACAAAUCCAAUAUCGAUAGGGUUCUACAUAAUUUCCUAGAGUCCUUUUUAUCUACUUAUCAUUGCAAGGGCUAUAUCACAGUAUACCCACCAACUUUCAAUACCAUAACCACCUAAACUCCAAGGUCAAGCUUAUAUGGAUACUUAAAUCAUCCCUAACAUCAUCCAAUCACCUCUACUUGUCACCCAUCGAGAAACAUGGUAUCAUGAUCAAGAUCAUCGGACUAAAUCUAAUUUACUCCAAACCAUGUGUUCUCAUUUAUCAUAGACACUCUGUUAGGAUUGCCUACUAAAUCCAAGUCUAUGUCCAACGAGAACUCUUACUUGUUAGUCCAAGUCAUUAUUAAUCCAUGACUGCUACAUGACAAAGUCAAUUUAUUAAACCACCAAGAGUUUUAGCUUGUAAUCAUGAUUGUACGAAUGAAUCCAACUUACUCUAGGAUCAUGUAGGUUAUGCUACUUUAUCAGCUUAUUCCACCAAGUUCACCUACCAACUUAUGUGUAUUACAGUACACUAAGAGAAUCUAGCUACAUAUGCGAGACAUUUACUGUAAUCACCUUGAAUCAUUGGCUACAGGUCGUAUGCCCUUAGAACAAUCCUUCCUAUGGCAUCAAGAUCCUCGUGCUAACUUAAUAAUGAAGGAUACUUCUUCACUGUGAUCACUUGUUCCAUAAUGAACCUAGUGCUAAGCAAGGCUCAACGGGUGCUUUGGCGAGUCUGUGUAUUAAACACCUGAUCAAAGGUUUGAGCUGGGGAAGCUUGUGAGGUUUAGUUUGGUCUAGGGAGGUUUUCCAAUCUUGGGGGAGAAGCAUAAAGCUAUGGGGUUGUGUCUUGUUGAGUACGUUGUAGUCAAAGUCUUCUGUGUUAGUUGUGUGUCGAGGUUGAUCCUUGGUGCAUCUUGUCCUGCCGGUCUUAAGUUGUCGAUAAAGGUGAGGGAGAGAGAAAAGUAGCAUAGAAGGGAGUGCCUAAGGGGGUGCUAUAGUGCAAGUGCAUUCAAACAAGUGUCCAGAGGCCAAAUGCAAACAUCAAGAUGAGUCACGUGAUAUAGUCGCGUACUUGUUGCCUGGGGCCAAAGUGCAACUUAUAUCAAGCCACAAACAAGAAAAACAAGCAACACACAAUAUGGUUCCCUUCGAACCACCACACAGACUCGACUUCGCAUAGGGGACACAUAACUUAUCCUACCCCAGGGGUUCUCAAACUCAAUAGUCGUGCUUGCUUCGUGUCUUGGAGAGGAGUCCGCUCAGUCUUCUGGGUCUUCUUCACGUGUCCCUAUGUCUCUUGUUGUGGUUCAAUGAAACAAUCCGGGUUGUGCGUUAAGAGUUUUUUACGAAUUCCCUCUGGUAAGCUGUCGGUGAAGGUGGUUCCUCAUGUCUAUCAUUGACAAAGUCUUCUGUUGUCUUUGUAAUCUUGUCAAUGUCUUCUUGUAUUCCAAGGCAUCGAGGGUUUUGAGUGGACGACCCUUACGCAAUGACAUCAGCAAAGCAUGAUAGAGUUCUGACUUGUCGGUUAUGUUGAUGACAAUAUCAACACCAAGAGCAGGGGAUGAAGAGACCCGUUUUUCGUGCUCACUACGUAAGGCGUACCAAAUGGCGAGGUUCUCAUCCACCGAGUUGUUGACACAACAAUGGUAAGGACAGAGUCACUCUAUUAGGUAUGCAUAUCAUGAUCUUGCAUAUCUUAUGUCCUGGUUGUCGUAGGCCAAGCUUGCAUCACCCUGGGACAGUGUCGAGGGCGCCACCAUCUUCUGAGUCUCGAUGUCUUCAUUCCUUGAGAAGGUAGCUCUUGUUGGUGUCGUCUCGUCGUAGCGUUGCCAACCUUGUCUUCCAGAUACAUGGGUGAUCGUUUGGCACGGUCGUUUGCUUCCAAGUUACCCAUGAGGAUUGCAAGGAAUCGACUGGUCGGGGGCAUAAGGGUGCUAGCGACCAUUUCAUGUUUUGAAAAAGAUGAUGAGGAGAGUCAAGAAAAUUAGGGCGGAAGUGCUAAGGCAGAACCUCCGCUUCCUUUGAAAAGUUAGGAGAGGUGAGAAAUAUAUAGAUUGUAAGUGGUUUGAAAGGUCUGGAAAAAUAGCUUUGUCCUAACUAAAGUCCAUGCUAACUAAGGGCUUCCUACAGUUAGGAUGGAUCUGAUACCAGCUCUGUGGGGACCCUGACUUAUAAGUCGUGAUCAGUAAAUGUACGCGCACAGUGAUACCAGAGAUCAAUGCUCACUGAACACAUAGAAACUGAAUAACAAAGAGUCUUACAUCCAUUGCGUAAUGUUUUAUUCAAGUAUGACCUCCAUGUCCAAGUCUUCAUAUAUUUGCAACGGAAAAUCUUCAUCGAUAGUGUGAACCCAUGUCAUCUGCCUUAACCUACAAGCAUUACGAUCGAGAAGCAACCUAAUUCGCAUGUUCAUCACCGACGGACUCCUCUCCAUAUUCUUGCUCUUCCAUGCCUGGCCAAUUAAAUAACCAGUGGCAAGAAAAUGUGUACUUUGAAUGUACUCGCAAGCAACCCAUGAUGUGGAACAAGGCAAUAAUAAAGCAUGAUAUAACACUAAUAGGUAAUUUGCGGAAAGCAGAUUUUUCCUAGUGCAAUGACAUGAUCAACUUUUUGUGGGGCAUGCAUCAUGAGGAAAGCGAUAUAUAUGUGAACAUGUUAUAGAUAUCAAUACCAACAUAGGGUUGAACAACCCAUGUUCACCCAUCAUGCCAAGUCGUCCGACUUAGCUUAGGUAUCAUGUUUCUCACAUAACCACCUUUCUCACACACGCACACUGUUUGGUAAAUAUGGACGUAGCCCAAGAGCAGUCAUCCAACUAUCCUUGACCGUGGAAAUGACAAUUCGAAUAGUUUUACACUCUACACAGGUUGCACACUUUACCCAUAAGACUCGGGAAACUUUCGUGUCAAAACAUGACUCGCGGUAUUUCUCAUACCCGAGGCAAGUACCCGAACAUUACCUUUCCCAUGACGAUACUAGCAAAGAGACCACUCGUUGGUGACAAUCUCUCAUGAUGUACUUCACACGUAUCAUCCACGAGGGCACGCAACGCUGUGCCUGGUGUAUGUAAAAACAGCCCAUGGUCGCCCUUUCUUGGCACGACCCCGUCUCGAGAGUGACCACGUCACUCGAGCCACUAGUAAUACGGGCUCUCUACUAGCACCAACCAUAGUAAUCAAAUAAGCCCUGUCCCAUAAGGGGUAUCAUGGUUGUGCAUAUAAGGUUGGAGUAACUGUUGCAACUUAAACCAAUCCGAUUUCGAAAACCACACACCCAUUAGCCUCGGUACACCACUUCUUUAUCAAGUGGCUACCUAGCUCACACAUCUCCGUCAGGCAUUAGUGGCACCCGACGAGGUUUUCGUAAAACCUUUGAAAUCACUUUCAUUUGUUAUCUCCAUGCAUGUUCCCAUCCCAUUGCGUAGACACUAAUAGCAACUUAACUACUUCCUGUUGGAAAACGUCGCAUGGGAAACAAAAAAUUUCCUACGCGCACGAAGACCUAUCAUGGUGAUGUCCAUCUACGAGAGGGGAUGAGUGAUCUACGUACCCUUGUAUACCGUACAGCAGAAGCGUUAGAGAACGCGGUUGAUGUAGUGGAACGUCCUCACGUCCCUCGAUCCGCCCCGCGAACAAUCCCGCGAUCAGUCCCACGAUCUAGUACCGAACGGACGGCACCUCCGCGUUCAGCACACGUACAGCUCGACGAUGAUCUCGGCCUUCUUGAUCCAGCAAGAGAGACAGAGAGGUAGAAGAGUUCUCCGGCAGCGUGAAGGCGCUCCGGAGGUUGGUGAUGACCUUGUCUCAGCAGGGCUCUGCCCGAGCUCCGCAGAAACGCGAUCUAGAGGAAAAACCGUGGAGGUAUGUGGUCGGGCUGCCGUGGAAAAGUCGUCUCAAAUCAGCCCUAAAACCUCCGUAUAUAUAGGUGGGAGGGAGGGGGCCUUGCCUUGGGGUCNCUCGACGAUGAUCUCGGCCUUCUUGAUCCAGCAAGAGAGACGGAGAGGUAGAAGAGUUCUCCGGCAGCGUGACGGCGCUCCGGAGGUUGGUGAUGACCUUGUCUCAGCAGGGCUCCGCCCGAGCUCCGCAGAAACGCGAUCUAGAGGAAAAACCGUGGAGGUAUGUGGUCGGGCUGCCGUGGAAAAGUCGUCUCAAAUCAGCCCUAAAACCUCCGUAUAUAUAGGUGGGAGGGAGGGGGCCUUGCCUUGGGGUCCAAGGACCCUCAAGGGGGUCGGCCGAGCCAAGGGGGAGGACUCUCCCCCCCCCCCAAACCGAGUUGGACUAGGUUUGGUGGGAGGGAGUCCUCCUCCCUUCCCACCUCCUCCCUUUUUUUCUUUUCUCUUGAUUUUUCUUCUCUUGGCGCAUAGACCACUUGUGGGCUGUCCCACCAGCCCACUAAGGGCUGGUGGGUCUCCCCCAAAGCCUAUGGGCUUCCCCGGGGUGGGUUGCCCCCCCCCCCCGGUGAACUCCCGGAACCCAUUCGUCAUUCCCGGUACAUUCCCGGUAACUCCGAAAACCUUCCGGUAAUCAAAUGAGGUCAUCCUAUAUAUCAAUCUUCGUUUCCGGACUAUUCCGGAAACCCUCGUGACAUCUGUGAUCUCAUCCGGGACUCCGAACAACAUUCGGUAACCAAGCAUAUAACUCAAAUACGCAUAAAACAACGUCGAACCUUAAGUGUGCAGACCCUGCGGGUUCGAGAACUAUGUAGACAUGACCCGAGAGACUCCUCGGUCAAUAUCCAAUAGCGGGACCUGGAUGCCCAUAUUGGAUCCUACAUAUUCUACAAAGAUCUUAUCGUUUGAACCUCAGUGCCAAGGAUUCGUAUAAUCCCGUAUGUCAUUCCCUUUGUCCUUUGGUAUGUUACUUGCCCGAGAUUCGAUCGUCAGUAUCCGCAUACCUAUUUCAAUCUCGUUUACCGGCAAGUCUCUUUACUCGUUCUGUAAUACAAGAUCCCGCAACUUACACUAAGUCACAUUGCUUGCAAGGCUUGUGUGUGAUGUUGUAUUACCGAGUGGGCCCCGAGAUACCUCUCCGUCACGCGGAGUGACAAAUCCCAGUCUCGAUCCAUACUAACUCAACGAACACCUUCGGAGAUACCUGUAGAGCAUCUUUGUAGUCACCCAGUUACGUUGCGACGUUUGAUACACACAAAGCAUUCCUCCGGUGUCCGUGAGUUAUAUGAUCUCAUGGUCAUAGGAACAAAUACUUGACACACAGAAAACAGUAGCAACAAAAUGACACGAUCAACAUGCUACGUCUAUUAGUUUGGGUCUAGUCCAUCACAUGAUUCUCCUAAUGAUGUGAUCCCGUUAUCAAGUGACAACACUUGCCUAUGGCCAGGAAACCUUGACCAUCUUUGAUCAACGAGCUAGUCAACUAGAGGCUUACUAGGGAUAGUGUUUUGUCUAUGUAUCCACACAAGUAUUGUGUUUCCAAUCAAUACAAUUAUAGCAUGGAUAAUAAACGAUUAUCAUGAACUAAGAAAUAUAAUAAUAAAUAAUUUAUUAUUGCCUCUAGGGCAUAUUUCCAACAGUCUCCCACUUGCACUAGAGUCAAUAAUCUAGUUCACAUCACCAUGUGAUUCCAACGAAUCCAACACCCAUAUAGUUAUGGGGUCUGAUCACGUCUUGCUCGUGAGAGAGGUUUUAGUCAACGGUUCUGAAACUUUCAGAUCCGUGCGUUCUUUACAAAUCUUUAUGUCAUCUUAUAGAUGCUGCUACUACGUGCUAUUCGGAAAUGCUCCAAAUAUCUACUCUACUAUAUAAAUCCGUUUCACUACUCAUAGUUAUUCGGAUUAGUGUCAAAGCUUGCAUCGACGUAACCCUUUACGACGAACUCUUUAACCACCUCCAUAAUCGAGAAAAAUUCCUUAGUCCAUUUGUUACUAAGGAUAAAUUUUGACCGCUGCUAGUGAUUCAAUCAUGGAUCACUCUCUGUACCUCUCAACAGACUUUGAGUCAAGGCACACAUCAGGUGCGGUACACAGCAUGGCAUACUUUAGAUUCUACGGCUAAGGCAUAGAAGACGACCUUCGUCUAUUCUCUUUAUUCUGCCGUGGUCGGGUUUUGAGUCUUACUCAAAUUCACACCUUACAACGCAACCAAGAACUCCUUCUUUACUGAUCUAUUUUGAACUCCUUCAAAAACUUGUCAAGGCAUGCAUCUUGUUGAAACUUCUAUUAAGCGCUUUCGAUCUAUCUCCAUAGAUCUUUGAUGCUCAAUGUUCAAGUAGCGCAAUCUAGGUAUUACUUUGAAAAACUCUAUUCAAACAACCCUGUAUGCUUUACAGAAAUUCUACAUUACUUAUGAUCCACAAUAUGUCAACCACAUAUACUUAUUAGAAAUUCUAUAGUGCUCCCACUCACUUCUUUGGAAAUACAAGUUUCUCAUAAACCUUGUACAAACCCAAAAUCUUUGAUCAUCUCAUCAAAGUAUAUAUAUUCCAACUCCGAGAUGCUUGCACCAGUCCAUUGAAGGAUCGCUGGAGCUUGCAUACUUGCUAGUAUCUUUAGGAUCGACAAAACCUCCUGGUUGUAUCACAUACAAUGUUUGCUCAAGGAAACCGUCGAGGAAACAAUGUUUUGACAUCCUACGUGCAAUAUUUCAUAAAUAAUGCAUCAACAACUAACAUAAUUCUAACAGACCUUUAGCAUCGCUACGAGUGAGAAAGUCUCAUCAUAGUCAACUGUUUGAUCUUGUCGAAAACAUCUUUGCGACAAGUCGAGCUUUUCUUAAUAGUGACUUAUCACCAUCAUCGUCUGUUUUCCUUUAAAGAUCCAUCUUUACUCAAUAGUCCUAUGACCAUCAAGUAAUUCUUCCAAAGUCUACACUUUGUUUUCAUCCAUGGAUCCUCUCUCGGAUUUCAUGGCUUCCAGCCAUUUGUCGGAAUCUGGGCCCACCAUCGCUUUCUCCAUAACUCGUAGGUUCACUGUUGCUCAACAACAUGACCUCCAAGACAGGGUUACCGUACUACUCUGCAGCAGUACGCGACCUUGUCGACCUACGAGGUUUGUAGUAACUUGAUUCGAAGCUCAAUGAUCACCAUCAUCAGCUUCCACUUCAAUUGGUGUAGGCGCCACAGGAACAACUUCCUGCGCCCUGCUACACACUGGUUGAAGUGAUGGUUCAAUAACCUCAUCAAGUUCUACUACCCUCCCACUCAAUUCUUUCGAGAGAAACCUUUCCUCGAGAAAGGAUCCGUUUCUAGAAACAAACACUUUGUUUCGGAUCUGAGAUAGGAGAUGUACCCAACUGUUUUGGAUACCCUAUGAAGAAGCAUUUAUCCGCUUUGGGUUCGAGCUUAUCAGACUGAAACUUUUUCACAUAAGUGUCGAAACCCCAAACUUUCAAGAAACGACAGUUUAGAUUUCUCUAAACCUCAGUCUAUACUGUGUCAUCUCAACGGAAAUACGCGGUGCCCUGUUUAAAGUGAGUGCGGUUGUCUCUAAUGCAUAACCCAUAAACGAUAGUGGUAAUUCGAUAAGAGACAUCAUAGUAUGCACCAUACCAAAUAGUGCGUGGCUAUGACGUUCAGACACAUCAUCACACUAUGAUGUUCCAGGUGGCAUGAACUGCGAAACAAUUUCCACAUUGUCUUAACUGCGUACCAAAACUCGUAACUCAGAUAUUCAUUUCUAUGAUCAUAUCGUAGACAGUUUAUCCUCUUGUUACGACGAACUUCACUCUGAAACGGGUUUGAACUUUUCAACAUUUCAGACUUGUGAUUCAUUAAGUAAAUACUCCUGUAUCUACUCAAAUCGUCAGUGAAGUAAGAACAUAAUGAUAUCCACUGCGUGCCUCAGUACCCAUUGGACUGCAUACAUCAAAAUGUAUCACUUCCAACAAGUUACUAUCUUAUUUCAUCUCAAUGAAAACAAGGCCUUGCUCAUGUGGUAUGGUUUGCAUGUCACUAGUGAUUCGAAAUCAGGUGAGUACAAAGAUCCAUCAGCAUGGAGCCUCUUCAUGCAAUUUAUACUAACAUGACUCAAGCGGCAGUGCCACAAGUAAGUGGUACUAUCAUCAUUAACUCGUAUCCUUUUGGCACCAAUAUUAUGAACAUGUGUAACACUACGAUCGAGAUUCAAUAAACCAUUGAAGGUGAUUAUUCAAGAAAAUAGAGUAACCAUUAUUCUCUUUAAAUGAAUAAUCGUAUUGCAAUAAACACGAUCCAAUCAUGUUCAUGCUUAACGCAAGCACCAAAUAACAAUUAUUUAGGUUUAACACCAAUCCCGAUGGUAGAGGGAGCGUGCGACGUUUGAUCAUAUCAACCUUGGAAACACUUCCAACACGUAUCGUCACCUCGCCUUUAGCUAGUCUCCGUUUAUGCCGUAGCUUUCAUUUCGUGUUACUAAUCACUUAGCAACCAAACCGGUAUCCAAUACCCUCAUGCUACUAGGAGUACUAGUAAAGUACACAUCAACAUCAUGUAUAUCUAAUAUACUUCUCUUGAUUUUUGCCAGCCUUCUUAUCUACCAAGUAUCUAGAGUUGCUCCGCCUCAGUGACUGUUCCCCUCAUUACAGAAGCACUUAGUCUCGGGUUUGGGUUUAAUCUUGGGUCUCUUCAUUAGUGCAGCAACUGUUUUGCCGUUUCACGAAGUAUCCCUUCUAGCCCUUGCCUUUCUUGAAACUUAGUGGUUUUACAAACCAUCAACUAUUGAUGCUCCUUCUUGAUUUCUACUUUCGUAGUGUCAAACAUCGCGAAUCGCUCAAGGAUCAUUGUAUGUAUCCUUGAUAUGUUAUAGUUCAUCACGAAGCUCUCACAGCUUGGUGGCAGUGACUUUGGAGAACUAUCACUAUCUCAUCUGGAAGAUUAACUCCCACUUGAUUCAAGCGAUUGUCGUACUCAGACAACCUGAGCACACGCUCAACGAUUGAGCCUUUCUCCUUUACUUUGUGGACAAAGAAUCUUGUCGGAGGUCUCGUACCUCUUAACAAGGGCACAAGCUUGAAAUCACAAUUUCAUCUCUUUAGAACAUCACUUAUGUUCCGUGACGUUUUACAACGUUUUUGGCGCCUUGCUUCUAAGCCAUUAAGUAUUUUGCACUGAACUAUCGUGUAGUCAUCAGAAACGUGUAUGUCGGAUGUUCAUAGCAUCCACAGAUGACGCUCGAGGUGCAGCACACCGAGUGGUGCAUUAAGGACAUAAUCCUUCUGCGCAGCAACGAGGACAAUCCUCGGUUUUACAGACCCAGUCUGCAAAGUUUUGUUACUAUCAAUUUUCAACUAAAUUUUCUCUAGGAACAUAUAAAAACAGUAGAGCUAUAGCGCAAGCUACAUCGUAAUUCGCAAAGACCAUUAGACUAUGUUCAUGACAAUUAGUUCAAUUAAUCAUAUUACUUAAGAACUCCCACUCAAAAAGUACAUCUCUCUAGUCAUUUGAGUGGUACAUGAUCCAAAUCCACUAUCUCAAGUCCGAUCAUCACGUGAGUCGAGAAUAGUUUCAGUGGUAAGCAUCUCUAUGCUAAUCAUAUCAACUAUACGAUUCAUGCUCGACCUUUCGGUCUCAUGUGUUCUGAGGCCAUGUCUGCACAUGCUAGGCUCAUCAAGCUUAACCCGAGUGUUCCGCGUGCGCAACUGUUUUGCACCCGUUGUGAACGUUGAGUCUAUCACACCCGAUCAUCACGUGGUGUCUCGAAACGACGAACUGUAGCAACGGUGCACAGUCGGGGAGAACACAAUUUCGUCUUGAAAUUUUAGUGAAAGAUCACCUCAUAAUGCUACCGUCGUGUUGGGGAACGUCGCAUGGGAAACAAAAAUUUUCCUACGCGCACGAAGACCUAUCAUGGUGAUGUCCAUCUACGAGAGGGGAUGAGUGAUCUACGUACCCUUGUAGAUCGUACAGCAGAAGCGUUUAGAGAACGCGGUUGAUGUAGUGGAACGUCCUCACGUCCCUCGAUCCGCCCCGCGAACAAUCCCGCGAUCAGUCCCACGAUCUAGUACCGAACGGACGACACCUCCGCGUUCAGCACACGUACAGCUCGACGAUGAUCUCGGCCUUCUUGAUCCAGCAAGAGAGCCGGAGAGGUAGAAGAGUUCUCCGGCAGCGUGACGGCGCUCCGGAGGUUGGUGAUGAUCUCGUCUCAGCAGGGCUCCGCCCGAGCUCCGCAGAAACGCGAUCUAGAGGAAAAACUAUGGAGGUAUGUGGUCGGGCAGCCGUGAGAAAGUCGUCUCAAAUCUGCCCUAAAAGCCCCAUAUAUAUAGGAGGAGGGAGGGGGACCUUGCCUUGGGGUCCAAGGGAUCCCCAAGGGGUCGGCCGAGCCAGGGGGGAGGACUCUCCCCCCCCCAAACCGAGUCCUACUUGGUUUGGUGGGAGGGAGUCCUUCCCCCUUCCCACUUCUUCCUUUUUUUUUUCCUUUCCUUUGAUUUUUUCUCUCUUGGCGCAUAGGGGAUUGGUGGGCUGUCCCACCAGCCCACUAAGGGCUGGUGUGACCCCCCCAAAUGCCUAUGGGCUUCCCCGGAGUGGGUUGCCCCCCUCCGGUGAACUCCCAGAACCCAUUCAUCAUUCCCGGUACAUUCCCGGUAACUCCGAAAACCUUCCGGUAAUCAAAUGAGGUCAUCCUAUAUAUCAAUCUUCGUUUCCGGACCAUUCUGGAAACCCUCGUGACGUCCGUGAUCUCAUCCGGGACUCCGAACAACAUUCGGUAACCAACCAUAUAACUCAAAUACGCAUAAAACAACGUCGAGCCUUAAGUGUGCAUACCCUGCGGGUUCGAGAACUAUGUAGACAUGACCCGAGAGACUCCUCGGCCAAUAUCCAAUAGCGGGACCUGGAUGCCCAUAUUGGAUCCUACAUAUUCUACGAAGAUCUUAUCGUUUGAACCUCAGUGCCAAGGAUNUAUUGGAUCCUACAUAUUCUACGAAGAUCUUAUCGUUUGAACCUCAGUGCCAAGGAUUCGUAUAAUCCCGUAUGUCAUUCCCUUUGUCCUUCGGUAUGUUACUCGCCCGAGAUUCGAUCGUCAGUAUCCGUAUACCAAUUUCAAUCUCGUUUACCAGCCAGUCUCUUUACUCGUUCCGUAAUACAAGAUCUCGCAACUUACACUAAGUUACAUUGCUUGCAAGGCUUGUGUGUGAUGUUGUAUUACCGAGUGGGCCCCGAGNNNNNNNNNNNNNNNNNNNNNNNNNNNNNNNNNNNNNNNNNNNNNNNNNNNNNNNNNNNNNNNNNNNNNNNNNNNNNNNNNNNNNNNNNNNNNNNNNNNNGACCCGAGAGGGUUUUUUUAUUAAACUAAUCGGUUGGUUUAUGGAGGGAUUGAAAAAAAUCGGUGAAAGGGUGGAAAGGCUAGCGGUAGGAGGUCGAACCAUCGUACGAGGUUGAACCAUCACGACGGCAGAUCCCCCUUUAAUAGUAGAGAUGUGGGAGAAAGGGAUCACCUUCGAGGACUUUACUCCCGACAUGGACCUCCGGAGCAGCGCGCCGGCUGCCUCCGCCUGCGCCGGCGUAUUGGGCGCGGACG